AUAUAUAUAUAUAAAGAGAGAGAGAGAGAGAGAGAGAGAGAGAGAGAGAGAGAGAGAGAGUUGGGCUACUAUACUCUUAUGAGUAUAGAGAUCUUUGUACUCAUAAGUUGUUUUUGAUAAUAGAGCAUCCGAAUCGACGAUCCACUCGUUAAAUAUGAUAUAGAGUAUUUAAAACUUUUGAAAAAUAAAUUUUAUAAUUUUUCGAAAUCAUAAUAAAAUCCAUCAAACGAGCAUAAAAUGAACGGUCGAAAUCAAAUGAUGUCCUAAAAAUGAAUGAUUGGAUCCUUCAAUUUAAGAUCGGGUUAUUGAUCUCUAUCUAGGUAGUGAAUAGAAUUUUUUAUUAAAAAUUCAACCGAUUCCGAUUCUUUUACACCGUUAAACUAGCAAAUAUUCUAUACCGGCCGUUAAAAAUUGUCAAUUUUGUGAGCUUUUGAUCGUAAGGUAAAUGAUGUCAAAAAAUUAUAAAAUUUGAUUUCUAAAAAUUUUAAAUGCUCUAGAUAACAUUUAAUGGUAUGGAUUGUCGAUUCGGAAGCUCUAUCAUCGAAAACGACUUAUGAAUACGAGGGCGAUCGUUCUCAUAAGAGUAUAGUAGCCGAACUAUAUAUAUAUAUAUAUAUAUAGUUCGGCUACUAUACUAUCGAUAGUACCAAGCUCUUGGUACUAUUGAGUUUUCUACCGUUAGACCUACCCUUUGAUCAUUUCCACUCGUUAGAUUAUACUAUUCAACCAACCACCCACUCAACCCUAGAGGACCACUAUUANNNNNNNNNNNNNNNNNNNNNNNNNNNNNNNNNNNNNNNNNNNNNNNNNNNNNNNNNNNNNNNNNNNNNNNNNNNNNNNNNNNNNNNNNNNNNNNNNNNNNNNNNNNNNNNNNNNNNNNNNNNNNNNNNNNNNNNNNNNNNNNNNNNNNNNNNNNNNNNNNNNNNNNNNNNNNNNNNNNNNNNNNNNNNNNNNNNNNNNNNNNNNNNNNNNNNNNNNNNNNNNNNNNNNNNNNNNNNNNNNNNNNNNNNNNNNNNNNNNNNNNNNNNNNNNNNNNNNNNNNNNNNNNNNNNNNNNNNNNNNNNNNNNNNNNNNNNNNNNNNNNNNNNNNNNNNNNNNNNNNNNNNNNNNNNNNNNNNNNNNNNNNNNNNNNNNNNNNNNNNNNNNNNNNNNNNNNNNNNNNNNNNNNNNNNNNNNNNNNNNNNNNNNNNNNNNNNNNNNNNNNNNNNNNNNNNNNNNNNNNNNNNNNNNNNNNNNNNNNNNNNNNNNNNNNNNNNNNNNNNNNNNNNNNNNNNNNNNNNNNNNNNNNNNNNNNNNNNNNNNNNNNNNNNNNNNNNNNNNNNNNNNNNNNNNNNNNNNNNNNNNNNNNNNNNNNNNNNNNNNNNNNNNNNNNNNNNNNNNNNNNNNNNNNNNNNNNNNNNNNNNNNNNNNNNNNNNNNNNNNNNNNNNNNNNNNNNNNNNNNNNNNNNNNNNNNNNNNNNNNNNNNNNNNNNNNNNNNNNNNNNNNNNNNNNNNNNNNNNNNNNNNNNNNNNNNNNNNNNNNNNNNNNNNNNNNNNNNNNNNNNNNNNNNNNNNNNNNNNNNNNNNNNNNNNNNNNNNNNNNNNNNNNNNNNNNNNNNNNNNNNNNNNNNNNNNNNNNNNNNNNNNNNNNNNNNNNNNNNNNNNNNNNNNNNNNNNNNNNNNNNNNNNNNNNNNNNNNNNNNNNNNNNNNNNNNNNNNNNNNNNNNNNNNNNNNNNNNNNNNNNNNNNNNNNNNNNNNNNNNNNNNNNNNNNNNNNNNNNNNNNNNNNNNNNNNNNNNNNNNNNNNNNNNNNNNNNNNNNNNNNNNNNNUUUUUUUUUUUUUUUUUCUAAAGGAAGAGAUGCGAUUGAUUAGAUAUAAAUAAUAUAAUGUGGCUGCUACGUAGUAAACUUUCUCAAAUUUGUACAUGAUCGCUAUCAAAGUUACAACGAAAGGUUCAAAAAAGAAUAAAUUGAACGUUUGGUCCUCGAACUAUGGGAUAUAUGACACUUUAAUCGAAUUGAGCUCCUAUGCUUUUAAAAGUACUAAGACAUUGGUGCUUGUAGAUUUUUAGCCAUUGGAUUAAGAGAUAUGCGGUUAGGAUGAUGUGGGCCCCCUAGGGUUGAGUGGGUGGUUGGUUGAAUAGUAUAAUCUAAUGGUUGAAAAUAAUCCGUAGAGUACAUCUAACGAUAAAAAAUUUACAAGCACCAUAGCUGGACACACACACACACACAUAUAUAUAUAUAUAUAAUUUUGAUAGAUAAAUAAGAUAUUAUUUUUUAAAAAAAAUUAUUUUUUCAUUUCUAUAUCAUAUGUGGGUCCCGGCUCCCCUCCAAUGGCCACAAAGAAGCAACCCCACCUCUCCUUUUAGUCCCCCUUCUAUUUAUUUCCCACCAACACUCCUCACACAAAGCAUAGAGAGGUAACAGAGAGAGAGAGCCUUUGAGACAAAGCCUCAACCUUUCACAACUUUGUUGGAGCUCAAAUACUUAGAUUUUAUUCUCUCUUUGUUUCCUUCAUAAAGGUGGUUGAGUUGAGAUGAGAGAGAGAGAGAGAGAGAGAGAGAGAGAGAGAAAGUUGCUUCUUUUGGCCCAAUGCUUAGACUUUUCAUUUUGAUUUUCUUUGUUUUCAUGUAGUGCUUGUAAUGACAUAUAUAUAUAUAUAUAUAGAGAGAGAGAGAGAGAGAGAGAGAGAGGGAGAGAGAGAGAGAGAGAGUCUAACUUUGUUUGUUGAGUGAAUUUAGCCUUGUUUGGGAUGGGAAAUUAUAGGUUUAAGCUCUCUGAUAUGAUACCCAAUGCUUGGUUCUACAAGCUCAGAGACAUGGGAAACAGAGGAAGCAGCAGCAGCAGAGGCAGAGGCUACCACCACCCAAAAGCAGAAGCGCCCACAACCCCACAAGCGCUCCUCCCCACAUCCCCGCCGCUCCGAAACCAAACCCUCCUCCCCAGCAGAGCCUCCUACUACCACUCCACCCUCGAAACUCAGCAGCAGCAGCAGCAGCAGCAGCAGCUCCACUCCAUACCCGCAGAAUCCCACUUCCCCGUCGACCCGCCGCGCAAAUCUGCUCGACGAGCCCGCAAAAAAGCGAUUCUUAAGCCCACCUCAAGACCCUCCCUCUCCCCUGCUUCUGCUUCUCGCAGAAGCCGCGGAGAAUUCGAGCAAGAUCCCAUCUUUGCGCUCCCACGCGAAUCCGAUAGGUACAGAGUAACCUCCUCUGCUACCGACAUCACCAUCGACGUGGAUCAAAAUGGCUCCUUUACCCAGCAACUCUCCCCCAUCCUCACCAAACCACCGCCCAAAGAAGCGCUUUCGAAGGCCACGUCCAAAGCAAAGCUUCGCAGGGCUCGAACGAGCGCGAGGAGUCCGAGGGCGGUGCGCAGCGGCUUCUCCGAGAAGCAGGGGAGGAGGAAGACGAGGGACCUGGGCUUCUCGGGGAGCUUCGCGGUGGUAAAAUCCUCGUGGGAUCCUCGCAAGGACUUCGCGGAGUCGAUGGUGGAGAUGAUCGUCGAGAAGGGGAUAAGUGCUUCUGGGGACUUGGAGGAGCUCUUGGCCUGCUACCUCGCCCUCAACUCCGAGGAGUACCAUGCUGUGAUCGUGAAGGUGUUCCAGCAAAUUUGGCUUGAUCUUAAACUCUGCACUUACUAAGCUUGGAUUCUAAAGAAGAAGAAGAAGAGUUUUGCUUUGGCGUUUCAAAUAUUGCUGAUGUGUUAGCAUUGAUGGUGUUCUCGACCCAUCAGAUCGUAACGAAGAUCAAUGCUUUGUGUACUAUGUACUCUAUGCAGACUCAAAAGUAAUCGUCGUGAAACGAUUAGAUUGUAAAGAAGAGUAAUGCUCUCUCUGUACUACUAUAGUCUACGUAGUCUUGAAGUGUCGUUGAUGUACCGUCGUGUCGUGACCUGAUUAGAUUGUGAAGAAGAAAAAAAAAUAAAAAAGCCAUCAAUGCUUUGCGUAUGCUUUCCGCAAUGUUACGUAAGAGUGUCGCUGAUGUGUUGACAGUGUCUUAUCAUCAGCUGAUCGAUAUCAGACGUGCCGUGCAUGAUUGAUGGUGCCGUUAGUGGUCUUAGAAAGUAUUUGUAAUUAACCGUCUACCAUAUCCACUGCACGAAUUAUGAAGCAAUGUUGUCUUUUGCUUGACGUAGUUGUUAGUGAUAAACCCUAAAGCCAAUCGGUGACAUAGGCUUGUGGAUAUAUUAAGUAUUUUUCUUAAUUAAUAAAGGGCAAGUUUUAUUCAUAUUUAUUGUUCGCAGUACAAUAUAUAUAUAUGAAUCGUCCGUUGAAUCUUCGUUAAGAAAAUAUAUUCCUAAGAGUUAGGAAUUUGAGAUAUAUAUUUCUUAGUACAAGNCCAAGGUAAUGUAAUCUAAACUUCGGAUUUGUUUAGAUUAGAUUUUUAUUUUACAUUGUAACAUGAGAAUGAUCCGCCGGCACUGGAUUGAUUUGUUUUGUUUUGUUUCAUAUGUGAUAUGGAUUUCGUUUUCGUUUUUCCGCUGCGAUUUUUAAGUGCCGGAUAUUUUUUCUAACAGUAGUAUCACUGAAAUUUCAUAUUAUUACUCGAACGGAGAAGAAGAGUAAUUUUGAUCGUAUCUUUACGUGUAGUUAAAAAUAAAAAAUAUUUCAGAAAGAGAGUUUUGUGCAUUUGGUGAGGCUGUUUACUCAUUAAUAAUAUUUUGGCUAAAUUAUAGAAAAUUUUUUUAUAAAAAUUUGAUUUUUCACUUUUUUUUUCUGUUAUUUAAAAACCUACACUUUGCCUUCUUGUAAAAUGAAAAAUGUGCACUUCACACCCUACCGUUAGUAAUCCGUUAGAGUUCCGUUAUAAAUAUUUUUUAUGCCAAAAAUAUCCCUCCGCCCUCUUCCCUGUUGCUUCGCCUCCAUCCGGCUCGUCGCCUCGCCGCCUCGCCCUCCUCCACUGCUUCGCCCUCGCCCUCGCCCUCGCCCUCACCCUCGCCCUCGCGCACAUUCCCUUCAACUUCCCCUCCUUCGCCGCCUCGCCUUCGCCCUCGUUGCUCUUUGCCUACCUCUCCAUAAACGCCCACCCCGAUUUCCUCCCUACUGUCGCCGAAAUCGAGGGGCGGUGAGGGUGGAGGAGAAGGAGGGGAGCAUGUGGAGAAAAAAAUGGAGAGAAAUCACGGCCGAUCGAGGUGUGAAUCGCAGUCGAUAGAGGCGGCGGCUCAGGAAGAUGAGGGAGAAGACGAAAAUGGUGAGGGGCAAAAUGGUCAUUUUACACAUCGUACCCUUCCUGUGAAUAUUUUUUAUUUUAUAAGGGGGCAAAGUGUAGGUUUUUAAAUGACAGGAAGAAAAGUAAAAAAUCGAAUUUUGACAGAAAAAUUUUAUAUAAUUUAGCCUAAUAUUUUAUAUAUUUUAUAAGGUAUAUAAAAAAGCAUUGGUUGAAAAGGAAAUAGUUCUUGAUGCGUAGGAUUUGUAUGGAUGAGUUUGUUUAACUACGGGUAUGUAACAAUGCAUGUAGAUGGUUUUGUAGUACUUUGGGUGCUCUUACUUAAAUACUAUAGGGUCAUCUUAUCUGGGACAUUAAUGUACGUGGGGCAUUUUAGUCCAAUUGAAGCUUCACCAUAAGUUGAAUUAAACACUAAAUUAUAUAUAAGAAAUGUAAUAGUACUUACCAAAAAAAGAAAAAUGAAAUUCUUAUGGUAGAUGAGAGCAAAAUUUACUUAGGAGGUGAGAACUACAUUAUAUGGAGAGAGACUUGAAAGAAUCAUAGGAUUACAGGGUUCACACGCCUUUAAAAAAAAAAAAAAAAACUAAUCACUUGAAUUGUAAAAUAGUAUAAAAAUUAAGAUAAAAAUGUAUAUAACUUAUCUGAACUAUGGAUGAUUUUGAGUUAACUAUUCUAUCUUUCAAAAUUUGGAUAGUAAAAUUAAAAUUUUAAAAAAUUAAAUAGUGAAAAAUGAUCCACGGUUUAAGUAAGUUAUGCACGUUUUCAUUAGAAAUAAAUUCUCAAGCUUCUUUUGCUUGUUAGAAGAGUCUCUCUACAGCAAAAACAUACAAAAGUCUACACUCAUCCUUGAAAGGACCUGGAGAUUGCAUUUAAUCUGGCAGAUCUGCAAAUAAAUGAGAAUCAUCUGUCACUUUCAGAGGAAAUAAAACCCAAUUUGUUCCUUUGUUCACAUGAGUAGCUCUUCUAUUUUUUAGGUCAUUGUUUCUCUGAACAAAUAAUAAUAAUAAUAAUAAUAAUAAUAAUAAUAAGAAUAGUAUUAUCAACAAUAAUGCAGAUUCAAUGUACAUUAUAUAUAUGAUUCGUCGUUAUAUAACAGUUUAAGAAUUACAAGCACAUAAUAUAUAUUCGGAGGAUUCUGAGUUUGAAUUUUAUCGUAUCCAUCCAUUAGUUCAUUAUUGAUAGAAAAAGUGUACAUGACAUAAGCUUUACUGGAAACUUAAGCGCGUUUUGAAAAGGAUAUUUGAACUAUAAAAAUCUUUUACUCAAAGAAUAUAAAAAUUUAGAUUUUACUAUAUAAUUUUUUAAUUAAUCUCGUUUAAUUAUCUCUCACUUAGAACUUAAGGAUAUUCCCAAAAAAAAUUAACUAUCUCAUUACUCCAUGAAUACAUGGCAAUUUUUUUUUUUCUCUCCAUUAAUUUGUAGAAAUUAAACGUAAUUGAAUUUUUUUUAAAAAAAAAUCAAGAGCAAUGGAAGUUUAUAUAAUAAUUGGAAUUUAUAAAAUUUAGAUAUUUAUUACAAAAUUGGUUAAAGUUUAGCUAAGGUCUUAGGGUGUGUGUGUGUAUAUAUAUAUAUCACGGUUACUAUACUAUCUAGAAUACUGGAGUUCUGGUACUAAAGUCAUGUUUUCAACCCUAGGACAUUCAAAUCAACGAUUUACACCCUUAAAACUAAUUUAGAGUAUUUAAAACUUUUAGAAAUAAAUUUUUUUUUUAAUUUUUUCAACAUCGUUUACUUUAUUAUCAAAUCCAUUUGUUUAACAUUCUCUAUUUUUACCGACCGUCCCUAGAGCAAGUGGCAAAGGACUUGGUGGUUGGUACCCGAGACCCAAGUUUGAAUCCUAGUUGAUUCAUAUUUCCAGCUAAGUUUAUUUCUAAAUGAAAUAAACGAACCUGGUAGCGUGCUACCUAUCUCUCUCAAACAAAAAAAAAAAAAACAUUCUCUAUUUUUAAUCUUCCAAAAUCCAUUUGUUUCAUUCAUUUGCUUUUAACAGAAAAGCUAAUUCAAACAAAGUGCAAAGAACAUUCCUCACAUGUUAUAAUAUUUUCUCUUUCUUUUUCUUUUUCUUUUUUUCCUUUUUUAUCUCGAGUUUCAAAGUACCUUAUCAAUUCAUAUUUUGAAGUUUUAAUGAUUGUUUUUACAAAAUAUAGGGACUAUUUUGUUACAUUAAAAAAUUAAAAGUCAAAAUACAAGUUGUGAAACGUCAAGGAACUCGAGUAUAUAGUAUAUACAACUGCUGAAGAACUAGAUACGCCAUCUAGUUAAAAAUUAGCUUAAACACACACAAGAGAUAAAAAAACAAAAAAAAUAAAAAUAAAAAUGCAUAGAAUUUACUUGAACUUUCACGUGAUUUGAUUCAACUAUCGACCUUUUAAAAUUUGAUUUUAAUACGUAACCUUUCAGUUCAUCUGAAAUAAGCCAUUUGAUGAGUUUUUCGGCACAAAUUUUAGACUCUUUACUUAUUUUAAUAAAAUUAUAGUUAUAUAAAUUAGAAAAAAUUUCAAACACUAUUCAUGUGGUUUUGCACUUUCUCACUUUAGUACCAUGUACUAGUUUAAAAUAUAUCACUUUUGUACCUUGUAAUUUUAUUUUUUUUAUUUUUGUUAUUCUCUUCACUAGCUUUUUUCGUUAAAUAAGUGAUAAAGUUAAAACAAAAUGGUAUUAAAAUAAAUAUUCGAUAAACUAUAGGUAGGUAUUUGAAGUUUUUUGUAUAGGAUUUAACGAAAAGUUAACAGAUGGGCUGACGAAAAGAAAAAAGUAAAACCACAUAAUACUAGAUUGAUACAACUUAAACCGCAUAGUAGUAAAAUAAAAAAGUGUGAAACCACAGAGAUGAUAAUUGAAGUUUACUGUAUAAAUUAUAUAAAAUAUACUAAUCAAACUAAAAAAAAAAAAAAAAGGGGAGAAAAAUAAAAUAAAAAAGCAACACAGCUUUAGAAGCUUCAGAAAACCUGAAAUUGGGUACUAGUAUGUAUAUUGUAAAGUGGGGCUCCAGUGUUACAAAAUCAAUGAAUAGUGUGGAAGGGUCACUGAGAUCUGUGGGGAAUCUAACACACUGUGCACAGACAUUGCAACUACCUGCAGGCAUUUAAUGUGAUCUUGCUCUCUUAACUGACCCCUCUGCACCUCUAAAUUGUGUUUAAGGAGAAAAAUAGCUUUGAAACAUCAAAUCAAAAGCACAAAUUCUAUAGGAACAAAUGCUAAGGUACCUGUACAAAUAGUCUCAGUAGCUGUUAAUGUGCUGAUAUUUUAACAUAUUAUAUAUUAAUUGGCGUGUAUACGAAUGAUUUAGCUUGUCAAAGUGGCUGUUCAUAUCAGAUGGGAUGUCUAAAUUUUUUUCUUUUUUUAAAAAAAACAUGAACAGUUGAUUUGCUUUCAGUGGUAUUUGUGGAAGUAUCUUCUAACAGUGCUAAAGUCUCUAUAUAGAUAGUCUGAAAAGGUAUAUAUGAAAGUAUCUUUUAAUAGUGUUAAGAUCUCUCUAUUGAUAGUCUGAAAAGUUUGUUAAUAUACUGACAUUCUAAUAUAUUAUAUACUGAUUGGUGUAUAUAUGAAUGAUCGAUGUGGUAUAUGUGGAAGUACCUUCUAAUAGUGUUAAGUUCUCUCCAUAGAUAGUUUGAAAAGUUUUUUAAUAUACCGGCAUUCUAUUAUAUAUAUUAUAUACUGAUUGAUGCGUAAAUGAAUGAUUCAGCUCGCAAGAGUGAUGUCAAUAUCAGGCGUGGUAUCUAACAUAUUUUUAAAAAAAGAACAUGAACCACUGAUUUGUUACUAUGUGUAUAUGUUGAGAUACUUUUUAACACCUGUUGAGGUAUCUUACAAAUAAUCUAAAAAGUUGCUAAUGUAUUGACAUUCUUUUAUAUUAUUUAUUGAUUUACAUGUAUAUGAAUGAUUUUGCUCGUCAAAGUGGAAGUCCAUAUCAGGUGCGAUGUCUGAUUUUUUUUUUUUUUUUAACAAAAAGCGUGAAUUAACCACUGAUUUGCUACUAUGGGUAUAUGUUGGGGUUAUGUUUAACACUAUAAGGUAAUCCUAUAGAUAGUCUGAAAAGUUGUUAACGUGCUGGGAUUCCAAUAUGUUAUAUAUUGGUUGACAUGUAUAUGAACUAUUUAGCUCGUCAAAGUGGAUAUCCAUAUCAGAUCCGGUAUCUGAAAUUAGUUAGUAAAAAAAAAAAAAAGUAACAACCUAUUUACUACUGUGAGUAUAUGUUGAGGUAUUUUUUGGAGUAUGCAUGGUCUUGGAGAGAACAAACUGGUUAGGGCUUUUAAUUCUACUGCAACCUGCAGCAUGUGAUGAAGAUUUGACUCAUCAUAUCAGGAGGGCAGUCUUCCAAUUAUGAAGCAAAAAAUUUCUUUUCAUGGAGCAAAUUUUGUUCAUUAAUGCUGUAUUCUAGAAACUAACCAAACUGGUGGACCAUCUCCAAGAUUAUUAUUAUUAUUACUAGGUUAUUUUGGAAAAAUAAAAAUAUUUUACCACUUUUAUAAUGUAAAUUUCUUAUUCUCUUUCCGCAACAUUAGUUAGAUAUCUAAUUUUUAACGGCUAUUAAUUUACUGUUAUCUUCGUUUAAAAGUUAUUUAUUGAAUUAUAAACUAAAUUUGACCAUAUUUAAUGAAUCUGUUAUUUUUUUUUAUAAAUAAUGCUUUGUUAAUAGCACUUCCAAAACUAUCAUAAAAGGUACUAAAAAUAGAUAAAAUUGUAUAGAACUUAAAUAAAUUAUAGUCCACUUUAAUUUGACUAUCCAAUCUCUCAAAAUUUUGAUUACAGCACACAACAUUUCAAUUUGUUUGAUCUAAUUCAUUCGAAGGCCCUUCCGAUGCAAAAUUUAAGCCAAUUGCUUAAUUUUAAUAAAUUUAUAGUUUCAUGAAUUGCAAAUAAAUAUGCUAAUAAAGUACAUAAAGAUGAAUAACACUUUAAAAUUUUAAAGUUAAAGAGUCAUUAACUAGUUCAAAUUAAUUAAAUAAAUUAAAAGGUUAAAUAGCAAAAUUAAAAUAUUUAAAAAUUAGAUAGUGGAAUCCAAAAAGGAUUGUAACUAAGAAAAGUUCCAUAUUUUUUGUCACAUAUAAAAAAAAAAUAAAAGCACCAUUUUUUUUUAUUAACUUAAGUUUUUAAAGAAUAACAGUUAUACAUGUCGUAUAUUUAAUAUGGUAUCAAAACAGAAGAUCUUAAGUUUGAAUCACGUCAGGCUCCUAAUAUUAUUAAAUUUUUUUUAUUUAAUUCAAGUCCAUGUCCUAAGUCUGAAUCACGUCAGGCUUCUAUUUCACUGUUGCAUAAAAUGGGGGCAUCUCAUGAAAAACGUCAGGCUUCUAUUUCAUUGUACUAAACAUGAUCAUAUAUCAAUAAUUUAAGUGGCAUCAAUGGUUCCAUUAGGCUAGGUUUUUAGGUUAAGUCCUUAUCUUUCUUGUUUCUUUAGCAAUAGUUUCCAAAAACCAUGAGUGACUAGUCAAGAUCAUACGUUUAAUGCAAUAAUGCAACCCUUAAUUGGAUGUAUUUAAUUAUAACAACUUAAUUUACGAGGAUAAUAAAGCGAUAAAGCGAUAAAUAACGCAGUCGAUGGGCCGUCGAUUUCCAUGAGAAGUUAUGAACAAUGCAUGUACUAAUCGUCAUUCCUGUUUGCAUAUAUGAACAUCUUGUUCGAUGAACUAUUUUCUUAAUUGGAUGUAUUUAAUUAUAACAACUUAAUUUACGAGGAUAAUAAAGCGAUAAAGCGAUAAAUAACACAGUCGAUGGGCCGUCGAUUUCCAUGAGAAGUUAUGAACAAUGCAUGUACUAAUCGUCAUUCCUGUUUGCAUAUAUGAACAUCUUGUUCGAUGAACUAUUGCAAAAUAAUUAACGACUUAAAUAGUUAAAUACAAAACUAAUCAUAUCUAUUGCAGUUGGCUAAGAAGAGCUUGAUGAUUAAUUAGUAUCUGAAGUCCCAAGUUUAAAAGUCCAAAUAUUUCACCUUUUUAGCUGAGUUUAUUUUUUUAAAAAAUAAACAAAGCAGAUAACUUGCUAAUAAUUCUUUUUUUUCUAGUUUCUGUUAACCUAGUCUUCUAUUUCGCUAAUUUCUUUCCUUGAAUUGUAUCUCAAAGAAUGCUAUUGCAUCUACCUAUGAAGGCUUGCCACCACUCCAUAGAAGUUGCACACUUGCAUAUCGAUUGGGAUUUAUUCUGUUGGGAAUUAGAUGAAUCGUAUAGAAGUAUAAGUUUGCAUCUUAUAUCUUCUUAAUUAGAUAAGACCAAUUAGAAAAGUAAAGAAAUUUAUAAUAAAAUUAUUUAUGUUGUUGCUUCGAAAGAUGCGAACUGCUCAGACAACUAGUCGAGAAUCUCUGCUCUGCUGCUGACCUAGAACCUGACGUAACAUGCAAGCUACGGAACCUUCUCUCUUUGCUGUCAUACACCAAGGAAACCUCACGAGGUUUGUACUGUCGAAUCAUGUAAAUAUAUAUUAGUCUCUUUUUUCUAUAUUUUUUUACUGUCUAAUUUAUUUUUAUUUUCAUACAUCUAUAGACAUCACAUAUGAUAUAAAUAUUAGGAAAAACUUCAAAACCCCCCCUGUGGUUUCGUAGUUUCUCACUUUGCCCCCCUGUGGUUUAAAAUAUAUCAAUUUGUCCCCCUGUGGUUUCUUUUUUCUCUUUUUCUUAUCAAUUUUAUUAUUUUUUUUUCUUAAAUCAGUGAUAAAGUUAAAAUUAAAGGGGACUAAAGUAAAUAUUUGAUAAAUCUAGAUGGGUAUCUGAAGUUUUUUGUAUAUAAUUUAAUAAAAUAUUAACGAAAAAGUUACUGAAAAAAUAAAAACGAAACCACAAGGGGGAUAAUUUGAUACAUUUUAAACCACAGGGGACAAAAUGAGAAACUACGAAAACAUAUGGAGGAAUUUUUGAAGUUUUUCCUAAAUAUUAAUCUCUUCUCUCUAUACUUUUUUACUCUUUAAUUUAUUUUUAUUUUCGUACAUCUAUAUUGAUAUUGCGUAAUCGACAAAUCAACUAAUUUCCAACAUUGCAAAAAUUAUAUCAAAACAUUUUUCGAGGAGCCAUGAUUGGAGAUGAUGAUUAUUAAUUAAUAAAAAUUUGAAGAGAGAAAAAUAAAUAAAGAAACAAGUCUACUCAUAGAGAAAGAAUGAUGGAAAUCAGUGUCAUAACUUUAUUGGACAAGAGAAGAUUACAAAAUCAUGACUAUGCCAACAAAAAAACAACCAAAGUGACCAUGAGCCAUUUUAAUUUAUAUAAUUUUCAUUUUCAUUUUAUUUUUAAAUCUCUUUUACUUGAUUUGAAAAUUACAGGAAAAACUAAAAAAAAAAAGGAAACGAGGAGUCUCGGGAAACAGCAGGGGACUGGUCGAGUAUAGUGAUUGGACAAAUGAGAAAUUUUUUUUAAAAAAAAUACAAAAAAGCAAUGCUCCUCUGAACCGAUGUUAUAAAUAAUAAAUCUUAUAUAUUUUGAGAGAGAUAGGUAGUACGCUAUCCGUUUCGUUUAUUUCAUUUAAAAAUAAAUUUAGCUAGAAAUGUCAGUCAACUAGGAUUCGAACUUGGAUCUCGAGUAUCAAUCACCAAACCCUUUGCCACUUGCUCUAGGGACGGUUGAUAAAUCUUAUAUAUUUAGAGCAAUACUAUUCGAUACAUUCCGUUAGAAUAUGUAUAAUUUAUAUUUAUUUAUUUAAUAAAAUUUUUUUAAUUUUUCAUAUUUUACAUUAUGUUUUAAUACUAAAUUUUUGAAAAAAAUUAAAAUUUUAAAUUAUAAAAUAUAAAAUUUGUAUUUUAUAAUAAAACAUGUAAGAUUAUAUAUAUACAUAUAAACACUAUUAAAUUUUCAACCAUUAAAUUUAACCCUUUGGCAAAAAGUGUUGACCAAGUCUCUGGCCAAGUCAAAUUGAUUGCAAGAUAGCCCCAUGAUUUAGUAGAUUCUCACUGAACGGUCUUAAAAAUUUAUUUAUAUUAAAAAUCUGUCGUUAAGUGGAAAACAAAAGUUUAUUAUUUAUAGGUCACAUAGUAAUAAAGUAAUACUAGUGAAGUUGCCAGCGUAUUGCGGCGGGCUAAUACUAUAGAAGAUAAAAGAUUGAUAAAAUUAAAUUUUAAAAUUUUUUAACUUAUCAUGAGACAUUAAUAGAUACAAAUAGAAAAUAUAAAAUAGAUAUAUACAAAUAUAAUAAAAUUCACUACAACAAAAACGGUCUAUAGCGACACUUUUAAAUAUCGGUAUAGGUCAAAAAAAGUGAUACUGGCUAAAUUACCGACACUUUUAAAAAGUAUUGUUAUAUGUGGGGUUGUUAGAUAUAUAGUGACAGCUAAAGAGUGUCAGUAUAACCUAAAAAGAGUGCUGCUAAUUUACUAACACUCAUUUAAGCAUUUAGCAACCGCUGGAACUCUACCUCGUUGGUUGCGAUGGCGGAGAAUAAGGAGAGGGAAGGGCUCUUCGUCUAGAAUUUCAGUGAAUUGAGUGAGGGGAGAAGGGGAGAUGGUAAUCAAUUUUUCUUUUUUUUUUUCUUUUCUGUUUGUAAUCGGCCUGAAUGGGUUGGGUGGGGUGGGUUGAGUAGAAUAACCUUUUAUUUUUUAUUGGAUUGGGCUUUAUAUUUAGGCAUUAGUAGAUUUUUAUUUUUUUAAGUUUUGAUAUACAUGGGACACUUACACAAAUUUAUCCCAAAUAUGUGUCACUAUAACCUAAUUCUAUUAUAGUGAAACUUACAACAAUAAAUAAAUUAUAUAUAAUAUUAAUAAAAAAAGCAAUAAUAAAUCCUCUAUACGCAUCUUGAUCGCUUUAUCGAGAUCGGAGAGGCGAUUCCUGUUCUCUGUAUCACCUGCACCGCCAAUGUCGGUGUCGAAUUUCUCCUUGAUCACGACCACGUCAAUACCUUACGAAUUUCCCCUCACCCAUCGCUUCUUCCUCCUCAUCGACUCCAAAUCCAUCACACUCCACCUCGCCGCCCCGCCGUGAUCUUCAGAUCCCUAAUCUCAAUCCCCACACAAUUUUAAAAAAUAAAAAAAAAAGAUUAAGAAAAAUAGAAAAAUUGAACCCUUCGUGUGCAAAAAAAAAAAAGAGCAAAAAAAAGUGAUUAAAAAAUGUAUGAAAAGAUCUUACUUUAUUUUUUUUUAUUUAAAGCGAUUGUUUAGAUGAAAAUGAAUUAUGUGAAUACAUUAAUUAGAAAGUGGGGGGUGGAAAGACGAAGCAUCGGACAGAGAUAGGGUGGGAAAGUGAAGCGUCAGGGAGUGGGAAAUAGGGCGAAAGAGUAAUUGCCAUGUGACAAACUCUAUAAGAAAUACUGUAUAAAUAGAUAGAUACAGAAUAUAGAUAUAGAUAUAAACUAUAGAAUAAUAUAAUAAUAUAAUAUUUUACUAACGUACAAUUUGUAUUAAGUCAUUUUAUAGUUUGUAAGAUCUAUUAUUUACUAUUAUAUUUAACAACAUAUUCUGUUGAUAAAAUAAAGACAAAAAUUAAAUAGUAGCAAAAUAAAACUUUUACAAUCAUAUGAUGGCUCAAUAAAAGUAUAUUAAAUCAUAGAAAAGCUAAUUGAAGUUUUGCCGAAACAUAAAAAUAAAAACAUAUGGAGUCCCCGGCAAUUUUCUCUACUAGAAAUAUAGAGAUAUUGGUGCUUUUAAAUUAUUUUUGAUAAUGAGAUAUCUAAACCGAUGAUAGGUUUUAUUAUACAUUAUUUAUUAUUAAUAAUAAUUAGCUAAGUCCAAAUUACUGAUCCAAAAUAUUUAAACACAAUUUCAUUUCUAACAAAUAUAGGACUAUUGAGAUGCCAGAAUCUCCUCCAGUUUAGGUUCCAACGGUCUCGUCAACCCAACCAUACACAUAAUCUAAAAUCACCGGAUAAUAUAAGGCUCAACUCACAUUUUUAACUACUAAGUUAAUUCUAAUACCAAAUAUAACUAUCCAAAAUUAAGAUAUUAUUUUUAUUCAAUAUUAACAAAUAAUUUAUGAGAGCAAUAGUAUAUAUAUAUAGCAUACGGACAAAAAUUUUAUGGGCACCAUGCCCAAACAAUUUGUUUGGGCACGGUGGUUUGGGCACGGUGCCCGGAUCCGCACCCUCAAAAAAAAAAAAUUUGAUGGACUCGAUUUUUAAGAAGAAAAGAAAGAGAGGGAAGAGAGGGUGCGGAUGGGUGCCGCUGCACACGCGGCGCCCAUUUGGGCACCAUGCCCAAACAAAUUGUUUGGGCACGGUGCCCAUAAAAUUUUUGUCCUACAUAUCUAUCUAUUAUGUGAAUUCCGUUCUUCUUUUNUUUAGUUUUUUUUUUUUUUUUUUUUUUUUUUUGGGCCUUUUGUGGUCUAAUCAACUAUAGUUUGAUGAUUUGAUUCCAGUAGUAAUUUCUCACUGCCAUUUUCCUAUUUGCUUUCCAAGUUCUUCUCGUUUGGUCAAACAAGUCACAUCAAUUGUACAACAUAUAAUUGCAAGUAAUAAUAUAAUAAUAAUAAUAAUAAAAAAUUACUACAACAGAAUUAGGUUAUAGGGACACAUGUUUAGGACACUUUUGAGUAAGUGUCUCAUUUAUGCUAAAACUUAAAAAUACAUCUACUAAUGCCUAAAUAUAAAGCCCAAUCCAACCAAAAAUAAAAGAUUACUCUACUCAGCCCACCACACCCAGUCCAUUUGGCUCAAUUACAAACAGAAAAGAAAAAAAAAGAAAAAUCAAUUACCAUCUUUUCUUCUCUCUUCACUCAAUUCACUAAAAUUCUAAACGAAGAGCCUUUACUAUCGUCCUCCUCCGCCACCGCAGCCAACGAGAUAGAGUUUCGGCGGUUGCUAAAUGCUUAAAUAAGUGUUGGUAAAUUAGCAGUAUUCUUUUUAGGUUAUAGUGACACUCUUUAACUGUCACUAUGUACCUAGCGACCCCACAUAUAGCAACACUUUUUAAAAGUGUCGGUAAUUUUAGCUAGCAGCACUUUUUUGACAUAUACCUACAUUUAAAAGUGUCGCUAUAGACCAUUUUUAUUGUAGUGAAUUUUGGCGAUGGCUUUUGAUUAUAAAUGGUACUUUGAAAUUGCAUCUUUUUUUUUCUCAGGGUAAAUUAUGUCAUUAGAUAGUAAUUAAUAAUAGAGUUAAUUUCAUUCAGGUCCAUAUAAAUAUGGUGAAUAGCAAAUAUAUUUCUAUAAAGUUCAACUUUUAUAAGUUAUCCCUACGAAAGUCCUAAUGUAUUCAGAUAUGUCCCUAUGGUUAGGAUUCGUUAGAGAACUGCUUAUUUUUAACGGUAGGCUCGUGAAAUGAUAUUUUUGCCAUCAUAAAUAUGUCUCUCUAAAAAUCUUAUUAAUUUUUUGCCCUUUUCCUCUUUCUCUUUCUUCUCGGGCUGCGGGAGCGGGCAGCGGCGGCGGCGGCGGACGACUCCGGCAACGUCGCGGAGCUUGUCGAAGUUGUGGCCAACGAGGAUGAGGUUGAGGCCCGCAGCAGCGAGGCAGAAGGCGAAGGUGAGGCCGUUUUGGAAACGCUCGUGACGACAACCCACGCGAGGACGAUCGACGACGACGAAAUAGAAGAAGGAAGAGAAAAUGAGGAAAAGGAGGAUACGAAGAAAAAGAGGAAAAAGAAGAAGCAAAAGAGGAAGAGGAAGAGGAAGAAGAGAAAAAGGAAGAGAAAGAAGAUGAAGAGGAAGAGGAAGAAGAAGAAGGGCAAAAUUGUCAAUUCAUCUCAUUAAUUAAUCAUGGUUAAAUAUUUUAACUGUGGUUAACUAAAUUUUUUUAAUGAAUACUAACGGCAGGAACAUAUCUGAAUACAUUAAGUCUUUUUGUAGGGAUGACUUUUGAAAGUUAAACUUUGCAUGAAUAUAACUGCUAUUCACCAUGUUUGUAGGAACCUGUAUGAAGUUAACCCUUAAUAAUAAUAAGUAGAAUAACUAAGAAAGAAAAAAAUAUUCAACCUUACCCCCAAAAAAAGAAAAAAUAAUAUAUAGUUUGAUUAAUUUCACUCAAACAUCAAAGUUGAGAGCUCAUGAGACGCUUGCCUAAGUGGGUCUCAGUAGGGAAAAAUUCUAGAAUGCAACGGGUAUAUUAGUGACGUGGCGUAACAAACCAAUCAAAUUAAUUUUUUUAAGAAUAUAUGUCCCAUCAUGAUUGUAAAAAAGUAUUUUUAUUGUACUUUUGUUUGCAAAGAAGGAAUGUGAUUAGCUUGUUAUUGAUGACGUGGUGCAAGUGUGACAGUGUAGAAUUCCUCCUCAGUAGGACUCUCAACAUAAUUUGGUACGUAGAAACUCUAUCACUCGUAAAAGCUCAGUUGCGGAAAUUUCACACCAGAACUAAGUUAUACGAAGUUGUGAAAUUCGAUUGUACGCGAAGUUUGAAGCUCCUGGGACGCUUUAUACAUUGGUUGCAGCUAAAUUCUGAAACUCAUUGCAUCUUGCAAACAUCGUCGAUUCUCUUGAGUUUCUUGCACCGGAGAGUUCUGUUGUGAGUUCGAGCGAACCAAACACACCCUAAUCUCUAGUAAUACUGAGAAACUCUGAGCCCGAUAGAGACUGGGCACCUGUAUCAUGAGACAAAGUUUAUAACCCAAUGGGCCUAUCUAUAAUGUUAUACUAAAGAUAUUUUUAGCUAUGUUUCCGAUUCAUAGUGCACACCCACACAAAAAAAAGCCCGAAAUUCAUUAAAGAAAGAAAGAGCUAAUUAUGAAAAUAGUUGUCAAAAUUUUAAAUUUAUCAAAUUUUUACCGACUGUCCCUACUGCAAGUGGCAAAGAACUUGGAGCUUGGUACCCGAUGUCCAAAAUUUAAAUCCUGGUUGAUUCACAUUUUCAGUUAAGUUUAUUUAUAAAUGAAAUAAACGAAACGGAUAGCAUGCUUACCUAUCUCUCAAAAAUAGAUUCUGCAAUUGUCUCCAUGUCUGAAGCAAUGUUGCUCAUCUUUUCUCCAAAAAGUAUAAAUCAUAAAUCAUAAGAAAAUAAUUUAUAGUUUUUUUUGAAAAAGAAAUAAUGUUAUACUCACUCACAAAAGUAAAUGAAAGUAGAGUCGAAACAAAUUUACUGAUUUUACCUCCAAUCCUAUUAAAUGUGUUUCGCUUACUAGUCAUAUUUGAGUAUAAAAUAUUUAAGUAUUAUUAAAAAUAAUUAUUUUAUUGAAUAUUAGAAGAGGAAGAUUUUGCAUUUCUGUAUCCCGAAAAAAGCCUUAUAUUAAAAGAUUCGAAUAUUGUUUUCUAGCAAGUAGGAACCUAGGUUUUUUUACAUAAAAGCCCCUAUUAAGUCAAGUCAUAUUUUUCUUAGGCAAGAGCUGCAAAAAUAUAUAUAAUAACAGAACUUUGAUUUGAACGCUCCCAUAAUUUGAGGACUAAAAUGCAAUAUGUGAAAGCUUCCGAGCCGAAUACAACCGGAGUAAUAGUUCGAGGACAUCGGUGUAAUUUAUCCUCUUCGAUACAUUGUUACGCACGUGUGGAAAAUCGUAUCUUAAGAUCCCAUACGGGUUAUCGGGUUGCGCCUUGUCGAAUACCCGUUAACUCAAAUCCGUUUCGUUGGCCCAUCCUCGCCCGCUACCAAACGAACCCCUUCCCUCUCCCUCUCUCUCCCCUCCCCCCUCCAAAACCACCGCUUAAACCCUUCGUCGUCGUCCUCCUCCUCUUCCCCUACACCGUAAAAACCCUAGCGCCCAUAGCGCCUCCGCCUCCUCCCCGGCCGCGCCGACGCGGAGGGCAGCGGCGGCGGCGUCGCCGGCGAGGAGCGCUGCGAGCGCGACCUCCUCCUCCGCGGCGAUCGCGGCGGGGAGAGGCAGCGCGGGAGGACGAGGUCCGGGACGCCGCGGAAGAGGAGGAGGAGGUCGCCUUCAUCGGAUCUUUGGGUUUUCAUGGCAAUGUGUGAAUGAACUGUUGAUUUGUUUUUUUUUUAUUUUUAUAUUUUGGUUGAUUUUGCAGGGAAAUUGAGGGGGUAGAGAGAGAGGAGAGGUAGGCAUGUCCGAUAACGCGUAAUGGUUUUUGGGUUCGUGCUAUCUCGUUGCAAGGUAAAAUUUUGUAUUUUGAAAUUAAAUUUAAAUACAAAGCCAUUUCCACAAAAUUUAUCAUGAAAUUUGACCUAGUUACCAAAUUUUCAUUUUCUAUCAGUUGAUGUACGCUACUUCAUCUCUUUAUUAUUAAUAUUACAUGACGUUUGAACGGAGCAUUCAGUUAAACAAUAAUUGAGGUUUGAUGCAUCGGUGGUAAUGAUUUGAAUUUUUAUGCGUAAGAUGAAAUUUCGCAAUAUGGCUAGUUUGAAACUUUGAAUUUAAAUUUCGUCAUCAACAUGAUUUUUUUUUUGUUUUAUCCUUAAACAUGUUUGUUGAAAUGUUACGAUAACUCCCGUGAGAGUUGAAUGAGUGUGGUUCUGUUCCACUCUAUUUUUAACAAUACUAUAUCUAAAUUUUAAGUUUUAAACAUGUCUUGCUUGUUUAUUUCUUUCUUUGUUGUCGCAAACUGGUAUCUAUCACACAAUCUGAAGAAUUAAAUGGUAAUUUUGGUAGACAACCUGGUUUUAGCAGAAGCUAAUGUUCAAUGCAUUGAACCAUCAAUCGCAGCAGAUUACAAUUUUGUGACUUCAGUGAAAUUUUUGGGAGCUGAGCGAUCAAUACCGUUCAAAUGUUCGACGAAGUGAUUCCAUAUGUUUUAGGUGACUCUUUAAGUUUUCAAUCGAUACUGUUGUUCGAAAGUUAAGCAGCCAAACUAUUGGAGGCUCUAACGAGCAUCAGAAAACAAGCAAAGAGAAAAUCAAGAGACUACAUCUUGUUUUGUUGCUUGGAUAAAAAAUUUGAGGGAACCAAAGAAUAAGAGUGAACAACUCCCGCCAAAGUUCAUUUUCUUUCUUCUCAAAAGAAAAGGGGAGAAUAGUAACAACAGUAUCAAAUCUUUCUCUUUUUUCCUAUUUUUAUAGGUUCAAACGACAUAACAGAGAAUCAUUUUUCUCUCCUCUUUCUCCUUUUUUUUUCCUCCUUUUUUUUCCCUACUGUUUCCUCAUUCUUUUCUUCCAAACAGAGUGCAAAACUGAUUUUCCUCUGAAGAAACAAAACCUGAUGAAAAUUACAAGCACUCGACAUGAGGAAAAUGCAUAUUCACACUGUUAUCCAUCAACAGCAUCCAAGCCCUCUUAGUACCAUAACCAGUCCCCCAGAUAUGGCGUGAAAAAAAAAAAAAAGGGAAAAAGAAAUCUGUAGCUCUACGCCAUCAAGUGCAUCACCUCUUUGGCUUCCUAGUGUCUUCUAUGGCGUGACGAGGAGGAUGAUGAGGACCCAGCGGAACCGCGCGAGGAAGACUUCUCGUAAGGUGGCUGAAACCCGAUGUUCUCCACGGCACCAACGGUCUUAAAAUGUCGUUUAUUCAGCUCCUCCACCAGGGUCCGGUGCAACAGCUGGCUCCGCACGUCCACCAUCGACCGGUUCUUCAUCAUUCUCCGCCCGUCCACCACCGGCCUUUUGCCCCUGCUGCUAGUGCCCAUUUCACGAAAGUGGGGCUCUUGUAGUAUGUUGCACUGCUUGUGUAGUUUGGAGGCGAGGGAGGUCAAUGUCUCUGCUGCUGUAUUCCCUUUGGGGUGGAACCUUAUAAUCGACUCGUGGCUGCUUGGACCGGGCUGAGUCUGAGCCUCUCUCUGGACCAGGGUUGUGCCAAUAUCUUGUUCGUUGGCCGAGUAGAAGUUUAUGGCAGAGUACUUGCCGGAGUGUGUGGAGCUCAUGUCAUCAUCAUCAGGGUGAAGUACAUCUACACAAGAGGUUAAUAGAAGAGGUAAAUGACUUGAUAAUUAUUAUAAUUGGGUGCUUCUGUGGCAUAAUAAAACUUUAUGUAGUUCUGAUUGAAGGAAAAGUGGUCUGAUGCAGAGUGAUGUAUGGGUGUAAGAAGAAGGCCAUUUACCUGGAAGCCAGUUUUCUUUACGAGACUUUCCCUGUUGGCAAAGGAAACCUUGAUAAGGCCCUAUACCAAGUAAUGACCCUUGUGAGGAGGAAGGGGAGGACAUGUAGUAGAAAGGGUGAUUGUUCUCAUCUUCAUCCUCGUCUCCAUAGUUGUAGUCCUCGGGUGGGACGCCACCAUUCCAACCUGGCACCAGAAUGGAGAUCUCUUGCGCUAUCAUCUCUGCGAUCUCCGUCGGCUUCCGAUCAGUGAUCUCCAGUUCCCUUACCAUCUCAUUCGCCACAUCAAUAGGUGUGUCGCUCAUGAUGUCAAAGGGGAAAUAUAUGUUCCUCACUUCACCUAAAUAGACAAAACUAUACCUAGUUAGUACAUUAUGACUCUGAACUUCUGCAUUUUGGUGUAUAUUAGCAUGUAACAAAUGUAUAAAUAUGCAUAUUAGUGACUAAAUAUCACAGCAUAAUCAAGUAAAAGAGCAGCAAUAUUAUGUUUUAAAUGAAUUCAGUGCUCUAGCACUCAUUUGAUGUAAUUUUUCCUUUUUAUUUUUAUUUUAUCUAUCGCUUCUUUAUAUUCCAUAAAGAUCAUGUACACAUCUGCCGAAGCUCUCAACCUUUUUCUUUUCUUUUUUUCCAAAAAAAAAGAGAAGCUUGUAUGUCAACUAUAUUUCAUAAUGCAACCGAUGUUUUGCACCUUGUUCAUCAGCAAUCUGUACUUUGAGUAUGAUGGCAUCAUCAUCCGGAUCCAUCCUGCCUGUGAUUGUCAUGUCAGUUCUCUUCCCUGCUGAUAUAGGCUUACAAACCUCCAGUGUAUGCCCAGGAUUGAUACUUUCGGCCAUAGCGGUAUGCUUAGUUGCUUGAUUUGGCAAGCUCAGCAUAGGACCAAUGUGGCCAUCCAACAAUAGAAAAGGAUCGAGGAGAAGCUCUCUGGCUGACGACCUUUCCGAGGCGUUCGCUAAGCACCGACUGAUGAACCGCUUGGCCUCGAGAUCUUGAAUUCUGUAGUAGGCAUCAGGCAACUUACCCUGUACAUAAAUCGAAAGCAAUUCAGAAUUUAAGUGAUGAAAUUUUAUAGAAGGAUAAGGAUGAAGUAAUUUAGUGACUUACAGAAGUAACUUUCUUGUAGAUUUGUGCAGGGUUCGAGCAUUCGCUGUAUGGGUACUCAGAAGUAAGCAUUUCGAGCAUGCACAUACCGAAGGAGUAUAUGUCCACGAGCUCAUUGUAGUCUUCCUCGUAGAGCUCGGGAGCCAUGAAUUCUGGAGUACCUGCAACAAGGUGAUAUUAGGUGCUAAUGCCCAUGCCCUUCUAAUUGAAUAGUUCAGCUAUGUAUAAGACCAUUCAAUUCUAGUAAUGCGCAUCAUCUAUCAGUGUGAUCAAAACUGAAGCAAAAACAGUUCUAUAUUUCAGAAACACUUUUGCCGAAGCUCCAGGUGACCCAAUUAGACCCUAGAUUAUUAUCAUAAGCUUAGAUAUCAAAAAAUAUAAUUUAUGUAAAUGAGGUAGAGAACAGCUGAUUGAGCUAAAAGUAUAAGGUUUAAUUGCCUAUAACACUGUGUGCAGAUUGUGAACCGCGGAGCACCGCCGCAAGUCCGAGAUCGCCAAUCUUGACCUGCCCGAGAUGGCCGUUGACGAAGAUGUUAUCACAUUUUAAAUCCCUGUGGAUUACUGGAGGAUCGUGACCGUGCAGAUAUACGAGCCCAUGCAGGAUCUGGCGAGCCCAGUUCUUCACAGCUCUGAUGUCGACUCGUCGGUACCUUUGUCGAUACCUGAAUAUCAUCAUUUUGAAUUAUUAUUGAUCGCAAACUUGUUAAUAUGUUACACGCUCUAUCAGAAAAGAAGAGUAAGGUUUGGUGUCUAUUCUUGUAUAUGAAAUAAUACCAAGCUUGUCCACAUGAAAGUUUCGAUAAUGUUUAACUCAACAUGAUCCGGUGAAACAUACUCUCGGAGGGAGCCGGAGGUGAACAUCUCGGUGAUGAAGUUGAAGGUCCGCUUAUGGACGUCGAUCCACGAGGUGUGGAACCUUAUAAUGGACUCAUGGCGGAGAGUGCUGAGGAGAUGGACCUCGGAGUACAUGCGCUGCAACGCCUCAGGUGUUCGCAGAACGUCGCAGAGCUUCGCUUGGUUCCACGCCACCUCAAUCCCGUUGAGCUCGUCGAAUGCUCUGAAGCUGCGGAAACCUCAGUUAAGUAACUCAUGCUACAUAACCCCCAGGAGUAAGUAUCCAAUACUAGUGAUAUAUGUUUGUGAAGAUUAAUUAGAAUGAAUUUUUCUGCGAGAAGGAUACACUGUCUUCAUGGCUCCUUUCCCGAGUUCUUCGUCGAACUGCAAAUAUAUGUAAACAACAUAGUCAAUGUAUGCAUUCUUUCUUCUUCUUUUUUUUUUGGAAAUAAACUGUAUUGAUAUUAUAAUCUCUGUGAAGUUUGAUCAUUGCUCUAAUAUUAUUGACAAGGAUUAUGUAGGACAUGAUUACCCUGGUGCUUCUCCAAAUGAUUUUUAACACAAUUGUUGUAUACUAUGCAUCCAAAAUUUACUAUAUUACUGUGUAAAAUGGAAAGAUGUCCCUACUACUAAAAGUUCCUUUUUUUUUUGGCUCAAUAUCCUCCUACUACUACAAAGUAAAAUUGUUUGUUUGAUUUUGUAUAUAAGUGUGAGCAUCUAUAAUGUGUGUUACAACCAAUAAGAUCAUGGAUAAAUAUUAGUAGUAGGAGAUGAACACUUGCACCCAAAAUGGCUCCCACAUAUCGCAAUCCAUAUCUAUGGUGUGUCCCAUUCAAAUCUUUUAAGCAUAAACUUGUGCUAGCCACCUAUAUCACACCUCCAGGGCUUUUAAUUAGUUUCCUUUUUCUAUAAAAUAUAACUUUACCAACCUCUUUGUGGAGAUGAUAAUUUUUGAAUCUGAUCAAAUUCAGUGACCAAAUAAUAACCAAAUUCAAUGAAUUCAUUGACGAGCAUCAAAAUAAGCUAUUGUAAUUUUCAAUUUACUUCAAGAGUUUAAACUUCAAAUUUGUUUACAAUUGUCGCUUCUUUUCCUCAAGAUGUAAGCCAUGUUCUAGAAGAUCCUCCCACCUACACUAAAGCUAAUAGCGUUGACUAUCAUCGUAUCAUUAUAGUUAUUCGUGUAACGAUCUGGUCCUACUAAUUAUUAGAAUAGUCCCAACCAAUAAUUUUUUAAUGUAAAUUUAACUCACAUAAUCGCGAUAGGGAACUACUCUACUUAAUAACUCACUCAUUCGAUGAUAUUAGUUAGUACUAAGUUACAUAUUACAUGAAACAAAUACGCAAAAAUAAAGUGUCUUAUACAUGAAAGAGAACAAAACCAAGUGGUGAGACCGAGACGUGCACGUAAAAUAUUUCUCCAACAAAAAAAUUGACCGAACAAAGAGAUUUUAAGAACUUACACGCCCGUAUCGGCCGGUCGGAUCGGUCUCGACGUACCCGUUGUCGUCCAUACCCCUCAGUCGAUUAACUCGAAGCUUAUCGCGAUGACGCAAACACGAAGAAAAUUGACCAAAAAAAAAAAAGAAAACGAACUGAAAGCAGAAGCAGGAGCGGGAGCCAGCUGACUACGACAUCGACCGGAGCUCGAUGGAAGGAGAAUUCGUAGGGAGCUCGUGCGCUAGAUUCACGGCUUCCCUUCGUGGUUCGCGUAGGAGAACACGCGGAAGAGGAGCCAGAAGAGCCUCGAGUGGUCGAUCCCCAGCAUGAUCCGCGCCAUGUCGAUGACGAUGACGACGACAACGCGAGAGGUCGAAGAAGCGCCUCGCUAUCAUUUGACGUAAAUCCCGCGUUCGUGCGCAAGAGAUAUAUGGGAGUGAGGAGAAUUUUCCUGGUGGUGGAAUUUGAGUCUAGUAGUGGUGGUGGUGGUGGUGGUGGUGGUGGGGAUAAAAAUGUUUUGCACGUUUUGGGACCUGUCACGUAGGUGGAUAUUAUGGGAAUGAAAUGGGAAAGUUUUGGAGGGAUAUUAUUGCGCGGUGGGGGGCGUUUUGGGAACAAUGAUGUGGGGAUCUGAACUUGAAGACUCUGUGGCUACGCUUUGAUAACACCAUUUGUGGCAAAUAAUGGAAAGGGGAUUGGAAUGGAAUUAAUGAGUGAAAAGGUUCCUCCUCUUUGGAGAUGGUGAAUAUAUGAUAUAGAGAGAGAUAGAGAGAGAGAGAGAGAGAGCUUUUUAUACUAUUUGUGAUGAGAUUAGAGAGAGAGAGAGAAGUAUAAAAGGAGAACUAUUUGUGAUGAGAUUAGAGAGAGAGAGAGAGAGAGAGAGAGAGAGAGAGAGAGGACGAGGAGAAGGAGAAAACUAAAAAGGCGUUGUGACUGGGGAAGGUGGAGAUUUUUGGGUGAGCCGAGUGCGUGUGUAUAUAUGUACAUCAUAAAUUUAUUUAUGAAUUUAUUUAUGUAUCUUUUAAUAUAUUUUGCACUUUUUGUUUUGUUUUGUUUUUUUUUUUAAGAAAUAAUUGCCUAUAUACCUUUCAAAACAUUGAAAAUAUCUUAUUUAUUCCUAUUUUUUUUUCUUUCCAAUUUAUCCCUCAUAUGUUCCUCCGUUAUUCCAAAAUACUCCUGCAGUUACCAUCCGUUAAAUUAAUCAGGUUAAACAUGAGUUAAAUAUCUAUCACAGUUAAAAAAAAAUAAAAUACCAAUUUUGUCUUUAACUUAAGAGUGAGUAAGAAAAGUUGGUGAUGGUAGAAGGGUAUAUUUGAAAAAAUAAAAAUGUAAAAUACUUUUUGUAUCUCUAACUUAAGGGCAAAUAAGAAAAGUCAAUAAUAAUAGAAGAAUAUAUUUGGAAGGGUAAAAUAGUAAUUUCACAGAAAUAACAAAGUUUAUUAACAGAUUUUAACUCUAAGAAUAUCUUAGAAAUAGAUUGGAACGUAAAAAAAGUAUUUUCAAUAUUAGCUUUCUAAGAAGGGUAAAUUAAAAAGUCGGAAAUUUUUCAGGAACAUAUAAGCAAUUGCCCUUUUUUUUUAUGCAGUUGCCCACAUUAUUUAACGUCCCUAUUGGGUUGCAUUUUCUGGUUUUUUUUUCUUAAUUGAUAGUUGAAUAAUUUGGUUUCAAGUUGGAAAUAUUUUGCCAGUAAAUUUGCUGAUACGAAGGGCAUGCUAACAGAUAAUUCUAUAAAAACAUAUGUUAUUCUUUCGAUAUAUUUCAUUUAUUGAAGUAAAAAGUCUAAGAAAUGAAAAGUGAGAUGCUCGAUCAAGAUGCAAUAUUUAUAAAGUAGUCUAUCAGUAUGAUCUUCACCUUUUUGAUUUUUAACUUUUGGGCAAAACUAUUUUAUUAGAUGUUUGAAAAGAAAAUGUUUUGAAAUGUUUCACUAUGACAAAAAAAAAGAAAAAAAAAAGAAAAAAAAAAAACUAAUUUUGAGCUCUCGAUUUUGAGCUCUCGAUUUUUAAACAGACAAAAAAGAUAUAUCGAAUAAGACGUUUAUGCAUCUAAUUCAACAAACCCUCAAUGAUGGGAUGAAGAUUUUACAGAUGAGUUAAUUAUGGCCUUGCUUCGACGGAAUAAGUUAUUCACGACAUCUUAUUCAUUACAAAGAUAUUUUUGUACGGUUCAAAGUAAGAUCUUGAAUUUUUUUUUUUUUUUUUUUCGAAAAAUUUUAGCAUCAACAAUUUGGUUGCGUAACGUAUCUCACCUUCCCAAACAAUGACUUGAGACGGAAUAUAGUACGCACCAUUCGACACAUUUAAUUACACUUUUUUUUAUGUAUCAAAGUACAACAUAACUUUUUGAAUAAAUUAAAAAGGAAAGAUUAUCAGAAUUAUUAUGUAUACACCACAGACGAGGCCUACGUGGCCCAGGUCUAAAUCGUAGGGUGGUGCACCAGGUGCAGCGAAUGAUUGGGCGAGGUGGCGACGUGGCGUUAGAAGCUGGGAAACGGCACUUUGAGGUGUGGGGCCCACCAGGUUUUAACGGGUGUUUGUGGUGGAGGUGGUGGGGGAAAGGAUCCGGUCCAAACGUGACGUGUACUUUUUUUUUUUUUGUUUUUGGUUUUAUUUUUAUUUUAUUUUUGUUAUUUAAGGGUGCUUUUUUUUUUUCCAAUGUGAAAAACGCUAUUAUAUGUAUAUCUAUAGUUAGGAAUAAAUUUUAUAAUUCGAACGUUUAAAAACUCACAAAACUUUUUUUAACUUUUAGUAAAUAAAAUUGACAUAAUAAACAAAAAAAAAAAAAAAAAAAAAAUCACAGAAGCAAGAAAAGGUAAUGAGUCAAGUUUUUACUUUUUGUGAUCAAACAAACUAAUGCAAAGUACAGAAGAACAUAUAAAAGAUAUAUUGGAAAAAAAAAAAAGUAAAGCUUUUGGAUGAGAAGGGGUGUAAGAUUUAAUCUACGAAGGAAUAAUUGCCUAUAUACUUUUCAAAACUUCGAAAAUAUCUUAUUUAUCUUUAUUUUUUUUCUUUCCAAUAUAUCUUUUAUAUGUUCUUCUGUUAUUUCAUAAUACUCCUGCAGUUACCACCCGUUAAGUUAACUUCAGUUAAACGUGAGUUAAAUAUCUACCAGAGUUAAAAAAAUUAAAAUAUCUUUUUUGCUCUUAACUUAAAGAUAAAUAUGAAAUGUUGAUGAUGUAGAAGAGUAUAUUUGAAAAGACCAAAAAAUUAAAAUACUUUUUGUACUUCUAACUUAAGGGUAAAUAAAAAAAGUCGGUAAUGAUAGAAGGGUGUAUUUGAAAGAAUAAAAUAAUAAUUUUAUAGAAAUAAUAGCUAUUGCUAACAGUUUAUUAACAAAAUUUAACUCUAGAAAUAUAUUUGAAAUAGAUUGGAACAUAAAAAUAGUAUUUUUAAUAGGUCAGAAAAAUAAAUUAAAAAAUCAAAAAAUUUUCAUGAGUAUAUAUAAAUAAGGGAAAAUUUCAUCAUUACCCUUCCAAAUAAGUCUAAUAUCAUGAAUGCCCCUAUAAAAAUUGAAAUAUCAUAAAUAACCUUUUAAAAGGAAGAAACUUUCAAAAAUAACCUUUACACUAAUUUAUUAUCAAUUUUGAAUAAACAACAAACAAAAUUCCAACUUUGCCCUUAAUGUCAUUACUAUCUUAAAAUAUUUAAUUGACUAUAAAAUUAUUUAUAUUUUUAUAAACACUCUUUUAAAUUUAUAGAUAACCUAGAUUUAGAGAUAAGUUUUUUGUCAAUUAAAAAAAAAAUAUAUAAUCCUGACAAGUUAAGCUAAAAAAUAAAAAAAUCAAUUGAAAAAAAUUUAGCAAAAAAUUAUUUAAAGUAUCAAUUGACUCCUUAAAUUAAGGUUAAACAAUUUAUUCAAAAUAUAACUUAAAUAUACAUGCAUGAUGUGAAUUAAGUUAUUUGAACUAGCACAAAUUUCUGUGCUUUGGCAUCUCGAAUUUUAAAAUAAAUGAUAUAAAGUAUUUUAUUUUAUAAACCACACAACAGUAAAAUAAUAUAUUUUACUGUUUAUUUUAAUAUAUUAAAAUAAAUAUAUCAUGCUAAAAUACUUUUGUAAAAAAUUUUAGAAGUUAAGGGCAAAAUGAACAUUUUGACUAUAUUUAUGAUAAUCUAAAUAUUUUAUCAUUCUAUAAAGAGAUGAAUAGUAAGGGUAAGGGUAUAUUUAAAACAUAAUAAGUAUUUAUAGGAGUAAUUGUGAUUGAAUCAAAUUUAUAGGGGCAUCCAUGAUAUUUUUGAAGUUUAGAGGGGUACAAAUGAAAUUGACCCUAAACUACAAAUAAUUGUCCUUUUUAUGAAUAUCUCCUAGUCAUUACUUUAUUUGUGUAUUUUUUAAUAUGGAAAAAUAUCUUAUAUACGCCCAUGCGCGUAGUUCGGUUUGGUGAAACCCUUGCGUACCCUUUGAGGACUCGAAUGAAUUUUAGUGACUUAUUUUUUAGCAUAAAUUUUAGUUUCCCUUAUAUAGUUUAGCCUAUAUAACGUAUUUUUAUUUUUAUCAUAUUUUAAUUUAAAAGUUAUAUUUAAUUAUUUUAUGAUUUUACUUUUAUUUUGUGGUAAGAAUUUAUUAUUAAAUAGUAUCGUAGUAAAGCCGCAAAAAUGAUAUAUUAUCAACAUCAACAUGUGAUUUACAAAAAGUGUUGCUUUGAUACCAUAUUUAAUAGUUGGUCCAUAAGAUAAAUUAAAAAUAAUUUUACAUAAUAACUAAGUGCGAAUUUUCUCAUUUUAACAUUCAGAUAAUAUUUUAUUAAAUAAUACUAUACCAUAAUCAAUAAGAUAUCUAAACUAGAAUACUAGAAGAGUCUAAGUGGGUUUGGAUUUUUUUUCCUUUUUAAAAGAUGAGCCUUAUCCAUUUAAUGUGACAUAUAUCACUAUGUUGAAUUUGUGGCACAAGUGAGUUAAAUUGUCUUGGAUGUUAUGAUUCUACCUAAUAAUACCCUUUUGUCUGAGUUUCUGGGUUUUGGCUUAUUUGGUUACUUAAUUAUUUUUAAUCUUAAUAGGAUGGUUGUGUUAAUUAAUUUGGAUUACACUGUCUUUUAGUUUCCUUAAAAAAAAAAAAAAAAAAAAAAGAUUUGUGUCAAACUCAUUGAACAAAAAUUAAAAAAAAAAUCAAGGCCUGAAUAAUCUAUAUAACUAGCCUGAUCCUAUUUUGAAACAUACCUAAGGAAUAGGUCUUGCUUUAGAAUAAAGAUGAAGAAUCAAAUUCCGUAAAUACGCACGUUCUGGGUUCGAAAUUUUCUAACAUCUAAAAUUUUUCUGAAUAAAAUUACUGUAUCAGACGAGUAGAGCUACUAUGCUAUCGGAAGCACAGAGGAUCGGGUGCUUUCGAUUUUUUGGCGCUUAGAUCAACCCCUUUAAUUAUUUCUAACCUUUGAAUUAAUACUAUUAAUCUGUGGGGACCACUCAAUCCUAGGGCUACUACUCAACUCCGGGGGACCGCAAUCAUUCCAACCAUAUAAUUUUUAAUCUAAUAGUUAAAAAGUUUGAAACGUCAGAUUCUCUAUACUUCCGAUAGCAUAGUAGCUCUACUAGUAUUAGACAAUGGUUCUUAUAAGCUUAUAUAAAAUGCGAAACUCAGACACGGAGUAUGAACCCUAAUUUUUUUAUUAUAUUCCAUAUAUUAAUAUUUGAUCUUGAUAUAUAUGCCUGAUUUUAAUAUGCGAAUUGAAUUAUUGUAUAUUAAGUUAACUUCCAUUCAACUGUAAAAAAAAAAAAAAAAGGAAAAAGUUGCUGCUAAGGCCCAUUUGAUAACCCUAGAGAUGUGCCUACUUAUUGAAAAAAAAAAAUUAAAUGAAAAAUGGAUAGCAAAAGGAUUUUAGUUUGUGUCAAACCAUAGUUAAAAUAACCAAAUUAGCCCAAACUAUAAGGUUCAAGUAUAGGUAUUUUAUUUUUUUUUAAAAAAAAGGGAAAUUUUGAUACUCAUUAAAUUCAAAAGUUGCUCCUUAUUAUUUUUUUUUUUUUAAAAAAGGAAAAAGAAAAUGUCCACAUGGGUUUCUCAAACAAAUUGAUAACUGGCAUGAGUGUAUUUGUGGAAAUAAAUAAAUUAGGUCAUUAUUUCAAAGCACCCACAUGACAUAUUCAUAUGUAAGAUCAUGAAUUUGAUCUUUCAUGUCACCAAUAAUUACCACAAACUUUAAAAUUUAAUAUUUGUCCUUUGGUGUAAUUAAGGGCCAAUUAAUUACCCAAUUUAUUUAUGUUCUUUUGUAACCUUUUCCUAAGUUUAAUGUAAAACUUGUUUGAUCUUUUCUUUCUCAUUUUUCGAAAAGCAAAUAUUUCAUUAGUUGCUUUUUUUAAAAAAAAAUAUGAACAUUGAGCUUAGUCGAAUUGUUAAUUUUCAAUAGUUAAUUACUUGUUGAAGUAAAAUAAUAAGAUAUGCGAUCAAAAUAGAGUCUCUGCGAAAAUUAAGCCUACCUUUUGCUUCAUAUAAUAAGAAAAAAAAAGUAAAAAACUUUUUCCUCCUUUGUUUGUGGACAAACACUAUAUAAAAAUGAUAGGAACCUAACCCCAAAUCAUAAGACACUUUAUGCUUUUAAAAAGAUGCCUCCACUUAAAAAAAUUCCUCACCCAAAAUGAACUUUUUCCACUAUUUAUGGGGCCCAUAAAUUCAUUGACAUGAGUGGCAUUUACCAAAAUUACAUAGUUUUGAGGCUCCACUUUCUUGGUCGAAAUUUAAAUAAUUUAUAUAUAUAGAUUUAAACUAUUAUUUAAAAUUAUACAAACUAUAAUUUAUCAUAUUUUAGAGAUAUCAAGUAGAACUAUAUAUUGAUAAAGCAAUAAUGCAUGUAUAGUUUAUACUAUUACACGCACCUUCGUUGAAGAACAUAAAACAGAUGGAUAAAUAACCAAAGCGUGACAAGAAUAUUAAAUUUUAAAUGUUGUGUGUGAGAAAUUAAAUCCAAAAUCUUUUACCUAAAACUAAGUAAUCUAAUAAAUAUAUCUAAUAGAAAAUAGUUUAGAAGCAGUUUUAUCAAACUAAAUUAAAUUAGGAUCGACCGUGUUUAUUUCUUCAUUUGUUUUCGUUAAUAACAAUUGUUAAUGAUAUUUCUAAACAGUUCCUUAUAGAUCAAAUUAGCGAUAAAGUAUGGAGAGCGAGAUGACCAAACUCUCGAUUCCAAAAUAACAAUAAUAAUAGUAGCAACAGUAGUAGGAGUAAUAAUAAUAAUAAUAAUAAUAAUAAUCCUCCGCAAUUCCUUUAUCCCUUAUAUAACACUAAUAAUCUUACUAAGAAAUUAUAUUACGAGGACUAAAAAGCAUUUAUAAACUUAUGAAUUGAAAAUUGGGAGUUUCCUGGCCCACCACGUGGCGGGCGGACGCGAGGGGCGCGAGGGGGUGGGCGCGAGCGGGCGAGCGGACUAGCAGGCGCAAGCGGGGAAGCGAGCGGGCGAGCGGGCGAGCGAGCGCGGGCGGGCGCGCAUGCGCGGCCGUGGGCGCGGGCGCGGGGGUGGGUGCGCGGGCACAAGUAGACCUUGCAAUCUCGACCUAAACCCGCGGAUGCCCGCGGGUUACCCGCAAAUUUGCGGGUAUAGGUACCAAUUUUUUCAACCCAAAAAAUUAUAGGUAAAACGGGUAGGUGCCCAUUAAGCUAUGAGCAUUUGGGUAACCCGCGGGUACCCACAGGUACCUACACAUAUAUAUUUNGAAUAAGCACAUUGUGUACUUAUAAGCUUUAGCUCUUUAGCUUGGGUAAGUUACAAGAUGGUGUGUGUGUGUGUGUGUGUGUGUGUGUGUGUGUGUGUUUUGUACUUAAAAAAUAUAAGAACAAAAAAGAAAAAAAAAAUUACGGGUAACCCGCAUACCCACCCGCCCACCCGCGGGCGGGUAUGAGUAAAGAUGUUGGCUACCAAAAAAUUUGCAGAUAAAUUUUACCCAUGUCCAAAUAACCUACGGGUACAAUGAUCCACCCGCGGGUUACCCAACCCACUCAUUUGCCAGGUCUAGGCGCAAGGGUGGGCGCGAGCACGCCCGGGCGGGCGAGCCGGCACGGACUCAGGCCCACGCGGGCUUUUUUUUUUUUUUUUUUUUUUUUUGCUUUUUUCCUGUGGGACCCACUCCGAUCUCUCUCUCUCUUUUUAGAUUUUUUUUUCUUUUUUCUUAUUGGCCACAUACAAAAAAUAAAUUUAAAUUUAAAUUUAAAUUUAUUAUUAAUAAUUUUUGAAUGUGUUGUUUAAUUUUAUAUAUUUAGUUAGUAUAUUUUAUGUACUUGUUGUAAUUAAAUAUAUUUAAAAAAAACUUAAUUGUAGUGUUUUUUAUAAAAAUAGAUUAUUUAUGUCUAAAUAAUUAUAAAAUUAAAAUUAAUAUUUAAUACAUACGAUCUAAAAUAUUUAAAAAUUAAGCAUAAAUAAUUAUAUAUUUUAAAAUUUUAUUAUAAUUAAAAUGCAAGCUUAUGAAUUUACAAUCUAAAUCCGAACAGGGUGUUAAGAUCAGUAUUAUUGUUUGUAAUCAAAACUUGCAUAUCUGAUAUAAUUGAUCGCAUGUGAAAAUAUUUUUAAACUUCUUUAUUUAAUUAACUAAAAUAUAUUAUUAUUUACUUUAUAAAAAAUAUAUUUAAUUAUUUAUUAAUUAUUUAUAAAAAAGAUAAAUGAAUCCGUUGUAUCGCACGGUUGCUUAACUAGUAUUAAUGGAUCCACAUGCUUUUUUUAGUCCCAUCACUUUUUGUUUGUAAACUCGUAAUUAAUUCAUAGGCUUUAAUUUCUCUAAUCCAUUAAAAGUGUAUGACUUUUCUGAUGAAAUAAUAAUAAUAAUAAUAAUAAUAAUAAUAAUGUAUACAAAGGUUGGCAUGUGAGAAAUUGGUGUAUCUGUAUAUCUCAUGCACUGCAUCUAAUAUUUGAUAUACGAUAUAAUAAAAUAAGUAUCGCACAUUUUAUAUACCACAUAUGAUACUUGAUGUCUAAUAUUAUAAAAUCAAAUUCUUUAUCUGAUAAAUGUGAUUCUCAACAUCUAAAGAGUCCACAUAUAAGAAAUCUUAGGUUCUAAAGUAAUUUUGGUAACAUCCAGCUUCAAAAAUCAAUGGUAUCGGCAAGAGACGUUAAUAUUUUUUUUUUUAACAAAAAAAUUGAUAUUCUGUACUCGUAUACAAAAAAAAAAAAAAAAAAAAAAACUUUGUCCAUUUCAUUUCGUAUUGGGUCUGAAUCUGGAUACUUAAGUUAAUAAUAUACUCAUCGGAUUUAUUUGAACGGAUUUAGAUAGUGACUACUCGUAUACUAUCCGUUUAAAACCGGAUAUGGAUCGGAUACGUAUAGGACGGAUAUAGAUCGGGUAAGAAUACCCGUAUGCAUAUUUUUUUAUAAACUUUAUUAAACAGUUUAUAAGCAAACUAUAAACCUAUCACUAUAAAAAAAACUCGCGUUCUAAUUAGUUGCACCCAGUCCAAUAAAAUUCGUUCAAAAAAAGAUUCAAGCAGUAAACAAACAGCGUUAAAAAAAUGAGUAAAAAAAAAUAAACAGAACAACUAGGAUUUUCACUAUGAUGAAAAUACACAGACCCUUCAUCUAAGUCAGAUUGAAAUUGAUCUCUCAACUUCAUUUUUUUUUUUUAAUUUACUAUCCGGUAUUUCACCAGGCCCGAAUCCGGAUUUUAAAACUCUUCCGAUCCUUACCCAUUAAAAAAUCAGGCUAGUGUCGGUUUCAAGUCAGGUAUAAGUAUAAAGUAUUCAGAUCAAUAUCCGAAACUUUAAUGAAUAAGUUUUUUUUUUUUUUAAGACUCGUACGCUAUUCAUUUUUUAUCGGAUCCGAUUCGAAUCUGGAUAGGGUUCGAAUCGGAUAUGAAAUAUCGAAUAUUUUGGACAGCUUUAGUGCCAAAAAAAUAAGGUCGGUCAAUUUUGUCGCAUGCAAUUAUUGAGUGGGACCCGCAUUUUGUCAAUAAUAUUACCUUUGCGGGCCCCACAAGGCCCAGGAUUGGUGGGCCCACGCCCACGCUUGGGCCUCAGAAGAUCUUCGAUUGAGGAAGCAGAUACGUUUGAUCAGGAUAUACCACACACUAUUUUUUAUUUUUAUUUUUUAUUUAUUUGUGUAUGAAAAAAAAAAACCAUAGAUUUUUUAACUUCAGGAUUGUCCAAUUCUUUUUUUUAUUUAGUUAAGUCCAAUUCACAUCUUAAUUCCUAUGCGGAAAUUUAAAUUUAAAUUUAAAUAAUAUUGUCAAUUUUUGUUGGAAAAGGACUUAGAAAAAUCAUGAUCAUGACAUACUACUGCAUUUGAAAAAAAAAGGGGGUCAAUUGUAAUUUGAAUUGUUAGUCGAAAUUUAAAAAUUCGAAAUAAAGCACAUCAAUUUGUUAAUUACAUUUAAUCAACCAUUAAUCUCUGAAUUUUAUUAUUUUUAUUUUUAAUGAUCACCAAUCACAGGAAAACCAAUCAAUUCAAGUCCCAUGGGUUUUUUUUUUUCUUUUGAACACCUAAAAAAAUUAAUAAAACUCAGAAUAAUUAUAAAAAUAUUGUCAUGUUCUUUUCCCCUCUAAAGCUCCGCAAAUAUAUGAAAUUGUUUGUUAAAUUAGGACGUCUCUGGUUCUCCAAAAAAUUAUGAAAUUUUGUUUUUCAAGAAAAAAGUCAUUUAUGAAAAUUAUUCUUUUGUUUGUAGCAUAGAAAAUCAGUAGGAAAAAAAAAAGACAUUUUCAUAAAAUGUGGAUUUUUUUUUUUUCAAAAAAGUACUUUUUCUUGUAAACCAAACUAGUCAUAGUACUAUUUUUGAGAUUUUUGUUUUUUUUCCAGGGAAUGAAACAUCCCCCUCCCCCUCCUCUCUCUCUCUCUCUCUCUCUCUCUAAUAAUGCAAUUAUAAAAAUACAAUUCAACUAAUAAUUCCCUAUUAUUUAAUAAGCAUGCUCAACUCUUUACUUUAUUACAUAGUCAAAAUAUCUUCAAAUAGAUUUUUUUUUUUUUAAUCAAAUCACACAGCAAUGUCCCCUAGUUCUUAACUUAACAAAAUAUAUGACAAAUUUUGGUAAUUAUGAAUAAGUUGUAUUUCAUAAGCGCAUUUUAGUAGACUCAAUAGAAACUUUUGUUUCACGUUCACAUCUAACUAUCUCCUUAAAUCAAAUUUAUUCAAAUUAUUUGUUUUCUCAAUAAUCCUUUCCACUCUUAUUUCUCUUAUAAGUUUGCAAACCAAAAAAAGAUUAAAAAAAAAUGCAAAUAUAAGCAAAUUUUACUAGCUCAAAACACACCGCUAAAACUACCGAAAAAUACAAGUACGAUGGGAAAAUAAUAUGUUUGUUUUCGUACGUAAUAUAGCGUUCUGCAUUUCACGAUGUGUCGGUUAUGAUAUAUAUUUUUUGUGAUCCUAUCGGAAAACACAGAAACAUAUCAUAUAUGCUUUUACCCCAACUCUAUUUUAUCUAUUAGCGUCGGAUGGAUCUCAAUACCAAACUAAGCCGUAGUGUGUUAUGAAUGAUAAGAGUUGGUGAUUAGCUCGCAGACGACAACUUUGAAUAACUAGAAAUUAGGGUUUAAUUAAUUUUUCCAUCCCCAUCAAUUAUAGAAAUAUAUAGCUUCAUUCUACAUCUACAAUAAUACAUUAAGAUAUUACAUCUCUUGAGCCUCCACCUCAAAUAUUCUAGUAUCAUUAUUGCUACUAAUUUAAUGGAGUUAUAAGCCAAAUACUUAUAUGUCUCCAAGUACUUAAAUAAUAACAUUUGAAACUGUUUAUUAAUUGCAACUGGAGUUAUCUGAGUCAUUUACAAGUACCUUUUGAUAGAUAAUAAAUGAAUAAACAAUUCUAAGGUGGCUAUUUUAUAUAGCUAAUCAUGAGUAUUAAAAUACAAAUGAAACUAGGCCUUAACCGUAAUAAAAAAAUAUGCAACUAACGUUGGAUGGAGAGGUACUCUAAAUUGAUGGAUAGAGUUUUUUUUUCUUUUUUAUUUAUUUAUUUUUUUCGCAUAUAGAGAGAUUUUUUUUUUAGUCAAAUGCAAUGCCAAAAGAAAGGAGAAAGAUGGGAAAUUUAAUUAUUUGGGAAACAUAAAGGUGAGAAUAGGAUUAGACCAAGAAGGGUCAUGGAUUAUAUGUAAUUUCUUUAUAAAGCUUAAUUCUUUACAAUUUUCUAUAGAUCAAUCUUUUGAAUAAAUUAGUUCUUUAGACAGUAAGAAACUAAAAUACUAUACGGAUAAAGAAAUGCCACUUGUACACCGAAAAAUUGGGUGUAAAUUAUAUUAUAUCUCACCAAUUUUGAGCUGGUAGAUAUCCAUGGAAAGAAUAUAAGAUUUACGCCCAAUAUUUUGGGUGUGCACGUAUCAUUGCAAAACAAUACUAAUAUAUAUAUAUAUAUAUAUAUAUAUAUAUAUAUAUAUAUAUAUAUAUAUAUAUAUAUAUAUAUAUAUAUAUAGAGUCCAGCUAUGGUGCUUGUAAAAGCACGAAGCACUUGGUGCUUAUAAGUUUUUUACCGUUAGAUCUGCUCCUCAGAUUAUUUUCAACCAUUAGAUUAUCCUUGUAAGUUUUUUACCGUUAGAUCUAUCAGUAGUAAACGGGCUCCGUUGCCAUCCAUUUAUUUUUAAUGAUGGAGCCUCCAAAUCGACGAUCGGCACUGUUGAAAAUAAUCUACACCACUUGAAGUAUUUAAAAAUCAAAUUUUAUGCUUUUUCGAUAUUAUUCUCUUAUCCAUCAAGUCGGCGUAAAAAUGAAUGGUUGAACAUGCAUAUCCUCUAAAAAAUGAUGAUACGAAUUUUAUAAUCAAGAUCGAGAGUAUAGAUUUUGUUCUAAAUAGUUUAAAAAAUUUUCUAACAAAAAUUUAAUUGAUUUGGAUAGUUUUACACCGUUAAAUAAGAAAGCGCCUCGUAUCUACCACUAAAAUUAUAAUUUUUGAAACCCUUUAAUCAUUAAGCUAAUGAUGUCGAAAAGAUUUAAAAUUUGGCUUCUAUACACUUUAAGUGGUAUAGAUCAUGUUCAACGGUGCUGAUCGUCGAUUUGGAGACUUCAUCAUCGAAAAUAAAUAGGUGGCAACGAAACCCGUUUGCUAUCGAUAGCAUUCCAGCUCAUAUAUAUAUAUAUAUAUAUAUAUAUAUAUAUAUAUAUACCACUAAAACCUAAAAAGAUAGACAUUUAAAUUUAGGCUAACCAUCAUCUAGCUGGUCGAUGCCCAGCAUGUCAUUAUCGUCCACCCAUAUACCACCUCCAUCCUUCAUUCUAGUUGAACCCCCUAUAGCAGGGCCCUGUCCAAUGUAAGGCUCAUAAGCAGCAUAGAAAGCAAAAGGGGGGUUGAAACAACUCUCUCGCUAUGAAGAGAAAUUCUACUAUCUGUGAUAGUAGCCNNNNNNNNNNNNNNNNNNNNNNNNNNNNNNNNNNNNNNNNNNNNNNNNNNNNNNNNNNNNNNNNNNNNNNNNNNNNNNNNNNNNNNNNNNNNNNNNNNNNNNNNNNNNNNNNNNNNNNNNNNNNNNNNNNNNNNNNNNNNNNNNNNNNNNNNNNNNNNNNNNNNNNNNNNNNNNNNNNNNNNNNNNNNNNNNNNNNNNNNNNNNNNNNNNNNNNNNNNNNNNNNNNNNNNNNNNNNNNNNNNNNNNNNNNNNNNNNNNNNNNNNNNNNNNNNNNNNNNNNNNNNNNNNNNNNNNNNNNNNNNNNNNNNNNNNNNNNNNNNNNNNNNNNNNNNNNNNNNNNNNNNNNNNNNNNNNNNNNNNNNNNNNNNNNNNNNNNNNNNNNNNNNNNNNNNNNNNNNNNNNNNNNNNNNNNNNNNNNNNNNNNNNNNNNNNNNNNNNNNNNNNNNNNNNNNNNNNNNNNNNNNNNNNNNNNNNNNNNNNNNNNNNNNNNNNNNNNNNNNNNNNNNNNNNNNNNNNNNNNNNNNNNNNNNNNNNNNNNNNNNNNNNNNNNNNNNNNNNNNNNNNNNNNNNNNNNNNNNNNNNNNNNNNNNNNNNNNNNNNNNNNNNNNNNNNNNNNNNNNNNNNNNNNNNNNNNNNNNNNNNNNNNNNNNNNNNNNNNNNNNNNNNNNNNNNNNNNNNNNNNNNNNNNNNNNNNNNNNNNNNNNNNNNNNNNNNNNNNNNNNNNNNNNNNNNNNNNNNNNNNNNNNNNNNNNNNNNNNNNNNNNNNNNNNNNNNNNNNNNNNNNNNNNNNNNNNNNNNNNNNNNNNNNNNNNNNNNNNNNNNNNNNNNNNNNNNNNNNNNNNNNNNNNNNNNNNNNNNNNNNNNNNNNNNNNNNNNNNNNNNNNNNNNNNNNNNNNNNNNNNNNNNNNNNNNNNNNNNNNNNNNNNNNNNNNNNNNNNNNNNNNNNNNNNNNNNNNNNNNNNNNNNNNNNNNNNNNNNNNNNNNNNNNNNNNNNNNNNNNNNNNNNNNNNNNNNNNNNNNNNNNNNNNNNNNNNNNNNNNNNNNNNNNNNNNNNNNNNNNNNNNNNNNNNNNNNNNNNNNNNNNNNNNNNNNNNNNNNNNNNNNNNNNNNNNNNNNNNNNNNNNNNNNNNNNNNNNNNNNNNNNNNNNNNNNNNNNNNNNNNNNNNNNNNNNNNNNNNNNNNNNNNNNNNNNNNNNNNNNNNNNNNNNNNNNNNNNNNNNNNNNNNNNNNNNNNNNNNNNNNNNNNNNNNNNNNNNNNNNNNNNNNNNNNNNNNNNNNNNNNNNNNNNNNNNNNNNNNNNNNNNNNNNNNNNNNNNNNNNNNNNNNNNNNNNNNNNNNNNNNNNNNNNNNNNNNNNNNNNNNNNNNNNNNNNNNNNNNNNNNNNNNNNNNNNNNNNNNNNNNNNNNNNNNNNNNNNNNNNNNNNNNNNNNNNNNNNNNNNNNNNNNNNNNNNNNNNNNNNNNNNNNNNNNNNNNNNNNNNNNNNNNNNNNNNNNNNNNNNNNNNNNNNNNNNNNNNNNNNNNNNNNNNNNNNNNNNNNNNNNNNNNNNNNNNNNNNNNNNNNNNNNNNNNNNNNNNNNNNNNNNNNNNNNNNNNNNNNNNNNNNNNNNNNNNNNNNNNNNNNNNNNNNNNNNNNNNNNNNNNNNNNNNNNNNNNNNNNNNNNNNNNNNNNNNNNNNNNNNNNNNNNNNNNNNNNNNNNNNNNNNNNNNNNNNNNNNNNNNNNNNNNNNNNNNNNNNNNNNNNNNNNNNNNNNNNNNNNNNNNNNNNNNNNNNNNNNNNNNNNNNNNNNNNNNNNNNNNNNNNNNNNNNNNNNNNNNNNNNNNNNNNNNNNNNNNNNNNNNNNNNNNNNNNNNNNNNNNNNNNNNNNNNNNNNNNNNNNNNNNNNNNNNNNNNNNNNNNNNNNNNNNNNNNNNNNNNNNNNNNNNNNNNNNNNNNNNNNNNNNNNNNNNNNNNNNNNNNNNNNNNNNNNNNNNNNNNNNNNNNNNNNNNNNNNNNNNNNNNNNNNNNNNNNNNNNNNNNNNNNNNNNNNNNNNNNNNNNNNNNNNNNNNNNNNNNNNNNNNNNNNNNNNNNNNNNNNNNNNNNNNNNNNNNNNNNNNNNNNNNNNNNNNNNNNNNNNNNNNNNNNNNNNNNNNNNNNNNNNNNNNNNNNNNNNNNNNNNNNNNNNNNNNNNNNNNNNNNNNNNNNNNNNNNNNNNNNNNNNNNNNNNNNNNNNNNNNNNNNNNNNNNNNNNNNNNNNNNNNNNNNNNNNNNNNNNNNNNNNNNNNNNNNNNNNNNNNNNNNNNNNNNNNNNNNNNNNNNNNNNNNNNNNNNNNNNNNNNNNNNNNNNNNNNNNNNNNNNNNNNNNNNNNNNNNNNNNNNNNNNNNNNNNNNNNNNNNNNNNNNNNNNNNNNNNNNNNNNNNNNNNNNNNNNNNNNNNNNNNNNNNNNNNNNNNNNNNNNNNNNNNNNNNNNNNNNNNNNNNNNNNNNNNNNNNNNNNNNNNNNNNNNNNNNNNNNNNNNNNNNNNNNNNNNNNNNNNNNNNNNNNNNNNNNNNNNNNNNNNNNNNNNNNNNNNNNNNNNUAUAUAUAUAUAUAUAUAUAUAUAUAUAUAUAUAAAGUCCGGCUGCUAUGCUAUCGAUAGCACCAAGCACUUGGUGCUAUCAAGUUUUCUGUCGUUAGAUUAAUUCUUUUGAUUAUUUUUACCCGUUAGAUUAUACUAUUCAACCAACCAUCCACUCAACCCUAGAGGGCCCACAUUAUCCUAACGGUAUAUUUCUCAAUUCAAGGACUAAAAAAUCAAUAGCACCAACACUUGGUGCUAUUGAUAGUAUUCCAGCCCAGUUCGAUAUAUAGAGUCCGGCUGCUAUGCUACCGAUAGCACCAAGCACUUAGUGCUAUCAAGUUUUCUGCCACUAGAUUAAUUCCUUCGAUUAUUUUUACCCGUUAGAUUAUACUAUUCAACCAACUACCCACUCAAUCCUAAGCCAUUUUCGAUGAUGGAGCUUUCGAAUCGAUGAUUGGCUCCGUUAAACUUGAUCUAGCAUAUUUGAAAUAUCUAGAAAAUAAAUUUUACGGUUUUCGAUAUUAUUUACCUAGUGAUCGAAAGAGUUCAAAAUCAACGGCUGAAAAUAAAAAUCUCACAAAAAGUGGUAAUAUAGCACUAAAAUUUUCGAUCAGAGACAUUGAUCUUGCUGUAAAUAGUAUAAAGAAAUUUCUAUCAAAAUUUCAUCUGAUUUGAAUACUUCUACACCAUUAAACUUGCAAACGGUAUACAUCAACCAUUAAAAAUUGUUGAUUUUAAACCUUUUCGAUCACUAGGUAAAUAAUAUCGAAAAACCGUAAAAUUUAUUUUCUAGAUACUUUAAAUACGCUAGAUCAAGUCUAACGGAGCAGAUCGUCGAUUCGAAAGCUCCAUCAUCGAAAACGGCUUAGGAGCACAGAGGCCUCCGUGCUCCUAAUAGCACACAAGACCUAUAUAUAUAUAGUCCGGCUACUAUGCUAUUAAUAGCACGAAGCACUCGGUGCUACCAAGUUUUCCACCGUUAGAUCUACCAUUUUGAUCAUUUUUAUCCGUUAGAUCAUACUAUUCAACCAACCACCCACUCAGCCCUAGGAGGCCCACAUCAUCCUAACCGCACAUCUCUUAAUCCAAUGGCCAAAAACUUGGUAGCACCAAUGACUUGGUGCUAUUAAUAGUAUAUUAGCCUAGUUAUAUAUAUAUAUAUAUAUAUAUAUAUAUAUAUAUAUAUAUAUAUAUAUAUAUAUAUAAAACUAAGUCCAACAUUUAGUUGUCUAAUUGUUGUACAAUUUUUUAAAGUUUUAGUUCAGAGAAGUUUAUAACAUCAAUUUUUUAUUAUUUUUUCCCCUUUUCAAUUUUUUUUUACAAUUAUUUUUUCAGGAAAUAGAGUCAAAUCCCUUAUCUGUGUCUCUCAUGCCUAGAGCCCCAAAACCUGUUUAUUUAUCAACUCUUUAUACAAAGAUUUAACUAAGAACAUAAAUUUAAAUUUAGAUUUUUCUUUUCUAUUUUGCUAAUUCAAGUAUCACAUCCUAUAACAUUUUAGUGCACAAAACUACAAAUAGACCUCAAAUUAAUGACUUAUAAUUGCCGAUUUGGCUUUUUUUUCAUCAACAAGAUAAUUACCAAAUAUAAACUAAAUGCUUGUGUUUAAUUAAUUCUUAUGAUGAGAUCUUUUUUUUUUUUCUAAUGGUAUCUUGUACUUAAUGAAACACAUGACUAAGCUUGAUACAAGGAACCAAGUAAAAUAACAAUGAAUUGUACAACGUGGGAUGUGAGAUUCUCCCUUGUGCAACACAAUGGCAAUAACUAAGUACAAAUCAAAAUCAUGUGUGAAUCACAUUUUACAAUUAAAUAUCUUAAUUAAGGACGGCGUUUAUUGCAAUUGUUUCAACAUCAAAAUAAGCUAAGAGGGGGGGUCCUGAAAAAAGAAAAAUAAAUUUAUCGCCUGCCCACGUGAAUUGUAUGAAUUGCUGGUGCCAACUACCGUAAAAUCUCUAAAUGACAGAAAGAGACGACCGAUUCACUUAAAGUAUGUAGAAACAUCGUUAACGAGCCUCGAUUACAAUUUCGCUCAAUCUAAUCUCCGCUUGGUAGACAGAUUAUCAACCUAUGUGUCAAUAUAUCUGUAUAUUCUUACACUAUAUAACCAAUUCACUUAAAACAUAUAGAAAGUGUUAACGAGCCAUGAAUAUGAUUUCACUCAAUCUAACCUCCGCUAGAUGGACAGGAUACCGGUCUAUGUACGAUACAUCUGUAUAUCCCUGCACCGUGCGUCCGCCGCUAUCCGUUCCCGUAUUUCAAUUGCUAUUGUGCAUUUAAGUUGCAAUCUUUUCUCAAUCAUACAAAUUGGUACCAACGAGAAAUGAAGAUGCAUCUUUACCUACACAAUUUUGGCCCAUAAUAGCAAAAAGUAUUAGGGCUUAAUUGGACCCAAUGUGCAUUGCAUUUAUCCCGUUGAUACCCCUAACUACGGCAUAAUAGGAGAUGAGUCCAUGGCAUCCAAAUAUUAUUUGAUUUUUUGGAAUUUUCAACGCAUACAAUGGUAUAACAAUACAAUUCAGAUUAAAUAGUUUGGAGUUUAAAAUUUAGACAUUGUAAUACUAACUAUUCAGAUUGAAUAGUAUGCAUAAGCGGGCGCAUUCUCUUGCAUGUGUAUGACUAAAAAUGCGAAAUUUUCAAUUUCAGAAAAAGUCAGAAACUUCCACAGAUUUGUUUGAAUAAAACACAAUUCGAAAGCUAUAACAAAAGAUACAAAUUAUCGGUUGCAUUUUGACGAGUACAUAGCUGGAAUAGCUCAAGAAGUAAAUUUACUCUAAUUCUUGUUUUUCUUUCAAUUCAUAACUUUAUUGCAAAGUUAGUAACCUAAGUUCAACAUAACAAACAGAAACAAAGCUGAGCACAUGAGUUACAUUUAACCAAAUAUCUCACCUGAUACUAACAACAUCAUCAUCAUCAUCAUCAUCACAAUACACCGCAGACCGAUAAACGGUACUCCAAUCAGGUAGCAUAACUAUUUCAACAAAAUAAAAGCCACACUCAGGAGUAUCUACACCGCCCGACGGGGGCGAAAAUUGGGCUGCAGAGGGUUAAAAAAAACAGAGAGAAAAAAAAAAAUAGAGAAAGGAAAAAAAAGGAUUCAGCAAUGCACCCGAUUAGGUAAGAAGCAAAGGGUGAAGACUGAUAGCAAAAAGGAAAUUAUUAGAAUGUACACUAUGGUAAAUUUACUGCAACAAUCUAUCGACACACAUUGCGACCGUUGCUCGAGCGAAUAUGGACCCAACUGGUCAGUAUAUUUCUUUGUUUUUUUUUUUUUUUUUUUUUUUUUUUUUUUUUUCUUUUCCUCCGUUUUUUUGGGUCUCACUUCUUCCUGUAAUGGUUCCGCCUCCCAUGUGUGAAAUUUCUCCACUUCUCUCACCCCGAUAAAGGAGGGAAGUCACCGUCGUCUUUGAGCUGAUACGGCUGCGCUGACCUGCAAAUUUCAUAUUAUGAAACUUUGAGAAGACGACGGGCGCCAUUAGAUAAGAGCGACAAAUUCUACGAUUUAAAUGGACAGCACUAUACAGAGUUUUAAAAUGUCAGUAAAGAAACAGGGAGAAAAGGAUUGUGAACUAGUUUGUCAUAGGGAUAAAGGGAGAAUAAGAUUUUUCAUCUAGUAGGGCAACUAUGAAGGUUCUGAACUGGUGUCCCAAACUGUAGCAUGGAAACAAAUAAGUAUUUAAUCAUCAUUAGCAAAUGCUUGUUUUCCCACCCAUGCGAUAUAAUAUAACACCCAUCAUGUCGAAAUGCCAGCCAAUUUCAUUAAGACCUGUUUUGUUCAGAUGGAGCCUCUGCAAAAGUGCUGUUUGAAUAGAGCGCUUUAGAUAAACACUAACAGGUUUUUUGUCGCCUACUUUUGGGGCAAAAACACCUUCGCUGCUUCGCACACACAAAAGCUCCAGGCUUUUUAUAUGCCACAUGCUUGGUUUCUCCUCUACGGCACAAAGAAGCAGCUUAAACAAGCUAGCCCAAUGUUGUGCUUCGGCUAUUGGUAAAAAAACCUUUUUAAACAAGUUCAAAUUUGUCAAGCUUACGAGGAAAGAGCUAUCAUGGGCACCUUAGAUGUUUCAGCUUGAUGUUGACACUUCCAAAGUUUCUUCUUUGGUCACUACUGGUUCUAGAAUCAGUAACAAAAUACAGACCUUCCUGAGCUCUAACGUUUUUUUGAAAUGUAUACCUGACCUUCAAAAAUUCUGAUAUUCCUACCUAACCUUGAAAUUGUAUUGAUGCAAGUACUUUUUAACUUUCUUAUAGGAUAUUCUGUUACUAGACAGAAUAUUUCGUAGAUUUUCUGAAAAUCAAAAUAACUGUGAUAUUUGUUAAGAAAAUUUAAAAUAUUUAAUAUUCAGGUAUCCAUAUAAGAAUUCGCUGUUAGUUCAGAGAAGGUCUGUGCACUCUUUACCUAAAAUGUGAGAAAUUUUCUUCUAACUUGUUUACCUUUCACGAUUGGAGUUUAUUCCAACUCUUUGCAUAGGGCUCGCAGGGCCAGAGGCCUGAGUGUGAGGGUGUACAGAGUCUGGUCGAUUGCCGUGUUCUGGCAAGGCAACUCCAACUUGAACAGGACCAAAGGACCCGAACUCAAGUUUGCUCUCUUGUGGAUGCACAACACCAUUUCCAUGCAAGACACCCCUCGGGCUAUGGCGAGAAGAGUGUGGUAUCUCUUGAAAAGUAGGUCUUCCAUGGCCAUUUCUGGCUGGAACUUGAGCUUGUAUUGGUGGAAGCUCGGGACCCGCUUCUUCCGAAGAGAUGGUGUCUAUAUGCAUGUCCGCUCGGCCAUUGUACCGCGAUUUUAGCUGAUGAUUUGAAGCCAACGAGUUCUUUCCUCUUCCAGGGGACAGUCUCUCCUUAUAUGACCGGGAAUUCUACAAAAAUAGAGGUCAGAGAUUUGCUUGGGUUAGCCAACAUACAUAUAUAAGCAAAACAAUUAACCUUAUAUACUGUAGCAUUCCAAAAGAACCAACAAGUUGAAUCUGCACAUGCAUCAGACUAUCAAAACCAGAACUCACGAGGAUCCUUAGCUUCAAAAUUUGACAACUAUGUCCUUGGAAGUCGACAGGCUAUCCUAAACACUAUUUUACGUCUAAAGAAGUAAUGUCUGUUUGAGCAUGUAGUAGAAACGUUACCACACUUAUGCAGAAUUAUGAUGCAGGAAAAUAAAACAAAAGCUUACGAGUGACAAAAUGUGCCCCUUGAUUUCUCUCAUCAUUUCACAAAAUAAUUUCUCUUCUCCAUUAUGUGUUUGAAUAUCUGUUAUAUCCAUUCACAUAAAAUAGCAACCUAAUUGUUAAAUUUUAAAGGUUAAAGAUCUAAGUGCAAUCACAUGAAGUUCUAGGAAGGGCAUUGCACUUAAGGCAAAAUAAACCAACACAGGCAAGCUACAGUAGACUCCAUGUUCAAUCCAACUUGCGCUGCGGAAGAUCUGCUUACAGAUAAUGCACAACAAGCACACAAAAAUAUUAGCUCACAAGAACACCAUAUAAAAGCUUGAGUAUAACAUACCGUGUUCGGAAAGUAUGUGCCUGUUCCCCUUGGCUUAGGAAGAUCUUCAGUGCCAUAAGCACUGGAUAGUAUAGGGUGAUUCACAUAAUAAUAGCCAGGUGGAUAUGGCACCCCAGGAAUCAUUCCAUUUGGUGCAGCAGGUGGAUACAUAUUCCGCCGAUGUAGCCCAUUCCACGAGUGCUUGUUCUGGAAUGGCACAUGGGCCGGUCGAUGAUAUGGAACAAAGACCGCCGGGCCCACCACAUAAUCUUGGCUCCUCUGAGCAUACAAAAGAUUUGUAAAAUGGAGGUCAUAAUCUCCACUGAGAUCCGACAAAUUGUUGAACUUAGGGCUUUCACUUCCCUCUCCCUCUUUUCUCACUAUCAAGUCUAAGGGGUAUGAUUCUUCUGAUAAACAAGUAUUCCGACUUGAUGUUGUGGGCCCAUCAAAUGAGCCUAUUGAAGAACUAAAACUUCUCGGCGAUUCAAUCUCAUAGCUAAGCAGUUCAUUCUUUGUACUAUACUUCGGAUUGAAAAAGAGAUGGGGUGUGCAAUAAGCCAUUCCAGAUGGUGACGGUAUUCCAGAUGGUGACAUCACUGUUUCACCAGUUGAAGGCGAAGCCCUAGAAGUUUCAUCACCAAUUCUUGAAUUAGAAGCUCCCUUGGUUGUGAAAUCUCUGGCAUCACCCGCCAAACAAUUGCCUGAAACGACAAUUCCUUCCACUAUACCAUUUGGUUCAAAUUUUGUAGGUUCAAUGGAGAGGUCCUUCCCCAAACUUGAGAUGCUUAAGUUAUUCAGCUGCUCAUAAAGCACUUCAUGGGAAUCACUGGUUGGGGAAGUUAAAACCGAUUUAUCUCGAAAGCCCCUGUCGCCGUUGAAAUCUGAUGAAUUAAAGCCUAUCCAGCUGUGAUUGAUUGAUGUAAUGUUCGGACGAAACGGAAGGGCACCUUGUACAUCUGGUCUUUCUCCACUUCCAUGCCUCUCCAAUGUGUUUUUAAAGAACGUAUUGACUUCAAUGUUGAUUCUCUCAGCAGGUAAUUCAAGUAUGUUCGCAAGCUUUCGAGCACCAAAUACAAAUGCGCUACGUAUACGGAAGAAGUUACCUGUAUGUUAUAUUGUUGCCCAUAAGAAAAAGAAAAUUGGACUUGUACCAAUAUAAGUCAGGCUAAACAUCAGGUAAAUCUUAUGUGUUUAAUUGUUUUCGAAACAAAUGUUGGCGAUAACAACUGUGAGUUAAUGCUUAUGACUGCAAAUAAUAUAAGGGCUCUCUUUAUAACAUAUAGAACUUUUAAUAAAAAUGUGAUUUUUUUGGCAAAACUCAAUGGUUAUGCAUUUACAAGUCAAGUGUUAGGGCAUAUUUUUCAGUUAAAAUCAGGUUAGGGUCCAUCUCAGUCUGGGAUUAAUAUUCAACCAACUUGACCUAACAUUGAGAUUAGAAAUCCAAACACAACUUCCAGAAAUUUUCAAUUCAGGUACACGUCAGAUCAAUACCACUUUGCACUUGCAGCCAUAAAUGGCAUGACACCCACAAAAUUAUAAACAAAGAAAAAACAAACCUUUGCUGACACUGCGACCCAGAUUAUUACUCUGUUUCAGUGGAUCAACUAUGUUAAGAUGCUUCUGGGGAAAUAUCCGAGAAUUAAUCUCAUAUCCCUCAGAGGAGACAGAGUACUUCUUCACACAGUUCCUGAGAAACUCAUCGGUGAGGAGUAAAUCACUCUCCUGAGUUUCGGGCGGCUCAGCUGUAAACGCCAAAAUAACAGUCACUAACUUUACCCACUCCAUCCAUAUAAAUUGUCUAGAAAUUAACUUACCAACUAGUUCAGGUAGAGAAGAAAGGGCUACAGGACCAUUCAAAGUGACACAAUACUUCUCCCAGUCGAAUUUGCUAUAAUAGUCCAAAAACCUAUAAAGGACCUACAUAAAGGAAACCGCUCUCAUAAAACUUAUGUAUCUGAAAUUCUCACAGCAAUUUAUUGAAUAGUUUAUGGUUUUUGAUGCUUAGAUCUAUCAGAAUACUCACCACCAAAGGGCCAUCCAAAGAUUUAUGGAAGAGAUGGAAGAUAUACAACACCAGAGUCUCUAAUGCAUAUGUCGAAAUUAAACCAUGAUGAGCACCAAGAAUGCGGCUUUCAUAAUAACACCAAGCUUUUAUCAACAUUAUGCUUCUCUUGAAAAGAUGGUCCUUCCCAAUUAGUUGAUCAACCUAGAGAAGCAGAUAGAAUGUAAACUAAUUAAAAGAGGAGUAUAAAAAAAUAUUGCAAAGAAAAGUGCAUUCUUUAUCAAGGUAUGUUUCAGGCUUUCAAGCAUUUAGAGGAAGACAGACAAGCUCAAAAACUUAAAGAGAUGUCUAGCCGCAAUACCUCCUCAAGAAAGCAAAGUGUGCAGAGUCCACCAAUCUGAUUGAAUGAGAUAUCGACAACAAUAUUUUGGACAAGACAUUUAACAAGCUUGACCUGUUGUGAGAAAUCGUAUUAAAAGAAAGCACAACAACUCAAAUAUGAUAAGCAUCAACUUAAGAAUGAAUGAAGUAACAAAUACAUAUAAUAAAAAAUCGCUGUAAAUUAACCAAUCAAACUCGGCAAACCAAUCAAACUCGGCAAUUGUUUUAACCAGACAUGCUGUGAUAUAUUGAAAUUCCAAAUGCAAUGAGUAAUGCAAGAUGAAUUUAAUCGGUUAAAUAAGGAAAACAGUAAAUUUUGCAGAGAAUACUAUAUCCGCUGCACAAGUAUAUAAUUAAUGGGAGUUCCUAUUUAUUGAAUAUGCACAAUCUCAUAAUUCAACAUGUCAUUACUAACCACUAUGGGUGUUUAGCGGCCUACUUUGAAUGUUACUAAUGUUUAUGUGAAAGAUCAUCAACAGAUAAUACCAAAACAUUUCAACGGUACUUCCCAAUGAAUAACUACGUCUUACGUUCUCCAACUAUUUAUCAAAUAAGCAUGUGGUCAAUAUAAAGAGCCAAAAAUUUCAAGCCACAAAAUGCUCGAAGAUAAAAAAUAGAAUAAGAUAAGAUCAAACACGAAAAGAAGUAUUAAAUCUGUUGGACAAGCAUCCACUUUCUUGAAGCCCUAAAAUCUAUUGCCAUGAGACAAGUAGACCUCCAAAAUUAAAAUUGUCCUACUUCCUAUUAAAUAUGUGAAAAAUAAUCCGCGUGCUCAACAUUCAUUUAGUGAUUCAGUGAAUGAAGGCUGGCUAAUUAUUUGUCCUGGGAGAAAAAGUUAACAAUGAUGCAACAUAAGAAGACAAAAUGGAAACAAACUUAUUAUCAGCAGCUUGACAACCUCUCAAAUAACCAAAAAUAAAGUGAAAUCCAGUAGAACAGAAGAACCUCAGCAUGAAUGUAUUGCACAUCCUUCACUUCAAACUCGGCGUCUUUGUUCUGUUCUUCAAAUUCGAGAACAGAACGUACACUGUUCGCCAAGCUAUCUUCUGAAUUUGGGACACCAACUGCAGUAAGGUCAAUAUCUCCAUCAGGAAGAUACGUCUUCAACGGUACUGAUCCAAAUGGAAAAACCUAUUAAAAAAAAUUGUGAAAAGUCAAAAUUGUCAGUUUUAUGGUCCAAUAAAAGGAUAGGAACAUUAAGCACAUACACAUAUAAUAAAUAUAACCACAAAUGAUUAUCCAAUUCGAGUUGGGCACUUCAUAAUCAGAUGUAAAGCCUUUGAGAAGAUUUUAAUUUACUCGUUUAAAUCAAUUUCAGGAGCAUCAUAGCUACUGUUCACAGACCAGUAGUCUUAAAUGCAUAGGUCGCAUACAAGUAACAAUUUUCAGAUUUUUGAUUUAUUCAGUUAGAAAAACUUCAGGAGCAUCCUACUGAUGGGCUUUGAAGAGGAAUCUGCCUUCUAAUAGCAUUUACAUACAAAACCAAAUAUCUCUUUCUUUCGCCCUUUUGAAUUAUUUGUGAGAGCAUAAUGCAAUGUAACUCUUUAGAUUAUGCAAGAGCUUACUGAUCCUUUGACCAGAUCAAAAGUUAAUUGGAUUGAACUAACAGGUAGCGAGAACAAUUCAAUGUCACAAUCUAACAGCUACUGAACAUAAAGAAAUGACCGUUAGGCUUAAACACUCUAAGCAUGAUUAUGGAGAAAAUAAGAGAAGUGGAACUGGAUCCUGUUUGAGUAUAUGAGCACCUUUGGUGAUAAAUGGUGCAAGAAUCCAAUCAUUUCAACUUUGACUAAAACAAAAGAUGUAAAGAAUUCUCAGAAGAACAACAAGGAAUACUGAUUAAAGGAGGCAUAAGAAAUUCCUGCAGCUACCAUAUAAUAUUCAUCUCUAUUUGGUGAUAAAUAAACCAUCUGUGGCUCUUUUUCUUUUUGUUUCUCAGAUAUUUCAUGAAAUAGACUAAAAUCUCCAAUGACCAAUCGUCGACAUGAAUACCAAAGGAUCCAGUACGUCCAACAUUGAUUCCUUCAGACAUGUCGAUUGGAGAAAAACAUAGCGGUUAGGAAGGAUAUCUAGUAUCAGACAACCAGCAGUUAAAGAAAACUAAGAUAAAUUUGUAAAAAAGGCAUUAUUUGAAGACACAGCUUAAACUGACUCAAUUAAAAACAGAAAAUACAGCGAAAUAAUUAUUGCAGUUAAGCCAAUUAAUGUUUUUAAGACAACAGCAGAAGCAACACGUCUCAUUCUCAGAUUUACUGAUCAUUCAGUUGAACCUUUUCAUCAAUAUACUGAAAGUAGCCUAUCAUGAAGGGAAGAAACAGAAAAUGAUUGAGCAAGCGCAUUAAUCAUGGCAAGAUCAAAUUACAAAAACAGUUAGCGAAGAGAUGCUUGUUUAACUUUCAAUACGACAACAAUAUUGCAAAGAAAAAGGAAAAGCAGAUACGAAAGAUAAUAGUCAAAAACCCUCUAAUAUAAUGAACCAGCCCGUAGUAUAGGUUACUCAAAAUAUAGAACAUCAAAGAAGGAAAGGAAAGAAGCUUAAAAAAAAAAAAAGAGGAAAAGAUGGAUGAACAAAGAGAUCAUUAUAAUGAGUUCUUGAAAAAAAAAAAAACUAAAACAACUACUCUCUUUAUGGGAAAGACUCAUAGGAUGAAAAGAACAUGCAACAUUUAAUAGAGAAAAUAUCUUGUAAAACUCUUCCACUAAAAGUACUCAAUAGGAGCAAUAAAUACCUUAACUCUUCCACUAAAAGUACUCAAUAGGAGCAAUAAAUUCCUUAUGAAUCUCACAAGAAAUCCAUGAGAUCCAUGAUGCGACAAGUCACCACACAAUGCUAACGUAAAGAAAUCAAGAGAAAGUACACAUCACAAAAAGUGGGUUAGAGACCAAGGAAUAUACCAUUCACAACACAAUAACACCAUGCAUGAACAUAUUAUAUUCAAAUUAAAUUGCAAGCAAGGAGUGGAGCAAAGCACAUGCUAUAACACAUCCAUACAUAAUACAACAAGUUGAAUCUAAAGUAGAGCGAAAUAAAGAACAAUACAAUCACAUUACAACACCUGAAACGAUAUAAUGCACAAUAAAUUGUAGUACGAAAAUAGAAGUAAAUUUGAGAAAGAGCAUGGACUCAGAGAAUCACCUCACUCCCAAUUUUCUCUCUGAUCAGCUUCUGAACGUGCUCGACAACGGCUCUCCUCCGCUGCUCGGACACGACGGUGGGCUGUAUAUGCUGUAUAACCUCUCUGGUGGCCUCCUCGGCUCGAUUCCACACAUCGGCGCCGACCGCGGCGGGGUCGGGGUUCGGCCGAUGGCUCUGCUGCUGCUGCUGCGGCGGCGGCGGCGGCGGCGGAUGCGGCGGAUUCGAGUGCCCUAGUUCGCCAUUAGCGUGCAACGGCCAGGCCUGGAGAUCGCCCAUGGCGAAGAAUCGGGCCCGGGGGGGGAGGGAGAGCGCAAAGAAGGGAUCUUUCCACAAACCCAAGGCUCAAAUCCGCGAGGCAUGCAUCUGGGGACCGAGGAAUCGACAAACUGGGAGCAAAAUCUCAUCUGGGCCGCAAAUCCACGGCAUGGGCGGCGCGGGAUCGGUUAAAGAUCGCUUGAAAACCGUAAAAAGGAGGGUUUUUUCGUGGAGUGGAAGGGAGAAUUGGGGGUUGGCGGGGAGGAUAAGAACGGAGGGAUUGGGGGAAAAGGGGUUUUCUUUUAUGGUGGGGAGUGAGGAUUGGAUCGAUCGCUAGGGCUUCUACAAAAACCCUUCAAGGGUUUGCUUCUUUCGCUUCUUCGUCUCUGAGAAUUUGGGGAGAGGAGAGAGAGAGAGAGAGAGAGAGAUGUAGUGAGAAAAGGGGUAGAGAGAGAGAGAGAUAGAGAGGAGAGAGAGAGAGGGGAAAAGGGUUAGUGUUUUGGGUAAGUGCGUUUUGUUGUUAAGACGGCGAAAAUGAGACGUUUUUGUUUUUUUUGUUUUUUUUUUUUUUUGGGUAAACUUCUUCGAAUACCACCCUAUAGUUUUGUACUUUCUAACUUUACUCCUUUAUAAUUUAAAAUAUAUCAAUGUAGUACCCUAUGAUUUAAUUUUUCUCUUUUCGUCGAUACUUUCGUUAACUUUUUGUUAAAUUAUAUAUAAAAAACUUCAUAUGUUCCACCUAUAGUUUAUCGAAUGUCCACUUUAGUACCCUUUAGUUUUAACUUUCUCACCGAUUUAACGAAAAAAAUUAGUGGAGUAGAUAACAAAAAAAAAUAAAAUAAAAUUAUAGGGUACGAAAGUGAUACACUUUAAAUUAUAGGGUAUUAAAGCAAAAAAUUACGAAAUCAUAUUUAAAGUUUUUCUCUUUUCCGGGGGAUAAAUGUACAGAGCGCCCCUAAACUUUAGCUAAAUUGUAAAGAGAGGUCUGAACUUUCAAAUUUGUUCAAAGUUUAUAAAUUAGUUUAAUAGACCCAUCUUUUUAAUAAAGUUAUUAAUUUUAAAGCCAUUUUAGUUGUCCGUCUUGCAUAUCAUCUAUAAAUCUUUAAAGCAGUAAAAAUUUUUUUUUUUUCUAUUUUAUUAUAAUAUAUAUAAAUCUCCAUGUAUUGUUAUCAGAAUUGAAGGAUAAAUAAAAUUCUUUAUAUUUGAAAUAUUUUCUGAUUAGGUGCAUGAUAAUCCACUACAAUGGUUGUUUAAUUUAUAACUUCAAUUGAAAAUAAAAAAACUAUCAAAAUAUUUGGCAAAAGUUAUCAGAACUAUCUGUUAUAAUUAAAAGUUCAGAUGUUUGCUUAUAAAAGAAUUGUAUAUAAAUCCCCAAUUUCUAUUUAUCCAAAAAUAAGUAAUUUUCAUUAAAAAAUUAGAAAAUUUGUAGGUUUAUUAGUAAAUUUAUCAAAUUCGAUAAUUUUAAUUAUAUUUUAGUAAAUAAAACUAGACUACUUAAUAAUUAAUUAUAACUAAUCAAAUUAUUAAACUAGAAAAGGACAAAGAAUCAAUGGGCCACUUCAAAGUGCCAUAUAUUUGAGGGGGUUCCGUAUUUUUUUUACUUAUUAAAAUGACCUUUAACUCCCUGCUCUUGUUAUUUUUGGGCAGGUGUUAAAUGGACAAAAGUGGGGGCAAUUGAAAAUAUAUACCCCAAAAAUGUUAUAUAUUUAAUUUUUAAAAAUUUUAAAAUUUUGUCUAUAUAUUUUUAAACUAGUUAGAAGUAACUGUAUUUUUAUUUUAUGACUCUUUUCAUAAUAAAAACUAUAUUUAAAUCAAAUUAGUACAAUUUAGCCGAUACACUAAAUUAUUAUUUUUGUAAUUGGUCAGAAAGAAAGGGUUUAAAUAAAAAGUACGAGCACAAAAGUCGCAAUAUUGGUAUAGUACAAGGUUUAUCAUGCAUUUUUAGUCAUUUUGUAGUAAUAAUAGAAAUUAAAUUGAUUAAUAAUUGUGUUUAAAUAUAGAAGUUUUUAGAUACACUUAUAACUCUUACUAUAUGAAAAAAAAAUUAAUUAAAAGGAUAAAGAUUUAAUCAAAAUCUUUGGUACAAUUUUGGUAAGCAGCUAAGUUUAUGGUGCUUUUCUGAUUUUGAACGGUGGUGGUGGUGGUGUUAUUGUGAUAGGUGAUUUUAGGACCGUUGGAUAGAUGAUGAGUAGAAGCUUCGGUACAACUAUUGUACCGAAACAUAUAUCAUCAAUCAAUCAAUAUUUAUAAGCAAGAUCUUGUGAAGCAUUAAAGUGAAUCAAAUUAUUUAUAACUCAAAAUAUAUAGUAAUUAAUAGUUAAAAAAAUUCCCACUUUCAAAAUUUUACAAUUUCAAGCGUAGUGAUCACGCGAUCGUCUUUUACCGGUUCUCUUUAACUAAUUCAUAAUUAUCAUUUUAUUCAUAAGUUGUACUCCUUUUUUUUUUUCUGAAUCGAAUCAAUGGUUAAGUUAAAAUUCUCUCUAGUUACCGUGUUAGUAAAUAAUUAUAGAUCAUGUUUGAAUAAAUCAAUGUUUAGUUUGGCGACAAGGGAAAAAAAAAAAAGUGCAAAGAGUGAAGGGUCUAUUUCUAAAGAAAAAACAAAGUUGAAGGGGGUUUUUCAAAAUGGCUGAUAGUUGAGGGGUCUCAACAUAUUUGUACCUAUUCUUUUUUUUAUUUUUUUUUUAGUUUAGCAUAUUAUUUCUUUUUUAUUUUUUAUUUUUUUUAUUUUGUUUAAUUUUGUCUCACUCUUAUUUCUUCCUUAUAUAUCCUUUCCCUUUCAAAGUGGUCCAUAGAUUCCCUCCUACUCCAUGAGCCCUUUUUUUCCAAAAAAAAAAAAAAAAAAAAAAAAAANAAAAAAAAAAACACAAGUAAGGUAUGAAUUUUAAGGUAAAUAUUUUUUUUAUAGGGUUUGUUUCUACUCAAAGGAGUUCAACUCCUUUUCUUUUUAUUUUCAUUGCACCUAAUCGGGGCAUUUUAUUGAUUAAAGUAAAAUUACUCAUCAGUUGUUAGAGAUAUUUUCAUCCACUAAUAAAACUACUUGUUAGAAAAAAAAGAAAAAGAAAAAAUGUACUAUCUCAAUAAUAUGGAGACCAUGUACAUUUUAAAAUAUAAACAGGAUUCAAACCGGAGAAUUAGUUGUUCAAUGAAAAGGAUAUUAAUUAAUCAACUAUUUUAAGCAACGGUACAAUAGUAAAAGAAGUAGGUUUUAGACUUUUUUUAGCUGACGCAUAGUGUUUAUAUCUACAGUUAAAAACUAUCAUGUUUAGAUAUCUGUACUGCAUAAAUACGCAAAUUUGCAUAAAGAUUUCUGCAAGAUUAGUGUUCGAACAUGUGCCGCUGAAAAUCAGAGGUAUACAUGUCAUAAUUGUUAUCUUUUUUUGUUGUUGUUCGCCGAGGAUGGCAGUGUGCGGCGACUUUGUUCAUAUUUUUUAAAAAUGAGCUUAGUUGAAGAUACAAAGAAACUAGACUUCAAACAUAUGACCUCAGAUACAAACAAUCAAUUUCAUUGCUAUUUGCGCUAACGCUGAUUGAUAUCUUAUACAAAUGGUUGGAUAGGAGCACAUGUGAUAAGGUUUUAAAGGACACAUAAAUAAUUGAACACCAUUUUUGCAAAAAUAUUUGCACACUGUAUAUAUAUGAGGAUGCACAUAGAAAUUUUUACAUGGUAAAACUAGGGGUGUUGACCAGGACAUUGCAUGACCUAACCCUAAUCCUCUUUUUCCUUGAUUAUCUUAUUAUGUACUUAUUGCUAAGCUUCUUCAAACUUUUCAACAUCUUUUAACGUAACUAAACCUCUACUAGGACUAAUUCAAGAUUAUCUUUUCAUUCUCCAAUCACAAGUUAAAGAAAAGAUAAAAGGAAGUGGUAUUAGAAGUGGUAUUAAAUCAUGCUAAAUGAGUUAGUUAAAUUAAGUAUUACUUGUUGGACAAACAAGCCCCAUAUAUAAACCCAGUCAUAUAGCUUGAACAAGGACUUUUCAUAAAUAAGCUAAUUAAAAUAUUUAAGUUAUAUUCUUCACUAUGCUAAGUUAGCCUAGCCUAAAAACCUAAAUUAGUUUAAUGCUACAUUUUUUAUAGCUCUACCAAAUCCUAAGUUACUUGACGUUUAUUAUCUUAUCUGAAGCUUCUAUACAACAUGUUUGAAUAGAUCUGUUUAAAAAAGCGGGAACAAUGUUUAUUUUGUCUUUUUGUCGCAUCAGACAAUUCUAGAUUUUUAAGUAUAUUCUUUACUUUAAGAAUACUUGUUAAAUCGUAAGUUACUACUUAAGAUCUGUUUAGCUUGUCUAGAGUUUUCGUAUGAUAUGUUUAAAUAGAGUUGUUUGAAGAAAUAAAGAUAAAGUUUAAUUUUUACAUUUUACGGUAUUCGCGCAUUUCAGAUAAACAUACGUAACUUUUACUUUACUUCUCAGGUAUAUAUAAAAUAUUUCUAGAAUUGGGGAAAAGAGGCACUUAAUUAAUUAAUUAUGCUGUGAUUAUGCUUAUAAUUAGACCAGAUAAUGAAGCAAUUAAUUUGGUACUGUUAUGUGUCACCAUCAAUGAUAGAAACACCUAUUAAAUAAUGUUGAUUAUUACGAGAAAGGAACAUUUCAUAAUUUUCAUUAAUGAUCUGCAUAUUAUUAAGCUCUUGUGAUCUCCAAGGAAUUGACAAAAUCUUUCAAUUAAACUCUCUUGUGCUCUUUAGAGAUAUAUCUAUUUGUCUCUAACAUUUUCAUCACAAUCAUUUAGGGCCUGUUUGUUUCGAGGGAAGUGGGGUGGAAGUGGGACGGGAAAAAUAAUUUUCGGUAAAAACUCACCACUUCCGCCGUUUGGUUCACGGUAAUUUUAUUACGCACGAAAGUCCAGUUCAUCUAAAAUAAUGAACUUGACUUCGCCCUCCCAUGGAGCGAAAUUAAUUACGGUGAAGUGAAAAAAAGACAAGAAUGGAUUAAUGUAUUAGGGUUACCUCUUCUAAAAUAUGAUCAAAUUUGAUUAAAUAAACUUUAAUAUAUUUUUUGUUUAAUUUGUAUAUUUAGAAAAUGAUGAAAAAUGAAUUUGUUAAAUGUUAAUAAUUUUUUAACUUUAGAAUUUUAUUUGUUGCAUUAUUAUAAUUUAUAUGCAAACAAAUAAUAUAAUUUUUUAAAAAUUUAUUUUAUAAUUAUACAUAUAUAUAAUUAUAUACAUAUAUAAUUAUAUUAAUUUUUAUUUAUUAUAAUUUAUUAUUCACUAUAAGUUACAAAUAGACAAUGAUAUCACUUUGAAGGUAAAUAUACCGAGGGUGGAGAGCUACACUUUUUACGUCAUCUACUUUCUACCAAACAAACAACAGAACUCGCAGAACUGCACUUCCACAGUUAAAAACAAAUAGCAAAAGUGAACUAAUUUUCACUCCAACUCCACUUCAACUCAAAGUCCACUUCUACCCAAAGUCUACUUACGUUGAAACAAACAUACCCUUAGUUUUUUUGGUCUCUCUCUCUCUCCUUUUCUUCCGUCGGAACCACAGACUUUAUGAAUAUUUUUCGAAUUAGGAUUUGGCAGAUUCCGAUAGAAAUAUUUUCCACAGGGCCGCCAAGAUUUGGAAGAAAACAAAGUCGACCUGAGAGUGAUUGUUUUUGUCUAUAACAUUUUUUAUUUUUUAUUCUGUUUUAUGAGAUUUUAAAGUUUAUGAACUUAGAUUCAUUUGUUAGCGGAUAUUUAUGUUUGGGUAUUGAUUAAUGUAUCUUUUUUUUUUCUUUUUUUUUUCUUUUUCUUAGGUUGGGAGACUGUCAUUUAUAUUUUUUGUUUUUCUAGUUCUAAAAAUACUUAUAUUAUUCUUGUGCAUGGAAAUGUGCUUAUAUUACUACCCAAUUUUGUAUAAUAAUGUUGUAAUUAAACUCUAAUUUUUAAUAUAUUCUACUGAUUUUGAACAUAAAACAAUGAGAUUUUUAUUAUUAUUUUUUUUAUUUCGAGGAUUGGGGCUUAACCUCCUAUGCACCUUUUCUGAGUUUCGUGACUUAGAACUCAAACUGUGGACCUUUUUCUAUCAAUAUUACAUGACUAGAAUAUUAAUAUUAUUGACAUUUACACGGUUUGUAUUUAGGAUUUGUCAGGUAAGCCUAAGAAGAUUUUUAAAAUUAAGCAUAAAAUUAGACUCUUUCAAAUAGGAAUGUAAAUGGAUUCAGAUUAACUAAGAUUUUAUCCCGAUCUGUCCCGAAUUGAAUUGUAAUUGAAGGCAGAAAAAAAAAAAAAAAAAAAAAAAAAAAAAAAAACUCACCUCUAAUCCGCCUCAAUCUGCUCCAGAAAUAAAGCAAUUAGAAGAAAACUGCUUGGUUUUCUUGACCCAUCUCAAUUCAUCAAAAACACACUCCCGUCUCGACCAAUUCCAAAUAAAUCUAUAAAUAAACAUAAAAUAAAAUAAAAUAGUUUUUAAAAAAUAAUUUGUCGCGAUCUGCAAAAAAAUGAAGUGGAAAGGUGAGGGCCAUGCCCCCUUACAUCCACACACAGAGGUGGUGUUAAAUAUAUAUAAUGGUUUUUUGGCCUAUAUAUGUGCUGUAAAUUGCGUGCAACGCAUGUAACAAUUAACAGUGACAUAUUUUAUAUUCGGACAAAAUUGUACUAAGAUAUAUUAUAUUAGGUAGAGCGUGUCUUUUAUCCAUUUACCAAAAAUAAUGCUCAAAUUCAUGCAAAAAGCAACUAAUUCUGUGUCUUUUCAUUUUAGUCUAAGUUGAAAAAGCAAAUAAUUUUGUGUCUUUCCAUUUUAAUCUGUGUCUUGCCGUUGCCUACCUCUCCUCUAUGCCCAUCUCGAUUUUCUCCCUACUGUCGCCGAAAUGGAGAGGCGACGAGGGUGCAGGAGGAGAAGAGGAGCAGGUGGAGAAAAAAAUAAAGACGAACUAUGGCUGAUCGAAGCGCAAAAAAUGGAAAGAGAAAAGACGGCGGAUGAACAAGAUGAGGGAGAAAACGAAAAUGGUAAGGAACAAAUUGAUCAUUUUGUCAUCACAAUUAACACCGUACCCUUCUGUAAGCAUUUUUUUAUUUUAUAAAAAUGCAAAGUGUAAAUUUUUAUAUGACAUGAAAGAAAAAUAAAAAAGUGGAUAUUCAUAGAAAAAUUUUAUGUAAUUUAGCUUUUAAAAAAAAAAGCCAUUGUAGGGGUUAAGAAAAUGUGUAAAACUAGUAGUAAAAUUAGUCUCUUUCUACAUACAAGGGUUGCAUUAAAUAGGAUGGUUUUUUGGAUGUGCUCUAUAGUGUGCAACACAUGUAACAAUAGACAUUUUAUAUUCGGACAAAUUGUACUAAGAUAUAGAGACAUAGCAUUAGCUUGAACAUGUCUCUUAUCCAUUCACUGAAAAAUAUAACAUUUAAAAGUGCAUUCACAAAUAUAUCCAUGCAAAACAGGUAUACACUAAAAUUUUUUUUUCUACAUGUUUAUUUUAUUAUAAUAUCUAAAUUUUACAAUCCACCAAUUAAGAAAACUUAGUAAAUAAAUAUGAACCUUUGAAUGAUUAUGAUAUAAGAUUUACACUCUAUACAGGUGUAAAGAUAAUAUUGCUCGAAGAGAAAAUUAUGUGUCUGUUCAGUUUGGAUUACUUUAAUGAUUUUUAUUAAAUAAUUAUUGUGGUCGAAUUAUAGCCGAUCGUCGACCAAAAGUUUGGAAAUUCGAUCUCCUAUAUACGCCUAUAUUAAAAAGGGCGAUUUAAUUCUCAGCUGCUUGAAAAUUUUAAAAAAACUGUAAUUUGCCUUUGAGAAUUCUUGGGAGUAGAGUUUAUAUAUUUGUUAGAAAAAAAAUUAUUAUAUCCUUGUAAGAUAUUUAUGUACUAGAAGAAUCAUCCUAUCCUAAGUAUUUGCAAUAGAAAUUUAUAAUCAGCAUUUGUGUAUGUUUUUUCUGGUUCUAAUUCCAAUUAAUCUAUUAAAUAUCUUGUAGUUAUUGGUGUGCAUGAGUGGUGCAACUUUUUCCAGCUUUACUAAAAUUCUAUUCAGCAUCUAACAUAUUAGAUUGAUUUAUUUCGGAUACAUCACAUUCAAAUCAUGCAAAAUUUUGAUCCAUUUGGACUAAAGUACAUUAUAUUUUGACCUUUCGAGUCGAUUAAGUCAAUUAUCUGUUACAUCACAUGCAAAUGAUGGCAAAGUUUGAUCCAUUUGGAUAAAAUUACAUCAUAUUAUGUCCUCUCAAUUAGGCUCAUUUGAAAUUGUAAGGCCAAUUUGUAUAAAAAUUCCGCUAGUUUUGCGCUUUUGCAAAAGUGGACCACCUUUUUUUUAAUUUUAUAGAUUCGAGCCAAAUUUUUAAUAAACUGACCAAAUAUUCUUAUAUCUUUUUCUCUCACUUUUUUUUUUCUCGCGUUCUUUUUUUUUUAUCGCCGAAGAAGGCGAUGGAGGCGAAGGCGGAAACGGCCCCCAUCGUCUCUGCACCUCAUGCCUUCACUUCCACCCUCGCCUGCGCCCCCCUCGGCCUACUCGCCUCCGACCCCGUUGAAGUCGCGCUGCGACCCUCUUUUUUUUUUUUUUUUUUUUUUCUCUCCGACCCUCCUCUACCACCUUCGCGGUCCUCCGCGACGAUAACGAGAACGGUAACGCGUCCUCUUCCUCCGCCUCCACUCUCUACCUGCACUGCAGCGGAUUUUCUAUCCGCCAAACAAACCCGCCAUCCCCACUGCUGCUACUGGCUAGGAAGAGAAAGUGCUUCUCGGGGCCGAGAAGCUCGCCGGCGAGAGAAGGGGCACGCGGCCCACCCACCUACCCUAGAGGGCAGCGGCAAGCGUAACCUCGACGGUGUCGGAGGCGAGCGAGAAACGCACGGGAAAAUCUCUGGAUUAGCUAUUUUGUUUGUUUAAAAUAAAAAAAAAUAAUUAAAAGGCCAAAAACUAGAUAAUAAUAAAAAAAACAAUAGAAAAUGAAGAAAAUGAUAAAUUUGCACUGUUAAGAUUAAAUUGCACUGUUUUAAAAGAAUGUUAUACUAUUAUGAAUGUAAGUUGAACUCUUUUAAAUAUAAACUGCAACAUUUAAAAUGAAAGUUAUACUCUUUAAACGAAAGUUGCACUAUUUGAGAGAUAUUUAUAUUAUUUCUCCUCUUGUUGCAAUCUUUAAGAUGAGAUAUUUACACUAUUUCUUUUCUUGUUGCACUAUUUCUCUCUUCAUGUGUUGAUGUGUAAACUUCAUCCUUUAAUAAGAGAAAUAGUGCAACAAGAGGAGAAAUAGUGUAACAAGAAAAAAAAUAGUGUAAAUAUCUCCUCUUAAAGAGUGCACCAAGAGGAGAAACAAUAUAAAUAUCUAUCAAAGAUUGCAAUUUUUAUUUAAAGAGUGUAACUUUCAUCUUAAAGGACAGUUUAUAUUUAAAAGAGUGCAACUUACAUCCAUAAUAGUGCAACGUUUUUGUAAAACAAUGUCAGUGCAAUUUAAUCUUAACAGUGCAAAUUCUUCUUCUUCUUCUCUGGUUUUCUUUAUUAUUCUCUAGUGUUUUACCUUUUAGUUAUUUUUUUUUUUAUUUUAAACAAACAAAAGUGUUAAUCCAGAGAUGCUCCUGUGCAUUUCUCGCCCUUCUUGCCUCCGACACCGUCGAGGCCCCGCUCGUUGCCGCCCUCUGGGGUAGACGGGGUGCCGCGUGCCCCGUCCCUCACCGGCGAGCUUCUUGACGCUGAGAAGUGCUUUCUCUUUAUCGUCGACAGUGGUGGUGGGAACGCGAAUUCCCAGAAGUGGGUUUGGUUGGUGCAAAAUCCGCUGCAGUAUUGGUGGAGGGCGAAGGCGGAGGAAGAGGAUGCGUUACCGUCCUCGUUAUCGUUGUAGAGGGCCGUGGAGGCGGUGGAGAAGGGUCGGAGAGAAAAAAAAAGAGGGUUGCAGCGCGGCCUCGGCGGGGUCGGAGGCGAGUAGGGCAAGGGGGGCGCAGGCGAGAGUGAGGGUGAGGGCGUGAGGUGCAGAGAUGAUAAGGGUUGUUUCCGCCUUCGCCUCCGUCGCCUUCUUCAGCGAGAAAAAAAAUGAACACUAGAAAAAAAAAAAAUAAGAGAGAAAAAUGUAUAAGGGUAUUUUGGUCAGUUUACAAAAAAUUCGGUCCAAAUCCGCAAAAUCGAAAAAUGUGACCCACUUUUGCAAAAGCGCAAAACUAGUGAAUUUUUUAUGCAAAUUGGCCAAAUUGUAAUUAUCCCCUUUUUUGUUUGUUUUGAUAAACAUUUUCACACAAUCCAAUAUCAGGAUUAAAAAAAUUACAUUAGUUAUUUUUUUAGGUUUUUUUCUAUCUAUUCUUCUUUCAUAGUUGGCUUUGACAAUCUCCAAAACAAAAUCAAUUUACAAUGUGUGAAAAAUGUGGACUUACAAAAGAAUUUAACUUAUGAUGCACCAAAAAAUAACACGCGUUUACAAUAAAAAAUAACUUUACUCUCCUCCACUUUAUAUGAAAUAAAUAAAUCAAAGAGCUAAGCCAGCGAGACCGGAUUCUCAACUAUAUUAAAAUUUUACUAUUAAAUAUAAAUAUUAAAAGUAUUAUUUUUUAUUAUUUUUAGAUUUUUGGACUGUGUUUGGUAAUUGAGAAAAAUUUAAAAGAAUUAGUAUAUUUAUUUUUGAGAUAAUCUAUUAUUCUAGGAUAUAGAGAAAUAAAAAAAAAUUGUGUUUAGUUUGAUAUUUUUUAUUCUGUAGUGUGAAAAAAUUUUGUAUGAUUAUUUUAUUAAGAAAUAAUGAAGAAUAGUGGAAAACGUUGAUUAAUUUUAUUUAUUUAUUUAUUUGGCCAAGAUGGCUUUUGUCCACAUUUCUCGGAUAUAGAAUAUUUAAUAUAUGUACAAUAACACGAGUUCGAGUUAAAAUACUAUUAAUAGUAUUUUAGACUCUUCUACUAUCGAUUUUUUAACAGUUAGAUCUACACUUUAAUCAAUUUCACAUUUUAGAUCAUACUUUCAACCAACCACCCACUAAGACUUAGUUUGGUAUUGAGGUGGAUCUAACGUUAUUAGAUAAAAUGGAGUUGAGAAAAAAUAUAUAUGGAUAUGUUUCUGCGUUCUCCGAUGGGACCGCAGAAAAUAUAUCAUAACCGACUAACCGCAAUAUGCGGAACGUAAUAUCACAUACGGAACAAAUAUAGUAUGCAAUCUCCCUGCAAUUCCAAACGAAACCUAAAUCCUAGAGAAACCACCACUAAACUUUAAAAAGGUUUACUAUCAUCAUUACUCUAUAAUUUUUCAUUCAAAGGUUAAAAAUUUUAUAGUAAAAAAAAUUAAAUACUAUUAAUAAUAUUCAAGUCCAAUUCCAAUACAUAUAAGAAUUAUAUAUUUUGUGAAAUAUACAAUAAUUAAAUUAUUAUAUAAAAUAAUAUUAUAGUCAUAUUAUUUCAUUAAAUACUUUCAAUAAUAUGAACUAGGCUGGAUACUAUUAAUAACACUAGUGACUUGGUGUUAUUAAGUUUUUUACACUUGGAUUAAAAGAUACGCGGUUAUGAAGAUGUGGGUCCCCUAGGGUUGAGUGGGUGGUUAAUUGAAUAGUAUAAUUGGAGGGAUAAAAAUGAUAAAAAAAAUAAAUCUAACGGCAGAAAACUUGAUGAUAUCAAAUACUUCGUACUAUCGAUAGUAUCCCAACUAGACUGCAAUAAUAUUAUAUAACAUAUUUCAAUAAUAAUAUAUAAAAAUAAUAUAAAAAUAAUAUAAAUAAAUAAUUAAAGACUAUAUUUUAAAACAUUAUUUAAUAUAUUUAUUACAGUAUAUAACAUUUUAUUUUAUAUUAUAUGAUAUAUGAUAGAAUAAGAUAUAAUAUAAAUUUAUUAAAAUAAUAAAGAUAAUAUAAUAUAAUAGUACCACUGCUAGUUAUUGCAGUACUACUCAUCAUCAUGACAAUAAUAAAAUAUUUAAAUAUUAUAUUACUAUUAUUGUUAUAAAAUAUUUUAACAUAUCUAAAAUUAAUAUAUAUAGCCUGUGAAUAACUCUAUUACUUCCAGAAUGUGAAAUAAUUGUUCCCAAAUUAUUCUAAGCAAGGUUAUUAUAAAAUUAUCUAAAGUAAUCAGGUUUGACCGGAAUAAUUAUUCUUACCAUUUUUUUAUAUUGUUUGGCGAAAUAACAGAAAUAAUUUUUGUUGCCUCAAUUUAUUUCGAAACCAAACAGGGCCUUGGAGAAGUGCAAUUAUUCUACACAAUUUAACAUGAUAUUCAAGCCACAAGUCCAGAGUUCGAGUCCCACUAUCAAAAAAUCCAGAACAUCUAGAACCCAAGGGCGAAUGAAAGUGUUGGAUAUAAAUAUUAAAAACACCGUUUUCUACCAAAUUAAGUUAGCGAGUGUUUCACCCAAUAUAACAUUUACCACUUCCAUAACAACAUCAAAACAAUAACCCCUGAACUGUUGAAAAGCUUCAUAUAUCAUAAAAAGACAUUCGAAACUAUGCAAGUUUUGUAAGACACUAGUGCUCAAAACAGAGAUGGUAAAACAAAAGAAGAUACACAACAAGGGUAGAACUAGCAUCACGAUAUCCGAAACAAAACCGACUCCUAUGGAAAUAGUUCAAAGACUCUUCAUUAUUAGGGCUGACUAGCGAGAUUGCUCGAUUGAGAAAUAAAAGAGACACAUCACGGGCGCACCGCAGGAGCUCCAGCUGGGCGCGGGCCUUGCCCAGGUCGCGCCGUGUCAUCCUGGAAAACAAACACCAACACAAAUCUCCUUUCAAUAGCCUGCUUUCAUGUACUAGAAUUAAAUGAUUAGCCUUGAGCCGAGGAAUAAACGGGGUUUGAGGAUAAUACUCCAUAACAAUGUGCAGGUCAUUACACAAAUGUAACAGAAAAGCCAGUACUACAUAGAAAAGUGGAGAAAAGCAAACUCAACUUCUAUUUUCAUUUUAAGAAAGUUCUUCACUAAUAGGAAGAUUUUCCUUCUCUUUUGGAAAAUCACUUAUUGAUAUUGCUCGUUAGACAAGUAUACUAGUGACAAAGUGAAGGAGAUCGUUGCAUAUCAGGGGCCAGGCUCAUCCCAUCCAAGAGGCAAGUGUUGGGCCAAUGGGAAACACGCCCAAACCAUAUACAACAAAUAAUUACAGAUUCUCCAACCAAAGAGCCCAAAAACAGAAGAAAUAAAAUACAAUUCAGACUUACAGCUGAAUUCAGUUUGCUUUUGGAACCACAUUUUCAGUGUUCCACUAACACAUAUGGAAAUUGCUAGCUUUUAGAUACAGCUGCCCAUUUUAGUUAGCAUGUCAACAGACGAGUAGUAGAAUAAAAAACUACAUACCGUAACUGUUGAAGGAAAAAGAAUCAACGACUCAAAAGUAACAAAGAUACAAGCAGAAAAAAAAAACGUAGAGAAGAUAAUAAAAAUUGGCCUUUCACUCGUUUAUGCAUACUAAGUUUGCCUUUAGUCAACCGAAGCAACAAAGGCAAAUGAGUACAAGCAAGGAUUGAACAAUAACACCGAAGCAUUGUUCAUUAGCUUCACAGCCCCACAUUGCACCUAGAUGUUAAUUUACGCUUUUGUUGACACAUCCAUUGUAAAAGUAUUCGCAAUGAAUGCAACACCUUGCAAAAGCGAGGAAUAACAAUCAUUUUAACACUAAAACAAGAGAUUACAGAUGCAAGGAACUAGUACACGAAAACCAACUUAAGGCUAUUGGCUACAUUAGAUAAUCUGUAGUAGGAUGUUGUCUUUACACCAUUCAUCAUCAUUUGAAAGAGCCAAAAACAUAAUAAGUAAAUUUCAAAAAAGUCUUCACUGACAUAUAUUUAUUUUAAGUGUGCUUAGGAGCCCAUUAUAGACAUUUCGCGACCUCUAUUUUAAUUGAAAAAAGAGAACUCAAAAUUAUUAUAAUUCAACUACCCACGCGAUAUCUAAAAUUUUGCGGUUCUUCCAAUUACUUGACUGCUGCCAACUCAUGAAGUCCUACUAUCACCUCCUCCACCCAACAAUUGUUUCUUGCAACAUUAAUGACCUUAAGCUUUUUUAUGAAGAUACUGAUGUAUGUACUUUUUUUACAAAAAUACGAAAUUGCUGAGGGUACUGAACAGUGCUUAUGUUUGAAACUCCAGACAAGAACCACUCAUCAUAUACAGGAAUUUAUAGUGUUGAAGGCAUUAAAGUAGCCAUUCAACUAAAACUAGGUCCUAAUCAACUUAGAAUUAGCACCAAUUUGUGCUCGACUGUAUGCAUACAAAGCUAAGCUUGAUGGCAAAUUUACUCUAGAGAUUAACAUUAAGUCGAGAUUAGAUAGAAGCGGCUUCAGAUCAAGUUCAAAUUUUUCGUUAAUCACCACUAGCAUCAUGUCCCGAAGUGAUCUAAUCAGGCAAAACAAUCAUAAUCAUAAUAAUAAGUCCUAAGGAAAAACACAAAAGAACACGAAAUACGUAUGCAAUGAUAAAUAUACAACAAUUCAAGCAACCAUAACACAAGUAUAAAGAGAGUACCCGGCGUCUGAAGCGCUGCGGAGGCUCGCGAAUCCUCCUCGCCUCCCGGGACCGGACUCUCACAACGUGAGAGUGGAUAGCGCAAGAUACACAAUACUGCAUCUUAGCAUACAGCUUCGGAAGAGUGUAACCUGCAAAAUAAAAAACCGAUUUUUCCCUCAAAAAAUCAGAAAAACAUACUCCAAAAUACAUUUUUUUUAAAAAAAAAAAACACAAAUAUAGAAAAAGAUCAUACCAUCAUAGACGCACGCCUCCUGCACAUCUCUUACUGCGGCUUGCUCAACGAUGUUCCUCACGAGAAACCUCUUGAUGGCCUUAUCCUUUUUUUUUAACCACCAAAUAAGGUCGAAUUCGAUCAAAUAUUCAUAGAUCCAUUAGGGAUUGUUUACUUAGUGUUGGAAAAUUUAGGGUUUUCGGAGAAUCGCUUACCUUAGGGCAGCACUUGCCGCAGUUGGAGCAGCGGAUGAACCUGACGUGGCCGCGGCCGUGCUUGUUACGGCCGCCAUUCCUGCGCUUGAAGGUCUGCGGAGAGAAGGAGAAGAAGAAGCGUUAGAGCCAUGGAAAACUGGAAGAGGAAGGGGGAGAGGAGGAGAUGGAAGAGAUCUAGGGUUAGGGUUAGGGUUAGGGUUUUCCGUACCAUGGCGGCGAGUGGAUAGCGGUAGCGCUAAAGGUCGCUGCUUUGAUUCUAGGGUUUUAGUAUUAGAAAGAGACGCGAAGCGAGGAGUAUAUAUCGUCCGAGAUUAGAUUGGGUCCCUAGAGUGGACGGUGUAAACUUAUUGCAUGAACCCGGUGCAUAAUGAUCCGUGCACCUGGUCGACGCCGGGUCCAGGUGAAGUGAAUUCUAAAAAAAAAGAAGGUUAGAUUACUUAUUUCCAUUUUAAAAAAAACCCAAAAAAGCCAUGUUCCCUUUAGAUUUAAAUUUUAGACAUUUAGCUUAGUUUCUUGAAAUUUCAGUUUGUAUAUCACGGUAUAUACAUAAUUUUUUUUAUACAGUAUAACAAAUUUAUAAUCAUUAAAUUAGAAAAUGAUAAAACUUUUCAACACAAUAGAAUGACCGAUGGUACAAUAUAAUUAUUUUAUUAUUUUAUUUAAUAUUGCAGAUAAAAUAUAUUAUUUAUGGCCAAAAACGUUAUGAGUAAAAAAAAUUAUUUGAUUUGAGAGAUUAAUUUUAUUUGUUGUAAAAAAAUUGGAAAAACUUUUUUUUUAAAGAAAGGAAAUUGGAAAAACUUUAAAUAUUAUUUAUGUGGUUUUGCACUUUAUUACUUUAGUGUUCUAUUGUUUAAAAUGUAUCACUUUCAUACUCUGUGGUUUUUUUUUUUUUCGUUAUCCCCUCCAUCAAUUUUUUUGUUAAAUUAGUCGUAAAGUUAAAACCAUAUGAUACUAAAUAAAAAUUUGGUAAACCGCAAGGUACAAAAAUAAAUAUUUGGUGAACCAUAGGUAAAAUAUCUGAAGUUUUUUGUAUAUGAUUUAACAAAGAGUUAAUAAAAGCGUUGACAAAAAAAAAAAACCAAAGUGUAUUAAAGUGAUACACUUUUAACUCAUAGAGUACUAAAAAACCACAUAUAUGACAUUUGAAGUUGACCCAAAAAAUUUAUAUAUCUUUCCUAAAAGUCCCUGAUCUACUUUGUUGGAAGAAGACAUGGGAAGGUCUGUGAACCGCGCUUUGAAUUUUCAUAGACCAGGUAUAUGCUCCUGGUCCAUACGACAGUUCCUCCAUGUUUAAGUUGGCUCCUUUUCCCCUCCUACUCAUGGACUCCUCAAACACGACGACGACCACCACCGCCACCUCUCCCUUCCCCUUCUCCUCCCUCAUCCCGACCAUGUACUCCACCUCAAACCCUAUCCCUAACCCUAACCCCUCACAUCCAUGGCGACUCCUACCCCCCACCUCCUCCUCCGCCGCUCCUCCGCCCCCUUCCACCUCGCCCAAGCCCACGCUGCGCUCCUCAAAGCCGGACUCGCCCACCGCCGACGCUUCCUCUCCAAGCUCGUCUCCCUCCUCGCGCUCUCCCCGCACGGGAGCCUCCCCCACGCGCGCGACCUCUUCGACUCCGCCCCGCCCCGGCUCCAGUCCCCGCCGCUCUUCGCCGCGCUCAUCCGCGCCUACGCCUGCGGCCGCGCCUUCGCCGAGUCCCCGCUCCCCGAUUUCCCCCGUAAGGGCGCCGAGCUCCAUUGCCGCGUCGUCCAUCUAGGGUUUGCGUAUGACCCAUUUGUUCAGAACUCCUUAAUCUUCAUGUACUCGAAAUGCAGUAACCUCCACGACGCGCGGAAGGUGUUCGGCGAAAUGGCCGAGAAAACCCUGGUCUCGUGGAACGCCAUGAUCGCCGCGUACGACCGAAGCGGCGACCGGGCGGCAGCGGAGCGGCUCUUCCGGGAAAUGCCUGAGAGGAAUGUGACGUCGUGGAACAGCAUGAUAGCCCGGCAUGUGCGAGCAGGGGACACGCGUGCCGCGCAGAUGUUGUUCGACGAAAUGCCUGAAAGGGACGCAAUCUCGUGGAACUCCAUGAUCGCGGUGUAUAUUCGCGCUAAGAAUCACAAGCGAGCUCUAGAGCUUUUUCGCCAAAUGCAAGCUAAUAAUAUCAAGCCUACGGAGCUUACGCUUGUUUCAGUUCUUGGGGCUUGUGCCGAGACCGGUGGGUUAGAGAUAGGGAAGGAGAUUCAUAAUUAUUUAGAAAAUAACCACAUUACAAUUGAUGGGUAUGUGGGUAAUGCUUUGAUUGACAUGUACUCAAAGUGUGGUAGCUUGAAGCUCGCAAGAAAGGUGUUUGAUGAGAUGCCUAUGAAGCAUGUUACUUGCUGGAAUUCAAUGAUCACAGGUUUGGCGGUUCACGGCCAUUGCGAAGAGGCAUUUGACCUUUUCGCCUCCAUGGUGAGGGAGCUGAAUGGUGUCGCGGAACCAAACCGUGUCACAUUUCUUGCGGUUUUAAUUGCCUGUACCCACAAGGGUUUGGUGAAGGAGGGGCAAAUUUAUUUCGAUCGAAUGGUUAAUGAGUAUAAGAUAGAGCCUGAUAUAAAGCACUAUGGUUGCAUGGUUGAUUUGCUAAGCCGAUGUGGUAUGGUUGAAGAAGCUUAUCAGAUGAUUAAGGAGAUGCCCGUCAAGGCCAAUUCGGUGAUGUGGAAAACCGUGUUGGCAGCUUGUCGAGUACAUGGGAAUGUGGAGUUGGGAGAGAAAGCAUUUAAGGAGCUUCUUGAAAUGGAUUCCAUGGGAGAUGAUGUAGUUACGAUGUCGAACAUAUAUGCAGAAACUGGCAGAUGGGGUGAUGUCAAGCGUUUGAGAAGUAGGGUGACAGGUUGUAACAUUUGGAAGCAAGCGGCUUGUAGUCAGAUCGAGCUGUUGCAUUGAAGUGGGCCACUCUUAAGGUUGUUUUUCUCUGCUGGAGCUUCUGUAAAAGUGUCGUUUGAGUAGAAUUGCACGAAGAAGUCAUUAUAAUUUCAUUAAUCUCUUUUAAUUGCUUCUUGCUGCAGCUAGAAGCAAAAUCUUCAAAUAUAAGCUUAUGUGUUCUGAGACUAGAAGCUUGUUUCUGCUUCUUACCACGGCUAGGAGCUCUGGGUCAUUAGUUUGGUCAACACCUAGCUUCUGCUUCAUGAAUGAAGCUGUAUAGUUGCACGAGUCAACCACUCCAUGGUACAGAAGACAGUUAUGUAGUUCAUUGGUUCAAGAAACGACUAUACAGAAGACUUUUUAUAAGCAUUUACGAGCAUAUCCUCCCUUGGUGAAUCUAACUCAGGAACCAAUGUUGAGUACUUACGCUUCACGAUACAGGUUGAUGCAGAUCUCUGCUUUUGCGGAAUGGUUUUUUCAGCUUUUGCUAUUUUCUCCAGCUUAACGGCUCUUAAGUGCUGAAGAUGAUUUUGUGGACUAGAGCUGCGAAAGGCGCUUUUCAUUGGAGCUUGUUAAAUCAAUGUAUAUAACUGAUCUGUUUUUGCCAAAUAGUUGGCUUCUUCAAUUGUAUGGAGAAAGAUAGAUCUAUAGACGCAAUAUUUGGCUUAGUUCCUCUGAUAUGAAUCAGUAGAUACCAUCACUGCUUGCAUUGCUUGCUGUAAACUUCCAUUCCAGUGGGAACUAAAGGAUGUGAUGCUGCUGCUUCUGUAGAAUACUAUUGUUUGUGAUUCUAUUGUUUUAUUCGUAUCUUUUCUGCGCAAAUACUAAGAAGAUAUUAUAAUUGAAGAGCGUGAAAACAAAGUCAAGGAGCAUUUUGCCAUUUUCCUUGUGUAUGAACUUUUGACAUUUUCUCAGAAUGUACCCUAGAAUAUGUUCCCCCACUUGGUUAAGUCAUACACAAUGCGACUUUGACCUAGUUUACCCAUCCCAAGCCCUUUUCCUUUUGUUUAUUAAUUAUCAAAUUCAUGAUGUUAUAUUUAUAUUUAUGGGCAACUUAAAACAAAGAGGGAUGAGUUUUAUAUUUGUCCCUAAAUUUUUUUGGGUAAUUUCAGAAAAAAAAAUGUUUUCAACUUUUCUAUCUGUUCAUGUUAAGUCUCUGUGUUUUCACAUUUUUCUUUUGAAAAGUCCCCAGGGAAUAAUGGAAUAUCUUUCAUCAAAAAUCCAAACUGUAUUGUAUCGCAACUUGUACGGUUUUGACUUUUAAAUUUGAUAAAUAUGCAUAUAAAAAAGUUUUUAAAAAUAAAAUAUUGGUCGUAUGUGAUGCUCACAGUAAUAAUAAAUCUACAAAAUUAUGGACAAAAGUUAAGUUAAGAUUGCUAAUAAAUGAAGUCCCCACAUUAGAGGAUGAAGGUCAACGCCGUGAUUUGAGCAAUUAAAAGAAAGUUUCCAAUGCUUUACCGCCGAUUUAAAAUCAGAGGUUAUCUCUUAUGUUCCACCAAAAAUUAUAGGUGCAUUUAAAACAUUAUAAUUUUAUUUAUUUAAUAGUGGAGCUAGGCUGCUGCUGUACUAUCAGUAGUAUAGAAGCUUCUGUACUACCAAGUUGUUUUUAAUGAUGCGGCUUCCGAAUCAACGAUCGUUUUUUUAGAUAUGAUCUACGCUGUUGAAAAUAUUUAGAAAUCAAAUUUUAUUUUUUUUCGACAUUAUUUUACAAGUGAUCAAAAUAUUUCAAAAUUGAUAAUUUUAAUGACUGAUGUGUUGCGUUUAUAAAUUUAACGGUGUAAAACAAUUCAAAUAUGAUGAAAUUUUUAUAGAAAAUUUUCUUUACUAUUUAAAGUAAGAUCAGUACUUCUAAUCUUAAAUUCAAAUCUUUUAUCAUUAUUUUUUAUGAAAUUUUUAUUUUCAAUCGUUUAUUUUUAGACUACUCGUUUAAUAGGUAAAUGAUGUAAAAACUUAUAAAUUUUAGUUUUUUAAUACGUUCAAUAGCGUAGAUCAAGUACAACGUAACCGAUUGUCGAUUUGAAAUUCGCAUCAUCGAAAAUAAAUUGAUAGCAUGAUGGCCUCCGUACUACUGAUAGUAUACUGACUGAAUUCGAAAGUUUAAAGGGUCUCUUGGAAAUUUUCCCCAAAUUACGAGCUUAUCAAAAAAAAAAAAGUAAAAAUUAGUGGACCAAAGUGAAAUUGUAGUGAAAGUUCUAAGUGGUAAUGCAAUUUGACCGGUUAUAGGUCGGCGAGGAAAUUGGAAUGGAAUUUGUUUUCCCCAAAACUUGCGAUGGGGGGACUUAAUUCGGAUCGGGUGGAAUUAAUUCGACCCGGAGAAAGUUGGUGGACGUUCUCACACCCAACGUUGACCAAAGCCCCCGAAAGUUGACUUUUUUUGCCUAAUUAGACUUUAAAAAAAAAACGAAAAUCAUUUCCCUUAAUAUUAGGCUCGAGAUUUAUCGCGGGAUUCGUAGCAUCUCUAUUCCCAAAAAACAAAAAAGAAAUAAAAAAUCAAAUCAAAUCAAAUCAAAUCACACUCCCAUCUCUCUUCUUCUUCUUCUUCUUCUUCUUCUUCUCCAUCUACCCCAACACACACGCCUCGGGUCAAUGCGGUGCGAGGAGCGGUAGAGGAAUCGAGGGCUCUUCGGCCACCGAAUCCACGUUGGGGAAGCGAUUCCCCCGAUCGCGGGGCGGAAAAGCUCGGUUUUGGUGGGAAAAAGGGGGAGGAAAAGCUCGUCUUUUUGAGCUGUCGAUAGCUUCGGAUCCGAGAGCGCGAAGGAGCUUUUUUGGAUGAGGGAUCUCCGACCCCCCGGAUCUACGUACGAGAAGCGCUUCUUUCGGUUGCGGUGUGGAAAGCUCGAUUGAGGUGGGGAAAAGGGGCGAAAAAGCUCGCCUUUUGAGCCUUCCCUUUGCUGGAUCCGAGAAAUUUGAGGUAAAAGAGCUUUUUCAUGGGGUUUUAGGGUUUCUCGGGGGUUUCUGAGAAAACCCAGAUGGGGGCGUGCCCUGAUUGGCGCCUGAUUCGUACUGUUUAGGGUUUCCGAACCCCUCGAUUUAGGGUUUUUGUGGCGUUCAUCUGAUGAGGAUGGAGGAGAAUGCGGCGCUCCACACUAUACAGAGCUCGAUCCAAGCGUUGGGGAGGGGAUUCGACGUCAACCACGACACGAGGCUUCUAUAUUGCAAAGGGAUCGCGGGGUCUCGGCUAAUUGAGGUGGAUGCGCACGCUAGGGAUUUGGCGGUGUUCGAUGGCGUGGUUGUGCCCAAUGUGUCGAGGGAUGUGAAGUGUUCUUAUGAUAGUGGUGGAAGAGAGGGAACUGGUGCUUGUAGUUUCUAUGAGGUGUGGUAUAACUGUUACUAACUAAUUUCCCUUUGCUUUCUCACGUUAAAUUUGGUAUUUAAUUUGCAUUGGAGAUAGUUGUGCUUUCCCUUCGAAUCAGACAUUUGUAGUUUAUUGUGUAGUUGGUGAAAACAAAUUUAUAUUGUUUAAUAUGUGUUGUAGGAGGUUUUAAUUGGUUAUGGUAUCUAGUGAAGGGUGUGAUUGUUAGGGUGAUUAGGGAUUUUAGGUUCUUGAAGAUCGAGAACUGCUUCUCUUGUCCUGGUUGUUGGUUCUCUCAGAUUAAGCUUUUGUAGUGCUUUACAUGGUUAGGUCAGAAUUAACUAUGGAGGUACUUGUGUAUUUUGACCUCUAAACUAUGAGAUCUGAUCGCCCAAACUAGAGUGGAAGUCAUGCACUUAGUGUAUUGAGCGUUUUGCAUGUAUUACAUAUUGUUCUAGUUUGAUUAGAUAUUAUGUAUUUUAGAUUCAUAGAGAGCUAAUUAAACCUCAUUUUAAGUUAUAAGUAUGUGUUAGAUUAUCUAUAAUCCUUGUACUCAUAUUAAAUUGGCUAUUCUACUGGAGUUUUUCUAUUGAAAAAUUAGUCAUCAAUAUGUAGAAAUUUCUACAAACCAUGGAAAUAAUGCUAAAACAUAAUGGUUUUAAGUGUUUACCAUCUCCAUUGUGUGCAAUAUAUCAAUGCAAACUCAUUAUUUUGCUGAGUUUAUGUGACGAUUCGGCUUCUGUGUAUCAAAUCUUAGAGCUCAAAUUGAAGUAGUAAAUUGGAGCAAAUCAAGUUUACUUACAAUACAAGUGCCUGCAGAAAGGAUGUAAUGAAAUAAAUGGAUUUUCAGUGGUUGAUAUUUUAAAGUUGCAGAUUGCUAGUAAGUAGUAAGUAAAACCUAAUCAUAGGAAGCUAUGCUAUUUGUUGCCAUUGAGAUGUAUCGUAUACAAUAUUGAAGUGCAAACAAACUGUAGUUAGGGCAUUUGGGUGCCUCGUAUGAUUUAUUUGACAUAUGGGAUAUUGUUUACUGGUGCUUUUAUGGCAGUAAUAACUUCCUUGCAUUGUCAUAUUACGGGGACCUGUUUGGAUGUCGGAACAAAUUUUAUAGUGCCAAAUUUUCACAAUUAUGGAGAUUUCUUUUGUGACUGCAACCCAAUAGCUUGAUUUUCAAUCCAUUGUGAGCUUCCUUUAAAAUUAUAUCCCUAUGUGCAUUCUAUCAUGAUUCAUAACAAGCUUUAAUUAACAAACCUUGAGAUUGAUUUUAGUUUUUCAGCUGUUAAUUUACUUCUAUCAUUCCAAAAAGAAUCCGGUUUAAUGAUUAUGUUAUUUACUGUUAUAGUAACGCAGGUUUGAUUAUAUAGGUCACCAAUUCUCAUUAUUUUCUCAUUUUUCCCUUGGUAAGCGACCGCAGAUGGCAGAAUAUUUCAAUAGAAAGGCUAAUCUAUCAGGGAACAUCCCCCUUGGAUGCUUCAAUUCUGCAUUUAGCUUCACAGGAUUGAAGAAAACUGAUGCUGCAUCUACGAAGAGCCUCGCCAUGGAUGGGAAGUUCAUCCCUUUAUGUAAAGUUCAGAUUAUAAAGCAAUCCCUAACAUUGAAAGAAGAGGUGAGGCGUGCUGUGCCACUUUCAUGGGACCCAUCAUCUUUAUCAAGGUAAAGAUGCAGAUUUUUCUGCAAAAGUAAGCAAGUUAUGUAAUGGAGCACCUUGAUAAUUUCAACUUGUAUACAGGUUUAUUGAGAAUUAUGGCACUCAUAUUAUUACAUCCAUUACUAUCGGUGGUAAGGAUGUAAUCUAUGUCAAGCAGCACAGUUCGUCGCCUUUGUCAGCCAUGGAAAUUAAAAAUUACGUACAAGACCUCGGAGAGCAGAGGUUCUCUGAAAGCGAGAGCCACACGAGCUCAGGUCCAAUGAAAGUGAAGGAUAAGGCUAGUGCUUUUGUGCUAUUCUCUUGGAAGUUGCUCACGAGCAGUAUAAUUAGCAUAUGUUGCUGUUAUGUCCCUCUGACUAUUUGCUGCUCAUGGUUUGCCAGGCUGUGGAUCCUUUCGUAUUCAACAGCCAGGGAGUAUAUCCGCAACCUCCUAACACGCCGUAUCUUACCGCAAAAGAGGCAAGUGAAACAUCUUCUCUUUUAUUAUCUACUUUUGUGUCUUAAUACUCCAAUGAUUAAAGAAGUGCAAACAAGUCCUACAUGCUGGUUGACAUAUGAGUCUAGAAAUAAGGAAUAUAGGUUGGAGGAGGAGAAUUACUUUUGUUUCUUCAUUUUACCCUCUAUAUUUGAAACCUUACACACAGUUUGGACUAUGAAAUUUCUCUUGGGGGACAUUGGCAAUUUGGUGAUGCUUCCAUUAUUUAACAAUGUUUAUGACUUCUUUCUUAGCUUUGGUCCCUUUUGGAUACAACGCUAAUGAUCAGACAAGAUUACUACAGAUUUGUUUGUAGGCCUAGCUAGAGCAGCUGUAGAAGUGCUGUUUAUGAAGAGUAGCUGCUCGAAAUAGCACUAGCAUCCUUUUCAUUUAAAUAAUAAAAUCUCCGCAACAGCUUAUUGCUGUAGCAGAAGUGAAAACUUCAAAUUGCUGUUUCUGUAUCGCUUCAGCAAAAGCACCAAUUCUUUGGUUUGCCAAAUACCUGGUAGCAGCUAGCUUAUCUGUAUCAGAAGCUAGGUGCGAUGGGCAUUAAGACUGAUAUUCAGCACGGACACUUCUAUAAGCCUCACGUGUCCGUGUCGGACACGUGUCCUAUGUGGACACUUUUCGAACGCCCGUUUAAUAUUUAUUCAUAGUGCAUACAACUAAAAAAAUAUAUACCUAUUUUUAUUUUACUUUUUUUUAUACAUAUGUAAUGUAUGAUAAUAAAUAUUUUAGCUUUUUGAUGAAUACAUAUAUAUAUUUUUUUUGACAAUAUAAAUAAAUUAUCUAUGGUGGAGAAUUUUUUUCCUUAAAAUAUAUGAACUAUCAAUAAAAAUUUUACUAAUUUUCAUUCGUAUGAGAAAUAUAACAAUAUUUUAUCCAAAUUAAUAUUUUAUAUAUAAUAAAAUAUAUUAUUAUAUUAAUAAUAUUAUAUUUUAUUAGCGAUGUUUAUGUCGUGUCCGUGUCCUAAUUGUUUGAAAGUUGCCGAGUCGCGGUGUCUAAGUCAUGUCGUGCCCCGUGUCCCGUGUCAGUGUCCGUGACGCCUAGAUAUUCAGCCAUGAGGCCAGAUGAUAAGAUGCACUACUAAGCAUGGCAGGAAGUAUUUUGCAGUUAAACUAUCCAUUGUAAAGCCCUUCAUAUCAAGUGAUUAAUACAUUAGGACUCUGAGAAUCCUAAUUUACUGAAUUACAUGCUAGGUUUUAUUCAAGUAUUCUAUUUCAAGGAGGAGAUUUUUUUUUUAAUAUAUUUCCUGUUUUCAUGUCAUUGCAAAUUAUGGUCUUGACGAGCAGACAGAAGCAUGUGCAUUGUUUUUGCCCUCCAUCAUUGAAACUCUGCUCGAUACCUCCUGUAAACAGAAGAUACCAUAUCCGAUGAUAGAUUUUAUGGCUUAUAUUAUACUAUCUGCUACUCGCCAUUUGUAUUGGUUUGAUUAUCAAACAAAGUUAUGGUAGGCUGAAUGAGAGACUCCUGUAAAGUUUGCUGUUUUCAUGUUUAGUUUGUUACGAUAUCUAUAUGAAAACAGUUGCUUAAGACGAUAUCUAUAUGAAAACACUUGCUUAAGCCUCUCAACUAAUGAUGCGAUUUUGAAAUGUCCCUAUAUUCUGAUGAAUUUACUUAUGCAGGAUGUAACAGUAAUUUUCAGAAGAAGGGGAGGUGACGAUCUAAUUCAAAGCCACACUCAUUGGGCAAGAACCAUCCGUUCAGCACCCGAUGUUAUUGAUAUGACCUUCUUUCCAAUCACUUCUCUACUUGAAAGGGUGCCUGGAAAGGACCAUCUUAUCCGUGCUAUCAACCUUUACCUCGAAUGUAAUGUACCGCCAUAGUUGAUAUACGCUCUAGAUCAAAAUCUAUAACUAGACUCUGAAUUGUUCUAUUGGAUUCUGCAGAUAAGCCCCCAGUUGAGGAGCUAAGAUACUUCUUAGAGUUUCAGGUUCCUAGAAUAUGGGCCCCAGUUCAAGAUGGGCUUCGAGGACAGCGAAGAAAAGAGCCAGUGUGCCCAUCUUUGCAGUUCAGCAUAAUGGGAAAGAAGCUAUAUAUCAGCCAAGAACAGGUACGCAGCAUCGAGAAUGGAAUGUCGGCCUUGAAAACUGGCUAAUACCUUUUUCUCGAAAUAUAUUUGAGCCAGAGGUGUUUUAUAAGAGACGGCUAUAAAAUCUCAUUAUGAAGAUGAAAUGGCGUAGACAAAGCACAAGUAUCACUUCUUUUAUUGUUUGUCAAUCAUCCGGAGGGCUGAAACGAAAGCACAUGUGAAUGAUAAUGUUGGACUAUUUAUUUGAAAAUUUUGCGCUGUUAGUGACAGAUGUCCUGUAGUAUCAUAAUUUUCGUGUUAGAAAAAAAAUAGCAAAAUUGACCUUCCUUUUCUGGACGUUUCCUAUUGCACUAAAACCUUCAAUAUGUGCAGAAUAUAUAAUGCCGCCACUGUAUUUUGCGGAUUAUUAAUUCUGUACCACAGAAUCAUUAUUAUCUAUUUUUUUUCCUUAGUAAAUCUUCAUUUUGCAUAAUUUACAUGGACUCUGCGGAUUCUUAUUUCCACAUCUAGUCUUAUGCUUCUUUUAUAACUAAAAAAAGUAACUUCUUCAGGUAACAGUUGGGCGAAAACCAGUCACUGGACUAAGACUCUGCUUGGAAGGCCCAAAACAGAACCGACUAUGCAUACAAGUGCAGCACUUAUCGACCCUACCCAAGAUCUUCCAACCCUACUGGGAUGCCCAUGUGGCGAUUGGCGCACCAAAAUGGCAAGGACCCGAGGAACAAGACAGCCGAUGGUUCGAGCCUGUUAAGUGGAAGAACUUCUCCCAUGUCAGCACGGCUCCGGUUGAAUACCACGAGUCCUUCAUCGGCAACACCUCCGGCGUAUACGUAGUCACCGGGGCUCAGCUUGGAGUGUGGGAUUUCGGUGCAAAGAAUGUCCUUUACAUGAAAUUGUUAUAUUCUAAAGUACCUGGAUGCACUAUUAGGAGAUCAUUAUGGGACCAUAGCCCUACUGCUGCUGCUGCUACACCUACAAUUACCUUGGACGACAAACCUGAAUCUGGCGACUCGAGCUCGAGCUCGAGUUCAGCGGAUGCGGGCAGGUUGCUGAAGUUUGUGGACAUGUCGGAGAUGUAUAAAGGGCCGGACGAUAUACCCGGGCACUGGUUGGUGACGGGCGGGAAGCUCGGUGUUGAGAAAGGGAAGGUUGUUUUGAGAGUUAAGUAUUCUUUGUUGAACUACUGAAACCAGUUUGUUUUACGGGUGUUGACGGUUGUUGUGCAUUUUGCAUGUAUAUUAUGGAAAAAUUUGCUUCGAUUAAAUUUAGUGAGUCGAAGAUUUGAUUUUCCCCACAAGCAUUUCUCAUAGUUAGUUGAUCAAGCUUCCUUUUCUGGAGUGCUCAGCAAGGCCUAGGGAAGUUGAGGUUCCUGAAUAAUUUAUUUCCUGUAGGAGUUAUGGUACAAGUACCUCACAAGGGACAUCAAAAUUCAGUUCCUGACAAGUAGUUGGUUCAGCUUUUAAGUUUCCCACAUGGCGCAUAACAAGGACAUCGAUUUGGAAAAAGCUAAACCUGUCACUUUUGCUACGUGCGCAAUAUUGAUUCAUCAAUUAUAUUUUGAAGUGCUUUUCGACUGUACUGGUGCCAUUACUCUUCUGGUGAAGUAUGUUGAUUCAGAUUCAGCGAGAGGCUACCGACACUUUAGCAGUAAUCCAUGGUCCUCAAAGUCCUUGCCUUAAACUGUAUAAUAUCUCUGUGCCAUAGUUUCAAACUAGGUUAAUUGUUGUUCCUGUAGGUUUCACAUCUUAUCUUUUUAGUUUGCAGUAUUUUGUUAGUGUUCUAAACCAGCUGAGAAUAAGUUCUGUUAUAGUAAAUUAUACAGUUAGUCUCUGACCUUUUGGACGAAUUAAAAUUUGAUUUCUGAUCUCUAAGUUGAACCGAUUAAUUCGUGAUCCUAGUCUUUCUCCAUGAUUAGAGAUGAACUGUAAGCUCUAAUUUGUCCUGUUAGGGACCAAAUUAAAGCAAUUAGGCCUGAUAUCUAGUUAUCUAUGGAGGGCCCUGUUAUUUUCAUUCUGAUGUUUUAGGUCUAUAUUUGACCCAGCAACUGCUUCCAUAGAAAGUGAUGCUUGGAUAGAGUUUCUCAAAAAGUCCAAUGUUACAGUUGGAUCUACCAAACUGCUUGCUGUUAAGCUGGAAGAGCAACAGCUUAGGCAUUCAAAGUUAGAGAUUUUGUUUUCAAGACUCCAUUUCGCCCGACAACUCGAAUCUUUGUUUGCAGAACGCAUUAUUUUUACUUCUUAUAUACAAAACACAUUUUACAAAAUGUAACAUACACCGAUAUGAAGUGAGGAAAAAGUUUUUAUCAGGCACAUUUUUUUCACUAGCACUCAUCCCUACUGUAAGAUAUUAAUCUGGCAGCGGAAAGGAAUGCGUCUAAUAAAGAUGCAUCUGGAGAUUUUGCUUUGCAAACUCAAUUCAUCCGACCAUUCAGAACAUUAUCUCUCAAAUAUUUUGCUUUUUGCUUCUUAUAUACGAAAGACAUUUUGCAUAUCGAACAACUAAACAAAUACCUAAGUUUUUAAUCAGAAUCAUUGUUUUUCACAAGCAUCCCGUCCUACUGCAAGAUAUUAAUCUGGCAAUAGAAAGGAAUGCACUUAUUAGAGAGACAAGUGCUUUUCACCAUGUAUUUUACCACUGUGGGAGACAAAGCAAACCAAAAUGGCAUCUCACACCCAUAUUUACAUCAACACCUUUUAAUAGAAGAAUCAUAUACAUAUAACAUAUUCAAAUAUUCCAAUUAAAAUAGAACUCUCACACCCCACAAAAGUACUACAACACCAUCAUAUCCCCACAAGCAUCUCUCACCCAUGUGAUGAGAAGUGGGGGAGCUACAAACAAUGACUAAAAUAAAAUCUAAUAAUAAGAUGUCCUUGGCACCUUCACCAAAAACCAAAUAUAUAUAAUACACCCGUCUAAUUAUAUUAAUACAUCCAUAUAAUUUUAUGUUUGUAUUAAUAUAAUCUCCCUACUAAUUAAUUAUGGUUUGUAGAGAGGGACUUAGCGGGUGCUAAAAGUGGAGCAACCUCUGCAUAGCCAAAUUCCUCUCUCUCCCUCUCUCUCUAAAAUGAGGAAAAAGAAAAUGUACACAUAUAUAUAUGUAUAUUGCAAACUAGCUAGCCAGUAGUAAAUAAAUAUAAUUAAUUUUUUAUUUAAAAUUGGCCGCCCUCGAAGGUCUGGCCGAAUUGCCAGUUGGCCGGGGCGACGUUGUAGCUGGUGAUGGUGCGGCCGUCGCUGGCGGUGACCUGGAAGGAGAGGGACUGGCCGUCGAGGUACGAGUUGCUCUGCCAGUUCUGGCCCCAGUUGCGGGACAUCGGCUGCCACCCCGUGUUCGACCCCUUGAUCGACACAGCGUGCACGUCGCCCGCGCCCGCCACGUUCGUGAUCAGCACCAGGUUGAAGUACGAGUGACCGUUGACGGUGAAUCGGACACCGCCUUUCUUUACGCAGGGCACCCUGCAGUCCCAGAAUUACAAAAGUUAUAAAAAGAGUGGAUUUUGUGACAGAUAUCUGGGCCCAAGAAGAUCACCACAUCCCCAUGUUGAGUCCGGGCCAGAAGUGGACCCAAACCUAGACUAGGACUUGGUCCCACUUAACUACAAAUUUAUGGUACAAAAGAUGUAGUUUAAUAUUUGACAUGAAGCUAGUUUAAUCCAAACCGAGCUAAUUUAGAUUGGGUUCGAGCCAUGGGCUAGCUAAAUAAGUCAACGUAUAUGAUAGUAAAUCUCACCUUCUGUAGGCCACGGGUACGAUUCCCGCACGGUACUGAGCAAUUUGGAGGAAUGCCGGCUCGGCCAUGUCGAAGUGCGGGCGGGGAGGGUUGCACCACCCGCCGUCGUCACUCGGGAGGCCGUAAUUCGGGGGGCAGAAGUUCGUAGCGGUCACUAUGAUCGAGCCAGGCAGGCACCACUGCGGGUCAUCGUCGCACCGCAUCUCGUAGCACGACCCGCAGCUAAGGCCGUCAUUGAACAGCGCGGUGCUCAGGGCUGCGGUGUUCGUCCCGUACCCCUGGCUGUACAAGUUUCCGUACCCGCAAGCCCCUCCUGCAUGAUGCGACAAAUAAAAUCAACACACUUUUCAAAAAAAAAAAAAAAGAAAAAAUAAAGUUACAAGUGUAUUCGUCUUCAGAUGCACGGGGAAUUCUGUCACUGAGGAAUGUCAGAACUAAGAUGUGCAAUUAUAUUUCUGGUCGAAAAUGUUUAAAGAAAUUACCCAUCGUGGCCGGACUCACACCUGGCGCCAGUAAAAUGUCGCGGUGCGCGCCCUGCCUAAAUCGCAAAGAUCCCAAAGCUACCUCAAGAGGAAGAGAAAUGAAGGGAAGAAGAAACAAGAAAAGCCAUAGAAGGAACCAUGACUGUCCAGUUGAGGAUAACUAACAGAGAGAAAGAGCGUUAUAAAGAGGGGGGGCGGGGGGGGGGGGGGGGGGAGGAUUGAAAUUGUGUGGUGUGGGGUUUAGGGCUACUUGGUAGAGGAGAAAAAGAUGAAGGAGAGGGUGCUAGUAAUUGAUAGAAAAGAGAGUGUGGCGGUAGCAGUAUACAUCAGUUUCUAAAAAUAAAAAAAAUUUCCUCUUUUUUUUUCUUUGCUUUUUAAAUAAUUUGUUAUUUUAUUUUUAUUUGUUAUUUUUCAUUUUUAUUUUGUAGAAAAUAGAAGAGACAACUUGGGUGUUCCACAUUGUUGAAAGGGAUUGGAGUAAAUGGGGACAAAAGGGGGAGCACAUGCAAAUGUUUUGGGGGGGUUGGGAGUACCAACCACUAAGGACCCUCAUGUGGGGCCCACUACCUCCCCUCACCCACAUGCACUCUUUCAACAUUUUCCUUUUUUAUUUUAUUUUGUUAUUUUAUUUUAUUUUUUGAAAAAGAAUUAUAGUUUUCUUUUUCUUUUUAAGAUUGAAUAAAAGUUCUCCUCUUGUGUUAUUCACCCAAAUGUGUGAGGGGUUAAGAGUAACUCACAAUGAAGGAGAACUUUUUCCAUUAGUUCAAAAUGUAUCAUCUAGUUUUCGACAGAAAUUAAUAUAAGAUUAUUUUAUAAACAACAAGCUGAUAAGAACAAAUUACAUGGUAGUAAAAUAUUUUAGAAUUUUACUGCGAUAUAGUUUAUAUAAGAGAGUACUGAAUUAUCCUAUCUAUCAAGCGAUUUCUAUCGAAAAAAUUUAAAAAAAAAUUCUGCCUAUGAGACAAAGUCUUUGUUUACUUUGAAUCAAAAGGCAAGUGAAAUUUGCAAAAGCAUUAUGUUGACUAGGGCUUUUUGGAGGUUUUCAUAUAAUUUCGUAAAAAAUAAAAAAUAUAAUACAGUUAGUAAAAACAUAUUUCUUUCAUAAAUGUGAUCAUAAGUUAAUUCUAUGCCUAGUGGAAUAGACUUUAAAUUUUAUUUCAGUCAACUGAAUAUCCACGCUGCUGACUGUUUAAAAAAAAAAGGAGAAGAAAAAUAUUAAAAAAAACUAUAUAUAUGCAAAAUAAUGAAUACACUUUUAUUUUCACUACUAAUUGCCACCAAUUAAGAUCAAUAUCACCAAAAUCUCCAAAUUAUUUACAUUAAUAAUGUGGUCUCAAUUUUCUCUUGCUUUUUUUCAUUUAUAAUAACCCAAUAAAUUGAGGUCCUUGCNCACAAAUAAAAAAAAAAAAAAAAAAAAAAAAAAAGGUUUCAUACACUUGUGAAAUAUUUCCAUCAAAAGUCCUUGUGAGUUGGUUACUCAUGUACUACAUAUACUACCAUUGACUUUGUUUAUAUUAAAGAGUACUAUAUAUGUCAAUAUAUAUACUACAAAUUACAAUAAAAGAACUUUGUUGAAACCGUAUAUGAAUAUCUUUUGGUGAUUCUUUAUCAUAAAUCCAUCCAAAAUAAUUUGUAGUAUUUACACAUUGUAAUUAAUGUAUCUAGCUACAAAAUCUUUAUAUGUUUAUAAAUAUGAAAGAUUUAUAUUUAUUUCAAAUAUUAUUGGCGUGCCAUAUUUGUACAAUUAAUUAAUGAUGUAUUGUACAUUAAUAAACCCUUCUUUUCAAUAAUAUAUAUAUAUAUAGUAAUGUAGAUGCAGUACUUUUUACAGUAAUGUUACUAACUUUUUGUUUUAGAUUAGAAAUGCCUGUAAGUUUUUAUCUUUUUAUAUGAUUUUUAAAACUUUUUUUUUCAAAAAAUACCUUUUGGUGCAUUUUCUACAAAAAUCUAAGAAUAUUUUGGCAGCAAUUUUAACAUUUAUUGUCUUUUUCUUUAAAUAAAAUAUUUCGAGAUUCUACUAAAAGAUGAUAAACACAUUUUCAGUCACAAAACUGUUUUUUGAGAUAUUUUUUAGAAAAAUAAAUUUCUAGUGAAAAAGAAUUUUCACCGGUUUGACUUUUUAGAAAAUAUCUUAGAAAUUAGUUUUCUGGCUGAAAAAAAAAAAAUUGUUUGUCCAGAUUCGAGAAAAAAUAGUUUUCUUAAAAAAUUUUUAGAAAAGUUUUAUUUCUUUUUCUUAUUUUUUAUAUGAAAAACGAAAGCUAUGGAAAAAAUGGUUUUUGUGAUUUUUUUUUUCAGACAAUAAUUUUUCACUAUUUUUUGGAGGAACCAAACAAACCCUAAAUAGACACAUUCUUUUAUCAUACAGUAUGAAUUCUUUUAAAUGUACUUCUUCUUUUUUUUUUUUAAAUCUCUCUCUUAAUUUUCAAACUAUUAUUAUACAUAAUACAAAAGAAUUAGGGGCAUGGUGAUGAGAUCGUGAUUAAUGGACGGCCAUAAAUGGUUGUUGGUUCAAUUAGGUAGUGGCUCACAUGAAGCAAGGGUUUAUUUGGUGGGCAGGUGAUGGGUGCAUGGGAGGUUUGACGAGUAAAUGUGCACUUCAAGCACCAAAUCACUAUUACCCAUUUGCGCUAUAAUUUAGGAUUCGAGCUUUCGACUUUGGGUUUACUUUAUAUAAGUUUCUGGGGGUGUUCGGUGGCCGAUUUUGAGGUAAGAGUUCGAACCUCAGAAUGUGCUAGACUUUGGAAUUGCAAGCACCAAAUCCCUAGUGUCGUAUAAUUUGGGAUUCGAGCUUUCGUUGGGUUUAGUUUAUAUGAGUUUCUGGAGGUGUUCGGUGGCCGAGUUUGAGGUCGGAGUUCGAACCUUAGUAUAUAUGUGCUAAGCUUUAGAAUUUCAAGCCCCAAAUCACGAGUACUCAUUUGUGCUAUAAUUUAAGAUUCGAGUCUUCGACUUUGGGUUUUCUUUAUAUAAGUUUUUCGGGGUGUUCAGUGGUUGAUUUUGACGUAGGAGUUCGAACCUCAUUAUGUGCUGAACUUUGAAAUUUCAAGCGCUAAAUCACUAGUACUCAUUUGUCCUGUACUUCGGAAUUCCAGCUUUCGUUGGGUUCAGUUUAUAUGAGCUUUUUGGAGUGUUCAGUGGCCGAUCUUGAGGUCGGAGUUCGAACCUCAGUACGUGCUAAACUUUAGAAUUUCAAGUGCCAAAUCACGAGUACUCAUUUGUGCUAUAAUUUGGGAUUCGAGUCUUUGACUUUGGGUUUACUUUAUAUUAAGUUUUUGGGACUGCUCAAUGAGCGACCUUGAGGCUGGAGUUCAAACCUCUGUGUGCGCCAAAAUUUGGAAUUUUAAGCGUCCAAAUCACUAGUACCCAUCUGUGUUAAGAUUUGGGAUAUUGAGUCUUUGACUUUGGGUUUGGUUUAUAUACGCUUUUGAAGAUGAUCCGUGACCAAUCUUGAGGUCAGAGUUUGAACCUCCGUGCAUGCUAAAAUUUGGAAUUUGAAGCGUCCAAAUCACUAGUACUCAUCUAUACUAUAAUUUGGGAUUUUGAGUCUUCGACUUUUGAAUUUGAUUUAUAAACAUUUUUGGGAGGCAGACGUUGAGAUCUGAAUUCGAACCUCAGAGUUUGAACCUCCGUGCGUGCUAACAUUUCGAAUUUCGAGCACCAAAUCACUAAUACUCGUCUCUGUUAAAUCUAGGAGUUCGUACCUCGGAGUUCGUACCUCCUACGUUGGGUUUAGUUUAUGCCACUCUUGAUGUCAGAGUUCGAGCCUUCGUAUCUACUAAAAUUUGAAAAUUUUGAGCCUCAAAAUUCAAACUUAUUUUACAUAGGUGGUUGGAAGUGUAUGGGGCCUAUGAGCAGAGUAAAAAGAAAAAAGAAAAUACUAAAUAUAAUUUAGCGUUAGGUGAGUUUUGGGAGUACCAUAUAUGUGUUUAUAUAUGCACGGUACCUGUCCUUUUUCGAUUGAGUCCUCACAACUUUUAAUUAUAAAUAUCAAAUAAUUUUACUCAAAAAAGAUAAAAAAUUUUAUUAAAUACAUUGGUAUGAUUUCAUCAAAUUUAACCCCCCCAAAAUUUCUUUUCUUUUCUUUUUUCUCUUCCCUUAGAGUUGCCGGUAACAGGAUCGCUCAACUAGUACCACCAACGUAGUGCUCCACCAAUCUCCCUGCGCACUAAUGCCUGCGAACAGCAGCGCGGUGCACCGUUUGAGCUAGGUGCAAUAUUAAAAAAUUAAUUAUUUUAAUAUAUGUUAUUAAAUAAUUAAAUCCUUUUUUUCAUUCCACUUUUACAUACCUCUUGGGGAGUUGAUAUCCUCAAAACCCUUUAUCUGGGGAAUCGAAAUUCAACAAUANNUAUAUAUAUAUAUAUAUAUUUAAAACCAUAGUAAAAAAUUUAAAUUGGCGAAUUAAACCUCAUUAAUAAGUCAAAAUCAUCACCAAAAUAUUUACAGUACAUAAUUCAAACUUUUUAGACCAAAAAAUAAUUUUUAAUAUAAAACAGUUUUUAAUGUAUCCCCUUCUAAGUUCUAAUUAAUUAAUUUGGGGACAACAUUAUGAUUUGCAGGAAUAAAACUGGGAGAACCUUAACAUAAUCAGAUGAAUAGUCCACAUCUAACUCCCGCCCCACAAUUAAAUAAUAAAUAAUAAAUAAAUACACACUUGAUUUAUUUUCAAAUUUUAUUUUAUUAUAAAUUUCCCAUUCAAAGUAUUUUAUAUUGUUAAAAUUAAGUCACAAAAGCACAAUUUAAUCGACUAAAUAGUGAUGUGUCGCUAGUGUGAAGGUUACGCGACAGUGUUGUGAUUAAUAACGUGACAAUUGAAACUUAUAAUAAAUUAAAUUUUAGGGUAAACUUUAAAUACCACUUAGGUGGUUUCGCACUUCUCACUUUAGUAUCCUAUUGUUUUCUCUGUUAAUGUUUCGUUAAAUUAUAUAAAAAAAAACUUCAGAUAUCCUGCCUAAGUUUAUCAAAUAUUUAUUUUAGUACUUUUUAAUUUUAACUUUGUCACUAAUUAAAUGAAAAGAAAUUAGUGCAGGAGACAAUAAAAAGAGAAAAAUAAAAUCACGAAGUACUAAAUCGAUACAUUUUAAAUUACAGGAUAUUAAAAUAAAAAAGUGCGAAAACACACGGGUGAAAUAUCUUGCGCUUCAUAGUUUGAGGAACAAGAAGUGUAAUUUAAUAUUUUAAUAUAAAUCAAUAAAUAAAUUUAAUUUAUUUAUCCAUGAAAAUGGUGGGCCCAUGCGAUGGUUAGGUGCACAUGGGGUCCUGGACUUUGUGGCCAAUCGAGCUAUCAACUGGUCUAUUUUUUUUUGGGUAUUUUGGAUGUAACCUAAUUUCUACAAAAUCAACCCCCACAUGCAUAUGAAUUGCAAAAUCUUAGGGGUGGAGUGUUUUAUGUGCAUGUAUAUUUAUUAUUAUAAUUGUGACACAAGGAGAUAUACUUAUGUGUUAUGUCCAAAUGCAUAUAAUCCUGCAUAAGACAAAAGGAGAUGCCAUGUGCAAGAGGAAUACAAUCAACAGGGCCCCCGUAAUGCUGCUUUCAGAAGCUCGGUGACGUGUUGGCAUUAAUAAUAAGGCAUAAUUCGUGUGUGACUCAGCUCAAAAGUAUUAAAACUUUUUCUGGACGUACUAUUUUCUAUAAGAUUGAUCUUUUAAGUUAAUGGUAUAUAAGUUUGAGAGAAGCUGGGUGACGUGUUGGCAUUAAUAAUAUGGCAUACUUCGUACGUGAUUAAGCUCAAAAGUAUUAAAACUCUUUCUGAACUAUUUUUUAUAAUAUCGAUCUUUCAGAUUAAUGGUAUAUAAGUUUGAGCUAGGCUUGUGUGCUUUUAAAAACAUCGGGGAUAUUCGUGCUAUCAAAUCAUUUUUGAUACUAAGGCUUCCGAAUCGAUGAUCAGCUCAGUAGGCUUGAUACAGAGUAUUUGAAAUAGUUAGAAAAUAAAUUUCGUAAUUUUUUUAUAUUAUUUCACGUAGUCAUUGAAAGGAGUCCAAAAUCAACAAUUUUAAUGGUUGUGGUGAGCCGUUUGCAAGUCUAAUAAUAUAAAAAUAUUCAAAUCGCAUAAAAUUUUAAUUAAAAUUUUUUUAUACUAUAUAAAACAAAGAUCAAUAUAUAUAUUUCAUCAAAAAUUUUAGUGUCAUAUGAUAACUUUUUUGUGAGAUUUUUAUUUUCAACUAUCGAUUUUAAACUCCUUCGUUCAUUAAGUAAAUGAUAUCAAGAACUGAUAAAAUUUAUUUUCUAGAUGUUUCAAGGAGACUCUCGUGCUUCUAAAAAUACACGAGCCAAACUUUGUAACUCUUUUCAAUUUUUAUUUUAUGGUAUAAAUCAUAUUAGUAUUAUGUUUUUUUAAAAAUUUUUGCAUGUGACAUAAUUCAACUUAUCGUCAAUAUUUAACAACAUAUAUUUCCCUAUUAAUAAUAUAUAAGAGCAAUAUUUUGAAAAAUGCACAGCAUAUGUUUCCGCAAAAGCAAUGGAAAUAGAGAAUAGAUUACACAAGAUCUUCCAAUGAUGGGACGUGGUGUGAUAAUUAUUCUUUCCACUAGAUUAUAGAAAAUCUCCAAAAGGGUACGAAUAUUCUUGGACUUUUACCCAUUAUUUGUUGAGUUAUUGUUUAUAUUAUCUUGUAAUUUAAUAAUUGGCUCAAGUUCAAUGAAGCGUAGACAAAGUGAUUAGUAAAAUCUUUGUCCUUGUAAUAUAUUUAAUUCUCCUCGAAAAGAUAAAACUAUUGAUCUUUUGUUUAUUGUUAAUUUAAUUUCCAAAAACCAAUAUAUACCAUUUUGUUGAGUUCCUUGUAUUGGCACCAAAGCACGGUUUUGGUUGACAAAUAAAAAAUUAGAUAAUUUUGAUAUAAAAACUCUAAUUUAAUACUUUUAUUCUGCUUUAGAACAAACAAACAUGUUUAAACAUUAUUAAUUAGAGAUGUUAAUGGUUUUGACUUAUGACUGAUUUCAAAACUCCGGACCCGAAAGAAAUUACUUCGAUCUUUACCAUAUUUCGAAACAUAUCAUACGUACACAAAUUAAAAUUUAAAGCAAAUUCAAUUUUCUUAUAUUACAUAAUAGAAAACCAGUUUGGGUUUGAAUUCUGGUUCGGAUUGAGUGCAAACAAAAAUAUAUCAUACCCGAAUCCGAACCCGAACGUGAUGGGUUUUCGUUAUCUAUAUCCAUAAUUGAAAUAAUAUUUGUUUAGAAUUGAUAACUCAUUGUGUUCAGAUUCAAGUUUGGAUAAAAUUUCACGCAUCUGUUUCCGCUUAUUCAUCAUUCACAAAAUAACACUGCACAAAAAGAAGAAAAAUAAUUCAGGUGGCCCCAAUUUCAUGCAAGUGAUUAUGGACAUGCAAACCGUCGACGUCCCAAAGUUGAAGUCAUUAACUCUAUAAUAAAUUGGUUGAAAAAGAGGCCAACAAAUUAGGCAAUGUGUUACAUCAAAAGAUUACCACUUUUUGAAGCUUUGGUACUUAAUUUUGAUCUUUUCCCUUUUUCCCCCUCACCUUUUUCCUUUUUCUUUUUCUUUUUCACUUUAGUUAUUGUAAGUCAAUGUGAUGAAAGAUCAAGAAUUAGGUUAGAAAAGUAUUAGUGAUUCUGCGUUCUUUGUCUCCUUUUUUUUUCGCUCAAAAUUGACUGGCACAGUAUAUUAAAAGUUGAACUCAGUACCUCUCAGAGAGCGAAUGAGACCAUCAAGAUAACUUAUUUAGUGGUCUCUCAUAUUUGCUGUACUAACUUGUAGUGUUAGUGCUGAAGAAUUAUUGCACGUGUCUGAUUCCUGAAAAAAGCAUGGAAUACUGUUUUCGAAAAAAAAAUUAUGAAAAAUAUAUACUAUUUUUUCACCGUUUUUAUUUUCAGGAUAAAAAAUUUGAAAACAAAUAUACUACGUUUUCUAAAUCUAGGAAAAAUUUUUUUUUCUAAAAAAACUAUUUUUCCCUAGGAACCAGGUGGAUGAAAACUGCUUUCCGGACAGAAAACUGUUUUCCAGAAUAUUUUUCCAGAAGCCAAACACCCACUAAAGGAUAUCAUUUUAACGCAUUAAAUGUGUUUGAAAUUCUUAAUUAGUAAAACAAACAAUUUUUGCCAAAAUUACUGAUCUUCUCAUUGAUCUUUGGCAUAAUUGUGCUCAUUACAUGUUCUUGCACUCUAGAUAUGUGACACCUUAUUUGGUUAUAAAUAUGUUUUGCUGUGCCAAAAGAGACCAAUCUUAGACAUAUAAAAUUAAAUUGGAUGUAGCAUUGCUCUUUUCCAAAUAGUGUGCAACUAACUUAGGCAUCAUACAUGUAAAAAGAAACUUAAUUUGAAGUUUUUAUGAAGAGUAAUAUCAUUAUAUAUUUUAUAUACAAAAUCCCUAUGUUUUCACCAAUCCACAUAUAUAUAAGCCUAUUUUUCCAUUACAUUUUCUUGAUCUCUCUUCAACUUCUUGCAACUUACGUUAUCAAAUUUAAUUCUUGUUGCAAUAAAACCAAAAGGAAUUACAAAGGGAUCGAGCUCAUGACUAGGAAGAACAUAAAACAUUAUAUGCAGUUCAAAUUAAAAGGAAAAAAGUGGCCUAGCCCUUGAAAUUUAUUGUCAAAAUGCCCAAGCACACUUGGAUGCAACAUUUUUAAUAUGCAUGGGCCAUCUAAAAAUCCAUUCAAUCAAGAGAACACCUCACCCGCAAGGCAUGUGGAUUCUAUCCAUCAACCCUAUGUGUUGGUUAGGAGAAAAUUAUUCCCUCGACUUCGUCCGUCACGUCAGCUGUGAACCGCCCAGCUAUCUGCCAUUCAUCGCACCGCUCUUCAUAAGUCGCAACCGUUCGAUGACUGAUGUGGCGGACCAGGUCCGGGUGAUAACUUCGCGUCGGUUAGAGUCUAAGGACACAUGCAAUGCCCCCUUUGAAAGGGCCACUCAGUUCAAAAUGGUCCCUCCUGAGCAGGGUUCUGGAGUUGGAGCUAUUCAAAUGAGUGGUUCUGAUCCCUUGCUUUCAAUGAACAUUGGCUAGAGGACGGGGCAAGUGCAAAACGUAGGCAAAUGUUGCCUCCAUUGCUAGGGUUUUUGUGUCCAAACACCCAUGUGGUGGUGGGGCUAUCCAUGACAUUGGCUACAAAUAGUUGGGUGGAGAGGCCCAUCCACAUUAGUAUUUGAUUUGAUCACUCUCACUUGGAGAGAUCGUCUAUGCGUGGUGCGUUUUUGAGAGAGACAGAGAGAAAGGCAGCAAACUAUUUGCUUCGUUUAUUUUUUUAGAAAUGAGCCGAGCAGCCCGAAAUAUGAAGCAAAUAAACUUUGGAUUUGAAAUCUCGAAUACCGAUCAUCAAGUUCUUAGCCAACUGCGAUAGAUAGUUUGCCUCUCUAGCUCUCUCUACUAUUACUAAUGGACCGGCCAUGUGAUCUCUAUGUAGAAUGUAUGGUACACACCUUAAUUUUCUUAGGUUCUUGGAAAGGUGCUUCUCACCUCCCAUUAAUUGUGAGGAGGCUUCAAAGAAGCAUGAGCACGACAAAAAGGGGGGAGGAGGGAAAAGAAAUUGGAAAGUUAGAUAGGGACAGCAAUGAGGGUCACCUACUUGGUUUGCCCCAAUGAAGAGCAAAUUGUUUUGUGCCAUUGAUUCAUAUCAUGUGUUUGUUGGCUAUUUAUUAUUAACUAAAAGAGGACCAAUUUUUUGGCCUGCGAUAAUAUGCCCAAAAGACUAAAGGUUGAGUUGGGUAAGUCUAAUAAGUUAAGUGCGGCUGCAGUCCACAAUAGACCUAACGGCAAGAGACCCGACCUAGCAUCCAGAUGGUUGAGUUUGGUUAAAGCCCGUGAGGGCUAGCGCGGCUGAACUCUUAAGUGCGAUAAGUUCGCCCUUCUUAUCAGCACGUAUUUUUUGGAUGGUUGGUUUGCGCUUACGAUCCACAGUAUUUUCGUAACAAUCUUAUGCUUAUUUGUAUAAUUUGAAAUAGCCUAGAUAAAUUUUGUGAUCUACUAUUAAUGAUAUCAGACAUUAUUUCUAAAUAGUUUAAAUAGUUUAGAUCAUGUUCAACGAUAUCGAUCAUCGAUGGAAGCUCGAUUAUCAAAAAAAUUUGAUAGUAAUCCGAGUCGUUUAUUAUAUAUUUCAAAUGCUUCAGAUCAAAUCUAACGGAUUCAAUCGUCGAUUUGGAAGUGCUGGCAUCGAAAAUGACUUGAUAACACUGACGUCAUUGUACUUCUAAAAGUACACAUGUUUAGCUCUCUGGCUGGGGUGCUUUUACAAGCACCAAGGUAUUGGUGCUAUAUAAUUUUUGGAGGCUUCAUCGAAAACAACAAAUCGGUAAUAAUACAGUUCGUUUGUUAUCAAUAGUAUUUUAGUCCAACUACAUACAUAUAUACAUAUAUAUCACUAUAUUCUUUGAAGUCGUUAAAAUAGCAAACCGAAAUUUUUAAUCUGCAGCAUAACUGGGCUCGACGAUAUCUGUAAUUGUUAGAAUAGUUCCAGGAAGAGUGAUGCAACAAGUACAUAAAAUGAGUUAAACAUAACCAUAAACAUUUUACUGUCUAAACUUUUUUGUGCAAAGUUCACAUAAGCUAAUUAAAAACAUACAUCAAUUAUCAAAUUUGAACAAUAUAAAGUCAAGGAUCCAAAUAAGUUGAUUCGGUUCGAUUUUACAUAUAAUUCCGUUCGGUUCGACUCUAAAAGUAAAAAACCAAAAGAACUGAAUAAAUCGAAUAGAUCAAAAUUUUAAUAACUCAAUAAGUAUUAAUCUUUAAUUAUAAAAAAAAAAGAAAGAACUUUAAAUACUAUCUAUGUGGUUUCGCACUUUUUCACUUUAGUAUCCUAUGGUUUAAAGUGUAUCAAUUUAGAAUCCUAUGAUUUUAUUUUUCUCUUUUUAUUAUUCAUUACACUAAUUAUUUUUCGUUAAACCAGUGACAAAGUUAAAACUAAAGCGUAUUAAAAUAAAUAUUCGAUAAAUCUAGAUUGGGUAUCUGAAGUUUUUUAUAUACAAUUUAACAAAAUAUUAACAGAGGAGCUGACAAAAGAGAAAAAUGAAACCACAUGGUACUAACUUGAUACACUUUAAACCACAGGAUACUAAAGUGAGAAACGACGAAACCGCAGGGAUGGUAUUUGAAGUUUACCCAAAAAAAUAUGUACUAAUUUUACAUAAUAAUUAAAUAAUUAGAGAUAUUAAUUAUUCUUAUCUUAGAUUAAUAAUUUUCAACAUAAAAUUAGUUAUGAAUAUAUCUUAUUUUUAGUAGGCUAAAAAGAUUUAAACUAAAUGAAGAUAAUUUACUUAAUUAAAUCAAAUAAAUCGAAUCUAACCUUCGGUUCAGUUUGUGCCUCUAAUUCGGUUCAGUCCGAUAUCUUAAAAAACUGUAAAAAUUAAACCGAACCGAACCGAACCGAACCGACCGAUGCUCACCCCUAAGACUAGUGCCAAUCAAUUCACUGAGCUCAUGAAGCUCAUUACACUCAUCUCCUUUUAAGUUCCAAAAACAACAAAUUCUCUAACUACAAUAAAUUUCUUUGAUAUCAUUAUGACAAUGAAAGGGCAAUGAAACUAAUCCCGGACAAAGUGAUGUGGUUCAUUCCCCUCCUCACCUUUUGCCUCUGCAACAAAAUAGUGUUCAAAGUGGGUACAACCCCGUGCGUAAGAUUCGCUACGCACCGGAUUGAUUUUGACGGACUUUAUUAUAAAAUAAUUCUUUAAAAUUUAUAAUUUACGAAAUAAUUCUGCCAAAUUUAUAUUUAGCAAAUUAAUCCUCUUUUCGUCGUGUAGCAACCACGUGGGAUUAUUUUUCGAAAAGCGGUGAAUCGUUUACCGUGUUUUUCCAUGUCUUUUAAAGGCGGUGAAUCGUUACUUGCAUUGUCCAUUUUUUUUAAAAUGCGGUGAAUCAUUCACCGUUGUCUUCUAUUUCUUAGGCUGUUAAAAUUAUAUGAAAUUAUAUGGAUAAAUUAUUAGAAUUUUCAGGCUGUUAAAAUUAUAUGUGAUUUGUUAAAAUUUUUAUGUGAUUGUUAGUAUUAUAUAUGAGAUAUAGAAAGAAACAAUAAAUAAGUGAAAGGUGGUGAAUGAUUCAGCAUCUUUGUGAAAAAUUAAGAAGGCGAUGAAUAAUUCACCGUCUUCAAAAAAAAUCUUCACCCUGGCGCCUACAUACCAAAAGGAAGGUUAGGAUUAUUUUGCAAAUUAUCAAAUUUUAGAGAAUUGUUUUGUAAAAAAAAUCUGAUUCUGAUGCUGAAUUUUAGUAGAAUUAAUCUGCACCGUCUAUAUCGAAUCGUACAGAUUAAUCAUACUAAAAUUCACCAGCUGAACAAACAGAGUUGUAUGAAAUUUAAUAAAAUCUUGCGUGUAUAUUACAAAAGACUCUUUUCUCUCUCUCUCUCUCUCUCUCUCUUAUUUUUCUAAUUAAAUAUAUAAUUGCUGUGCCAAAAAGUACAAUAUAAAAUCUAUCACUUCAUUGAGAGGGAUGUAUCAAGCUUAGAGUCCAACAUCACAUUUAAACACAGGUACUGUGUAGGCUAGGGUGUAUUUGAGCUGUCUUAUUUAACAUGAAAACUCCUUAAAAAGAGCCAUAAAAUAAAAUAUAGGUUAAAUUACAUAAAACUCUCUGUAACUAUUUCACUUUUUAUUUUUUCUUUCGGAGUUUCAAAACUUUAUAUUUUGUCUCUUUAAAAUUGUAAAAAAUAUUUUCAGAGGGUUACCAUAUUAAUAGAGAGGGCAAAAUGAUCAAAUUAUUAUUAUUUUUAUAUAAGAAAAAAAUAAUUUUUAAUAUAUUUUAUUAUUUUAGAGAAUAUUUUCGGUAUAAAUUAUAAAAAAAAAAAGAUAGAAUAGUGAUAGAAUCCUAAGGGAGGAGGCUAAAUGAAAUAACUUGAAAUGUUAAGGUGUAAAAAUGUAGAUUUUUUGAAAAUUUAAGAGAAAAGGUACAAAAAAAAAGAUACUUAUCAAAAAUUUACAAGCAAUAUAUAUAUAUAUAUAUAUAUAUAUAUAUAAUUGAGCUCCUAUGCUUUUAAAAGUACCAAGCACUUGAUACUUGGUACAGCUGGAAUACUAUCGAUAGUAUAAAGUGUUUGGUGCGAGUUUUCCGCCGUUAGAUUUAACCCUUUGAUUAUUUUCAUCCGUUAGAUUAUAUUAUUUAACCAAUAACUCACUUAACCCUAGGGGGACUCACAUUAUUCUAACUGUAUAUUUUCUCAUUCAUAAAUCGAAAACCUAAUAACACUAAUAAUUUGAUGCUAUUAAUAGUAUUCCAGCCUAGUUCUAUAUAUAUAUAGAGUUGGACUGGGCUACUAUUAGUAGCAAAAUUUCAUUAUUGCUAUCAGUUUUUUAGCCUUUGGAUCAACUCUUUUCAUCAUUUCUAACCAUUGGAUUAAAUACUAUAACCCAGUAGGGACCACUCAACCCUAGGGGGACCACUCAACUCUAACUGACUAAUAUCAACCUAACCUUACAAUUUUUUAUCCAAGGGUUAAAAACUUGAUAGCAAAAAAAGUGUUUUACUAGUAAUAGUAUUCCAGCUUAAUUAUAUAUAUAUAUAUAUUAUAACAUAUUGAUUUCUGUUUGUUAUAGAUAUAAUGACAAAUUUCACUUACAAAGUGAUUUUUCUUAUUUCCAAAAAAUAAACUUAUAUACAUAAUGAAUACGCUACUAGUAUCUAUUAUAAACUUAAUUUCGAUGUGGAGACAGGGUCUUAAUGAAUGUACAAAUCAUGUGACCCUGUGUGUGCUUCAUGUCUAGCUAACACAGCACUACUAUUUUGUGGUUCUCAUAUGCUGUGCAAUGAAUUGUUCCUACUUUUUUAAAAAAAAUACUCUUUUCAUUCUUAAUGAGAAUGAAUUAAAUCUUGGUCAAAUAAAGAGGCUUAUUGUGCAUAUUGUAGCAAAAUUCACAUGGGCCUGCAGUGUGUACAGCUACAACAAUAACAUCGUGACAAUGGCAAUAAUAAUAUUAAGUUUAUAUAAUUAAUGCUACUGCUCUGUUCAUUAAGCUAUGAAUUAAUGCAUGAGGGUUUAUUUAUUGUUACUUUGGUGGCUACAUGGGGAAAAGAGAAAAGUAAUUAAAGAACAAAAAGUAUUCAAACAAUCUCUAUGCCCCUUCCUUUUUCAUUUUUUUCUUAAAAACGAACUCUGCUAAAAUUAUAAAGUAAUUGAGUUUCAAACUUAAAAUAUCAUAUACCAGCCAUUAAGUUCUUACUCAAUUUAUAUGGUUGGUGUGUAUAUAUAUAUAUUCGAAAUUGGAGACAUGAUUUUGGUGUGUAUAAUGAAAAAUCUAAGAUGUUUGGGGCUCGUAUUGCUUUAUCGGGAAAUUAGCUUUAUAUGGAUAUUGUGAGAUAGGUUCGAUCGAGAGAUCAAAUUGGCGGUUUGACUUGACUCAAGAUGAAUUUUUCGGCGAGCUUUUAGACAACUAAGCAAAAGAACAACUACUUAACUAGCUAUUACUUUUCUAGCCACCAUUUUACGACAUAAGAAGAGCAAAGUUGAUCGACAGUAGAGAUAUUUUGACGGCUUCAACCAUCAUAUUAUAGUCUUAGAAAGAGAAGCUCUGAAACACAUUCGUGCUAUUCCAAACCUUCUACAGCAUCACUGAAACUCCACCAUUUUACAGUACUAAUAAAUGAGGCCUAAAUACACCGCUCGUAGACAACUUCGAUGGAGAAUGGAGGCCCACUUACUUAUAAGGCCUUGUAUAGUUGCGCUCGCCUUUUUUUUUACUUGAUCAUGCAAAAUUUGAAUAUAUAAAAACUACAUAACCAAAACCAAAUUGGGCUUGCAUUUUAGGGCCUCAUAUGGGCCUAGUAACCAAAAUUUGGGCCAAAAGCCGACCCACAACGAAGCCCAUUAUGAUGGGCUUAACUAACCAAACAUUUUUUUAUGUGGUAGAUGAACCAACGAAGUAGUUGCUGCUAACACUAUUUCUGAGUCAUUUCUCGCAUAAUUGAUUUUUCAGAAAAUGUGGUCUUAGUGCAGAUCCUAGUCCUAAGCUCCCAACAUCAAUUUUUCUUUUUUUUUAAUUUGAUUAGAAUGAACAAUUUUGCGCUAAGUAAUAAAGCAAAGUGACAGCUAAAGAUAGUCGCAAAAGAUCAUUAAGUUACAUAUAAAGGUGGUUGAACCAAAUAUAUUGUGAGAUCAUAUAGAAAAUCAAAAAUUUUGUGGUGAUAUGCAUUGUGUAAACACCCUAUACUUGGUUUUUUCACAGUAAAAAAUAAAUAAAUAAAAUGUGAGUUGCACAUGAGCUACAAGUCUUUUGAGAUCAAUGCCUGUCCCUUAGAGGAAGUUCAUGGUUUCUAAAGGGCUCAAACCAAUCCAUAACUCAAGCUCAUGGUUUGGUUUGAGUCCUUAAUAAAAGUUUAGAAUGACAUCUAAGCUUGGUUAACACUUUCGUCUAUUUUCAAACUCAAUUGCUUCCCUUUCAGCGCUAUGUCAGUCCAGUUUUAUUCGGUUCUUGUCCGUUUCUUCUUAAGGUCAUAUCUAAAUGUCGGAAUAACUUAUUCCGUAUAUAUAAAAAAGAAAAUCAAUAUGAUUGAAAGGAGCCCCGGCUACUAUACUCUUAUGAGUACGAUCAUCUUUAUACUCAUGAGUUGUUUUUUGUGAUAGAGCUUCCGAAUCGACGAUCCAUUCCGUUAAACAUUAUCUAGAGUAUUUAAAACUUCUAGAAAUCAAAUUUUAUAAUUUUUCGAUAUCAUUUGCCUUACGAUCAAAAGCUCACAAAAUUGACAAUUUUUAACGACCAGUGUGGAAUAUUUGCUAGUUUAACAAUGUAAAAGAAUCGGAAUAGAUUGAAUAUUUGAUAGAAAAUUCUAUUCACUACCUAAAUAAAGAUUAAUAACCCCGAUCUUAAAUUGAAGGAUCUGAUUAUCUAUUCUUAGGAGGUCGUUCGAUUUUGACCGUUCAUUUUAUACCCGCUUGAUGGGCUUUAUAAUGAUUUCAAAAAUUUACGAAAUUUAUUUUCUAAAAGUUUCAAAUAUUCUAGAUUAUAUUUAACAGUGUGGAUCGUCGAUUCGAAAACCCCAACAUCAAAAAUAACUUAUGAGUACAAAGGACUCUAUACUAAUAAAAGUAUAAUAGUCCUACUCGAUUGAAAGUAAGAAGUUUAAGUUUUACUUUUUUAAAAACCUUGUUAUUUAUAAUUUGAUAGGAUAGUAUAUUAAUAGGAUAGUAUAUUUCACCUAUAAGGUAUUUUUUCUUUUUCGAAAAACUAACUUAAAUGCCGAAUUGAUCACAAUCCUUAUUAAUCAAAUAUACAAAUUUCUCAAAAGAAUUAAGAAGAUAUAUCGAAAAACAUAUUCAUGCAUUCCGACGGAGCCUAGUUCUUACAUAACCACACUGAGCUUGUCUAGCAUGUCAAUAAGGCCUAGAACACCAUAAAAAGAAUAUUAGUACCGAUUAAAAACGAAAAUAAGUGUGAGACGUACCUCAGAUAGUUCUAUAUAUAAAUAUAAUAUAAUAUAAUAGAGCUACAUUUUUAACUUGGCUUAAGUAUUUUGGGUGAUAAUUAGGGUCAAGAGGUUAAGAGAGUUAAGCGUAUUAGGAGCAUAGUAGUCCUAGCUAUGAUGGAUAACUUCCUAGAAAGUUGGGGCGUCACAGUUGGUAUCAGAACCAAUUACCAGCCGGAAGUGUGAGAUGAGUCUCGGCUGAGUUAGGAAGACUAGCAAGAGGAGUCUCAAAUCGCCUGAUACUUGUGAGUCUGAGCCUGACGAGAACGUCAGGAUUUAAAGGAAGGGAGAUUGUGAGACCCCAGAUAAUUCUAUAUAUAAGAUAUAAUAGGGCUAAACUCUUAAUCCUACUCAAGCAUUUUGGGUAGUAGCUAGGUUUAAGAGAUUAAGAGAGUUAAGCGUGUUAGGGCGAAAGUAGUCUAAAAUUAGGGCGUCACAGUCAGUCUCUCCUGUGGUCCUUCUUGUGCAGAUUUUAAGAUAGCAAGCAUUACUGGCACAAUUAUGUGUUCUUGAAAUGUGUCGGAGCACCAUGCAUGAUACCUGAUCAACAAGCAUUUAUUGGAGAUUAGGAUCCAUCCCAUCGACUCGGUCCACCGCAUAAUAUUGCUCUUACUGGUUGCUGACGCUCGAUGUACAUAACAUAAAAGAUUUUAAUCCGUUAAACCGCACACAGAUAUAUAUGUUAUAUAUGAUUGCUCGCACAUUAGUGGCCUUAUGUUAAGAGUUUACACAUAAAUUCUCCCCGCAUCAGAUAAUCAUAAAAGUACUAGAGGAUAUAAAUCUAAUAGACAUAAAGCUUUUAGAUUGAAUGAGUUUUACUAGAUAUAUAGCAUCUUUGGACUCAAUGUGGGACUUGGGAGUCCCACACUGAACCACCGUGCAUGAGUGAGUAGUCCUUCGUCUUCACUCCUUUAAUGGAGCUACUGCCGACAUGCAUGUUCAAAUUGAAUGCGGAUGCUGAGAACCAAUUCAGAGGUACAAAAACAAUAACUUUUUUUAAAAAAAGUUAUUGUCCGGCGCAUCUAAUUCAGAUACAAUUUAUUUGAAUCUCAAAAUAGCAUUUAUGCUAUUCAACGGUAGUGAGAGUUGCGUCUAACCAUUUUUUUUUCUCUCAAUUCUAAGCCAACAUGUGGCACAUCUUCUUUACUGGAUGUUAAUAAGCUCGAUUAAGUUCUUAAUGAGCCCACCAGUUAGAUCUUAUAUCUUAUUAACCAUUAACAACCUCAAAGUUCUAAAUUGGAUCACGUAGUAUUCGUGUUGAUUAAUCUAGUCUAACAGAGCUGAUCGUCGAUUUAGAAGCCGCAUCAUUGAAAACAACUUGGUAAUGCGGAGGUCUCAAUACUACCGAUAGCAUACCAGUCUAGCUCUCUCUCUCUCUCUCUCUCUCUCUCUCUCUCUCUCUUUAUAUAUAUAGAGAGAGAGAGAGAGUUGAGUUGGAAUACUAUCGGUAGCAAACGGACUCCUUUGCCACCCAUUUGUUUUCGAUGAUGGAGCCUUCAAAUCGACGAUCUACACCGUUGAACAUGAUCUAUACCCCUUAAAGUAUCUAGAAACUAAAUUACAAAUCUUUUCAACAUCAUUUACCUAAUAAUCAACGGGUUUCAAAUUUUAUAAUUUUAGUGGUAAAUAUAAGGCGUUUUCUCAUUUAACGGUAUAAACUUAUCCAAAUCAAUUGAAUUUUGGUUAGAAAAUUCUUUAAACUAUUUAGAACAAGAUCUAUACUAUCGAUCUUAAUUAUAAAAUUUCUAUCCUCUCUUUUUAGAGGAUAUUUAUUUUCAGCCGUUCAUUUUUACGCCCACUUGAUGGAUAAGAGAACAAUAUAGAAAAAGUAUGAAAUUUGAAUUCUAGAUACUUCAAAUGGUAUAGAUUAUUUUCAACGGUGCCGAUCGUCGAUUUGGAGGUUCCAUCAUCGAAAACAAAUGGGUGGAAACGGAGCCUGUUUGCUACCGAUAGUAUUGCAGCUCAACUCUCUCUCUCUCUCUCUCUCUCUCUAUAUAUAUAUAUAUAUAUAUAUAUGCUACUAUACUAUCGAUAGUACCAAGUGAUUAGUGCUAUCGACUUUUCAGUCGUUGGAUGAAAUGAUGUGCAGUUAAGAUGAUUGCGAUCCCUUAGGGUCGACUUUUCAGUCGUUGGAUGAAAUGAUGUGCGGUUAAGAUGAUUGCGAUCCCUUAGGGUUGAGUGGGUGAUUAGUUGAAUAGUAUAAUCUAACGGAUGAAAAUGAUCAAAGGAUAGAUGUAAUGGCAGAAAAAUCGAUAGUACUAAGAGUUUGGUACUAUCGAUAGUAUAGCAGUAGUACUCUAUAUAUUAUGAUUAAAUGGUAGAUUUAACGAUAGAAAAUUCGAUAGUGCCGCUUUUAAUACUAUCGAAUUUUUUACCAUUAUAUCUACCAUUUAAUCAUUUUUAUCAAUUAAAUUAUACUAUUCAAUCAACUGCUCACUCUUUUGGAUGCAAUUUACGAGAAGCUAUAAAUGGGGGGAAGUGAGGUGGAAGUAGGCUUAUCCUACACUCCUGGCCCAUGCUCAUUUAUGGUCGCAAUAAAUUUUGUAGCAGAUUGUCAGAUUAAUCAGUCUCCUACGUACUAUUCUCUGCAUUUUAUUUAACUCAGGUGAGACCAUACAUCAAUCUAGUAAGAAAUAAUUCUGAGACAAUAAAAAUACAAUAAACAAUCUAACUCGAUACCUCUAGAUCAAUCUAGUAAAAAAAAAUUCCGAAGCAAUAGAACUACAGCAAAUAUUCAAACUGGAAACCUCUUGAAACAGGAGGAACUAACAACUGCUGCCUAUGUUACCAUAUUAAUUGCUCAAGAAAUUGAUCUGAUAUAAAAAUAAUUCAGAAUUAGUUUUAACCGAAGUGGUUGAUAAGAACGUAAAUAUGAAUAGUUUUACGUCAAAUAAUGAUUCAAAUGCACUAGGAGAUCCAAAUUUAAUAAAAUUUAAUGUCAGGACUUAGAAAUUUUUUUUAAGAUUUGUCUUUGUAAUCACUCAAAUUUCAAACCAGAUAUCUAUUGAAGAUUUUGCCUUGAUCUUCUAAAAGCAUCUCUGUGAAUUUCGGAAAGCUCGUAGCCUUUCUUUUUCGCUUGUAUUUUCAUGCCGCUUGACAUCUUUCUGUUUCCUUUAUGAGCGGUGAUUGAUCUUUAAAUAAAUGUGGCUCCACCCCCUCUCAAUUCAAAAUCUUGAUUUGUAAUCCUCUACUUUUUUCUUUUUUUGAGAGAGAGAGACAGGUGGCACGCUACCUCCGCUUCAUUUAUUUCAUUUAGAAAUAAACUUAGCUAGAAAUGUAAAUCAAUUAGAAUUCGAACUUGGGACCUCGAGUACCAAUCAUCAAGCCCUUACCACUUGCGCUAGGAACGGUCGGUGUAAUCCUCUACUUCAAAGUAAUAAAAGAACUUUUUUUUCUCUCUCUCUCUCUUGUUCUUAUUUAAGAACGAAUAGAUCCUAACUUAGCAAGUAUAGAGAUAAGUUUGCUCACUUUACGAAAAAAGGCGAGCAUCGCACGGACUGAACAAGCGAUUUAGCUUAAGUCCAUGACAUUAAACUCUAUAUUGAAUGGUAUUAGAGUUGGUGGUGUGGUCCGAUCUGAGUUAACCAGGUUCAAAUUGAACAUGUUUUUGAGCUAACAUUUUAGGCAACACACCUGUCACAUUUUUGCUCUUCAAUUAGUAGUUAAACGCAUUAAUAUUUUAGGUAACACACACUUCUCAGUUCUCACUUAGCUCUUCCAUAAAUUGGUGGUAGCUACACUCACUUAUUGCUCUUCCAACCUGUUCCUCUCCAGUAAUAUUCAUUCGCUCUUUUGCUACGUUUCCCUGUAGAUCCAUGUGACCAUGUCACUCAAUACUUGGUCCCAAUUCGACUACGUACUCCAAAACUGUACCUAACGCAGUCGGCUAAAAAUUUUAAUGAUCGGUAUCUGAGAUCUUAAGUUAAAAUUCUAAUUGUUUUAUGUUUCUAGCUCAGUUCGUUCUUAAAAAUGAACGAAAUUGAUAGGUUACUACUGUCUUUCUUUCUCGUGAAAGAAAAUUCGUGCAUGAAAUAUCUGAUUUCUCAAAAAAAGUAUAGAAAAUUAUUUUCUCGACAUUAUAUAUUUUUUUUGUUCCUUGGAUACAAAGUUAAAAAAUGAAAUAAUAUCUAGAAUUUUUUUAAAAAAUAAUUUUUAAAAAAAUGAAAAAGAGGAAAAAUAUGGUUUCAUUCAAAAAAGUUAUAUUUUACAGUAUUUUUGGAAAAAUAAACACUCCGUAACUAUGCAUCAAUUAAUGCACUGCACACACCACGAAUCCCUUGUCCCCAACUCCCAACUACUUUUCGUCCUUCUUUAAAAAUAGGGUGUUCACAUAACAUUUAUUUUCACACACUAGAGAAUUUAGAAAUUUCAAAAAUGUUUUUUAAGUUUUUUUUUUAAAAUCUUUUAGUAACUUUAAAAUGAUAGGUAGAUUUAUCAUUAGAAAAGUAUUAGGUUCAAAUACUUAUCUCGAUCAAAUUUUUAUUAUUAUUAUUAUUUUAUAAUAUUAGAUGAGAGGAAAUUAAUGUAAAGUGUUUUAAUUAAUUCUAUGUCGUAAGCAUUUUGAACAAUGCAUUCGCAAAUUAAGCUGUAUAUUUCUACUCAGAUAGUUUAAAAAUGAUCUGAAUAAGUCUUAUGUUAGAGAUGAAUAAAUCAUAUCAUGUGUAAUAAAGAUAUAAAUAAUCAACGUGACGCGUAUUAUAUGACAUAGAUUUCGGCUAAGACAAAGAGUGCACUAAUUAAUUAACAAACUAUUACCUAAAUCAGAUCUCAAACUAACUUGGAUUGUAAAUGCGGAUCAGUUGUAGAAUCAAUUUUUUUACUAAUCGGAUCGCAAAUUUACAUUAGUUAGAAGAGUAGUAAGAGAAUUUAAAAAAAGUACGAAAAAUAAUAUAUAUAUAUAUAUAUAUAUAUAUAUAUAUAUAUAUAUAUAUAUAUAUAUAUAUAUAUAUAUGAGAGCCUUCGCGGAAUGAUUUGUUAGGAGUUGAGCUAGAAUACUAUCGGUAGUAAACGAGCCGUUUUAUUACCGAUUUGUUUUCGAUGAUAGAGCUUCAAAAUUGACGAUCGGCUCCGUUAAAUAUGAUCUAAACCAUUUAAACUACCUAGAAAUCAAAUUUCACGCACUUUUGAUAUUGUUCUUUUAUCCAUCAAGUGAAUAGAAAAAUAAAUGACUGAAAAUAAAUACUCUUUAAAAAAUGAUGAUAGGAGUCUUGUAAUUAAGAUCAAGAGUAUAGAUCUUGUUUUAAAUAGUUUAAAGAAUUUUCUAACAAAAAUUCAAUUAAUUUGGAUAUCUUUAUGCCGGUAAAUAAGAAAACGCCUCUUAUCGACCAUUAAAAUUACAAAUUUUGAAACCCUUUGAUCAUUAGACAAAUGAUGUCGAAAAGAUUUGAAAUUUAAUUUCUAAACAUUUCAAGUGGUAUAGAUCAUGUUCAACGGAGCCGAUCGUCAAUUUGAAAGCUCUAUCAUCGAAAAUAAAUCGGUCGUAAAACGGCUCGUUUACUACCGAUAGUAUUCUAGCUCAACUCGAUAUGUUAGUGUAUAUAUGCUUUUCACGUGAGGUGAAAUAUAAGGCGCUGUCACUUUUUUAGUUUUUUUUUUAAUUUUAAUUUUUGUAUAAUUUGAUAUAUGGAAUAAAUUUUUUCUCUUAUUAUUAUUAUUAUUAUUAUUAUUAUUGGUUAGGUUACUAAGCGCUCUGUCCAAGUGAAAGUGAUAACUUAUUUAAAAACUAUUUUAGAAGUAGAAAAAAAUUAUUUUUAAAUUUUUAUUUUUUAUUGUCGAAUAAAUAUUUUAGAUUUAA
rnacentral:lncRNA from 1 species